rnacentral:lncRNA from 1 species
GAAAGUUGAUUGACCCCAGAAGGUAUGCUCCUAAAAAGAUUCCCGGUUAGAAGUAAUUGUCGCAGAGAUGAUAGGUGGCAAAUUUCAGUGGGGAUUCCUCCUUCAUCUAUACUGCAGAAAGAUAGAUCUAACACUUCCAACGAGUACAAGCAGCAAAUAUCACUCAGGAUUUCUCCUUGUAUUAGCUUUGACCCAGUUAGAAUUAAAUUCUUUAAGGAGCAUAAACCCGACAAAGAAAGCAAUUGGCAACAUGUUGAAUUUAAGCCACAAGCACGGAGAUGCUUCAAGCUUUGCAGCCUCCCUAGGUUUUGUGGCAAUUUGUGGAGUUUUGAACAGUAACUGACAUUGAGAACUUCAAGAAAGCAUAAAUUACAAAUGCUUUCUGGAAGAGUCACAAGGUUUUCGCAGCGGUCCAGAUUCAAAACUUCAAGCCUAUUCAAAUGUUCGAUUGAUGAUGGUAGCUCUUUUAUAGCCGUUUCGUUCAAGUGAAGCUCCCUUAAGUUUUCCAUAUUCUCCAAGAUUUCUGGAAAGUACUGUAAUUGUGAACAGUGAGAGCAAAAGAGAGAUUUUAGGGAUUUGAACUCCCAAAUGCUUGUUGGCAGACUCUCAAGGUUUUUGCACUCUCGCAAACAUAAGGUAUCAAAUUCAGAGGCAUGCUCAAUGGGUAGUAGGCUGAUUGUCUGACCCUUUAAACAAAGCUUUCGGUGUUCCACGUUCCUCUGACAAUCCAAGCAUCUAGCAUCCACAUCCUCAGUCUGUACUACUAUUGGAUCUUGGGAGUAUAUAGGUUGGAGCCCACACUUGAGCACCUUAAAAUGACUCUGAGGGUCCUUAAAUGUAGCCGCAAGAUACAUGAAUGGAUUGGUGGGACCGCUCUCCAGAAUAGCAGCCUUGGGAUAGAAUAUCACCCACAUUUGUUCUGAUACACCUCCAUUAUGGUAGCAUUUACAAGUAGAGCGAAAACUGAGAUGUCGCACACACAGGGAAGAAGAUCCAUAUCCUUCACUCAAUGACAGUUGACAUUGUAACUCAGUGGAGAUUGAAGAUUCAGCUUCAAGUAAAUCAUCAGAUUCAUUCUCCAAUGUAUGUGCAAAAUCAUUUUCUGGUAUAUCCUCACAUUCAUCGAGUGGAGCAUAAACACAGCAUAUAGCAAUCCCCAAGAAGUCAUCAUUUUCAUAACAAUUCUGAGGAAGCUCCAUUGUGAUUCGAUAUCCCUCUCUCUGAUUCCUUAUCCACUUGGGAAUUCCACUGCUUCCCGGAACAACAAUACAGAUUCCAUCGCCAAUGUAGUCGGAAUUAGGGAGAAAUACUCCAUUUGAACUCUUCUCGUGUUUCAAAUCCUGCACAAAUGGACAAUGUAAAUCUAGUGGGUCUGUGUCAUUAUGUGAGUUUUUAUGAGAGAGUUUGUUAUCAGUUUUCGAUAAAUUGAUUCCCAGUUUUAACUUUCUUUGAUCUAUGCUCCUGAAUCUACUUAAUAUCCCUUUUAGAUGAUGGAUAAUCAAUGAACAUGAAAGUGAGUGACAAGAUUAAGUGUGAAAACUGGAAGUGAGGGGAAACUGAAACUGGAAAGUGAGUAGAAUAAGCAGAUCUCUUCUUCACUUGCAGUAGCUCCUUCUCCAUUCAGAUUCAGAGAUCUUAGAAUUGUAGCUUCAACUUAACUCUCAGAAUCUUAAAGACAAAGUUCGCUCAAGUUUCAAAAACUCAUAGAAAAAUUUCGCCUCAUGUUUCUCUUAAUCCCAUGAGGCGAGAGACAUGCAGCACAUGCUUAUUGGCUUUUUUCCAUGCAAGUUUCAAGGUGGAGCAUCUAAUGAACUAAAACAUUCCUUCAAAUCCUAGUGGAAAUUCACACUAGAAAUUUCAGAAUUUGCUAAAGAAAGGUUUAAUUCAUUUUAUCCAUGAAUAAAAAAUCAUGUGAGGGCAUUUUAACUUCCUAAUAAUUAUUAUAUUAAACUAUAAUUCUCAUUAUUUAAACUCGUGAUCUGUAACUUUAUCAUCACAUUUUGAAGAGACUUUCGUCAUCUCUUCCAUGAAUUAAUUGAUGUUUAAGGAGGUAUAAUAAACUUUUAAUUGAAUUUAACAUUAUUUCUAUCCUUAUACUCAUCUUAAACUCUAAUUUUUUUUUUUUACUCUUAUCAAAAAAAAUAAAAACUUAACAGAAAAAAAAAAUUUCAAUUACUCCGUGUUCACGAGGAAAAAUGGCUGAAUGUUAUGAAAAUCAUACCUCAAUUGUUGAUUUAAAGCAUUUGAACAGAGAAACACCAAGUAGACUUGAUGGACUUGAUAAAGUUUCCAAGCAUGUGCAACUGUGGACAUCUAGAACUCGUAAACUUGGCGUAAGCUCUGGAACUUGUAGAGGCCCCUGGCAGUGACUCAAUUCAACGACUCUCAGUUUAGAAAGUUGAAUGAUGCCUGCAAGUAUGCUACUAAAACAGUCCAUGCUUAGAUUUAGACCUGAAGCAUGCAAACACUCUAAACAUUGCAAACUCCUCAGGUUCUUGGGAAAUUCCUCAAGUUUUGUACAGAAACUGACAUCUAGAAUUUUAAGAGAACUCAAAUUACAAAUGGUCUCUGGAAGACUCACAAGGUUGGUGCAAUCUGCAAGAUUCAAACAUUGAAGCCCUCUUAAAUAUUGAAUUGAUGCUGGUAGUUCUUUUAUAGCAGUUCCAUCUAAAUGAAGAUUUCUUAAAUUUUCCACAUCCUCAAGGAUUUCUGGAAAGCUCCUUAAUCGUGAACAGCCUGAGCAGUUGAGAGUUGUAAGGGAUUUCAACUCACAAAUGCUACUGGGAAGACGCUCAAGGUUUUUGCAUUCUCGCAAACAUAAGCUAUCAAAUUCUAAGGGACACUCAAUAGUGGGUAGUUCAUUGAUGGCACUUCCCUUUAAACAAAGCUUCCGUCGGGAUUGCACAUCCGCUUGACAUUUCCGGCAAAUGGUGGGUAUCAUUGCUUUACCAUUGUUCUUUUCAUGAUCAUGGGCAUAUAUAAGAUGGAUCCCACACUCUUCCACUUUCAUUGCUUUACCAUGUGAGAAGCCACAAAAUGAAGCCGUCAACUGCCUCCAUUUAUUUGAGUGAUACUUCUUCUCAAUCACCACCUUUGCAUAAUAAAUCAUCCACAUUUUUGGUACAACAUCAUAGCAGCGAAACGAUGGAUAAAACUGGAGUUCAUCCACAAACUGAGAUUCAUGAGCACGCAAAGUCAAAGAACACUUGAGGUAAGCUGCAUCAUUCUCCAGUGUCUCCUCAGAUUCAUUAUCAAGUGGAUCAUAAAGAGAGUACAAAACAAAACCCAACAAGUCGUUAUUUUUAUACCAAUUUUCAGGAAGCUUUGCUACCACUUUAGCUCCCUUUUUGUGAUGGCUUAUCCAUUUUGGAAUUCCACAACUUCCUGAAAUAAUAAGAUUUACUCGGGCAAAAAGGCUGUCUCUAGGAUAAAUCCUGCAUUCAAAAUCCUGCACAAAAUUUAAUUAACACGUAAAUCCCCAUGUCUCCAUAGAAAAAGUUUUGUUCUAUGAAUAUCAUACCUGAAUCAAUGAUUUGAAGCAGUUGAAUAGAGAAGACCAGAGUAGACCCGAAGAAGUUUCCAGCCAUGGGCACUCAUGUACAUCUAAGACACGCAAACUGGAUGGAAGCGCUGGAAUUUGUCGAAGCUCUUGACAGUGACCCAAGUUAAGGAUUCUCAGCAUAGAAAGUUGAUUGACCCCAGAAGGUAUGCUCCUAAAAAGAUUCCCACUUAGAUGUAAAUGUUGCAGAGAUGAUAGGUGGCAAAUUUCAGUGGGGAUUCCUCCUUCAUCUAUUCUGCAGAAAGAUAGAUCUAACACUUCCAACGAGUACAAGCAGCAAAUAUCACUCAGGACUACUCCUUGCAUUAGCUUUGACCCAGGUAGAAUUAAAUUCUUUAAGGAGCAUAAACCCAACAAAGAAACCAAUUGGCAACAUGUUGAAUUUAAGCCACAAGCACAGAGAUGCUUCAAGCUUUGCAGCCUCCCCAGGUUUUGUGGCAAUUUGUGGAGUUUUGAACAGUAACUGACAUCGAGAACUUCAAGAAAGCAUAAAUUACAAAUGCUUUCUGGAAGAGUCACAAGUUUUUUGCAGCCCUCCAGAUUCAAAACUUCAAGCCUAUUCAAAUGUUCGAUUGAUGAUGGUAGCUCUUUUAUAGCCGUUUCAUUCAAGUGAAGCUCCCUUAAGUUUUCCAUAUUCUCCAAGAUUUCUGGAAAGUACUGUAAUUGUGAACAGUGAGAGCAAAAGAGAGAUUUUAGGGAUUUGAACUCCCAAAUGCUUGUUGGCAGACUCUCAAGGUUUUUGCACUCUCGCAAACAUAAGGUAUCAAAUUCAGAGGCAUGCUCAAUGGGUAGUAGGCUGAUUGGCUGACCCUUUAAACAAAGCUUUCGGUGUUCCACGUUCCUCUGACAUUCCAAGCAGCUAGCAUCCACAUCCUCAGUCUGUACUAUUGGGUCUUGGGAGUAUAUAGGUUGGAGCCCACACUUGAGCACCUUAAAAUGAUUGCGAGAGUCUAUAAAUACAGCAUUAAGAUGCAUGAAUCGAUUGGUGUGACAGCUCUCCAGAAUAGCAGCCUUGGGAUAGAAUAUCACCCACAUUUGUCCUGAUACACCUCCAUUAUGGUAGCAUUUACAAGUAGAGCAAAAACUGAGAUGUCGCACACACAGGGAAGAAGAUCCAUAUCCUUCACUCAAUGACAGUUGACAUUGUAACUUAGUGGAGAUUGAAGAUUCAGCUUCAAGUAAAUCAUCAUCUUCAUUUAGGACUUCGUCACCAGAUGGAUUCUCCAAUGUAUGUGCAAAAUAAUUUUCAGGUGUGUCCUCACAUUCAUAGAUUGGAGCAUAAACAGAGCAUAUAGCAAUUCCCAAGAAGUCAUCAUUUUCAUAACAAUUCUGAGGAAGGCCCAUUGUGAUAUGAUAUCCCUCUGUCUGAUUCCUUAUCCACUUGGGAAUUCCACUGCUUCCCGGAACAACAAUACAGAUUCCAUCGCUAAUGUAGUCGGAAUUAGGGAGAAAUACUCCAUUUGAACUCUUCUCGUGUUUCAAAUCCUGCACAAAUGGACAAUGUAAAUCUAGUGGGUCUGUGUCAUUAUGUGAGUUUUUAUGAGAGAGUUUGUUAUCGGUUUUUGAUAAAUUGAUUCCCAGUUUUAACUUUCUUUGAUCUAUGCUCCUGAAUCUACUUAAUAUCCCUUUUAGAUGACGGAUAAUCAAUGAACAUGAAAGUGAGUGACAAGAUUAAGUGUGAAAACUGGAAGUGAGGGGAAACUGAAACUGAAAGUGAGUAGAAUAAGCAGAUCUCUUCUUCACUUGCAGUAGCUUCUUCUCCAUUCAGAUUCAGAGAUCUUAGAAUUGUAGCUUCAACUUAACUCUCAGAAUCUUAAAGACAAAGUUCGCUCAAGUUUCAAAAACUCACAGAAAAAUUUCGCCUCUUGUUUCUCUUAAUCCCAUGAGGCGAGAGACAUGUAGCACACGCUUAUUGGCUUUUUUCCAUGCAAGUUUCAAGGUGGAGCAUCUAAUGAACUAAAACAUUCCUUCAAAUCCUAGUGGAAAUUCACACUAGAAAUUUCAGAAUUUGCUAAAGAAAGGUUGAAUUCAUUUUAUCCAUGAAUAAAAAAGCAUGUGAGGGCAUUUUAACUUCCUAAUAAUUAUUAUAUUAAACUAUAAUUCUCAUUAUUUAAACUGAUGAUCUUUCACUUCAUCACGACAUUUUGACGAGACUUUUGUCAUCUCUUCCAUGAAUUAAUUGAUGUUUAAGGAGGUACAAUAUUUUUUAAUUGAAUUUAACAUUAUUUCUAUCCUUAUACUCAUUUUAAACUAUUAUAUUUUUUUUUUAUAGUUUUAUCAAAAUAAAUAAAAACUUAACAAAAAAUAAAUAAAGAUUUCAAAACAAACUUUAUAGAGUUAUCAACACUUAUUUACAUCAUUCUUUAAAAAAAAUUAUAAUUAACAAAAAUGUGAUAUAAAAAUUAUAAAGAAUAAAAUUUUUUGAAAAAUGUACUAGUUAUUUGAAAUCAAAAUUCCUAGUCAAUGAAUCGUCAAAAAACUGCAAUAGCUAUGCAAAUGAGAAAAAUAAAUAAAUUAAAAGUAAAAAAAGAAAUUAUCAAUGUCAAGAAUGAGAAACCAUUUAUUUCCUUUUUUUUUUGUAAACUUUUUUUUAUUCUGAUUGUAUGUAUUCAUUACAAUUUUUAAAUUAAUAAAUAAUGUUUUUAUCACAAAAUUUAAAAAUGGCAUCUAUCAAAAUUUAUAUAUUGUUAUUAGAUUUUUAUAAAUUUCAUUUAUAUCUUCAAAAUUACAAACUCCUUUCCAUUAUUAUUUCUUAUUUUUCUUAUUGAAAAUGCAUCUUUAUUCAUCAUUUGAAAGCAUAACACUUUGAAUCUUAGGAUGUACUUCUUUCUUCCUAGGCAUUGCACUCUCAUAGGACCCAUUAAAUCCAUAUGCAACAUCUCUAAGAUCCUAGAAGAAGAGAGAAUCAGUUUUCUCUCUCAUUCAUGCGAAUUCAUUUUCUUAGAUGGGACAGAUUUUAGGAUUUUUAGGUUUUCCUAAAUGGGAAGUGCUUUAACUAGUUCUUUAAUUGUAAUCCUAGACAAAUCAUUAGAGUUUAAAUGCGCUACCAUACAAUGCUACUGUCUUUGGAUGUAAAUUUCACAUUUUACAACUAUGUGCACUAGAUGAUAAGGAAGAAGUAGAGAGGUGCACAAAGGCAUAACAAAAAUUACCAAAAAUUUGAUUUCAUACCAACACACAUCCUUGAAUAGACACUGAUUUGGAGUAAAAUGAACAAAGCAUAUACAAUCACAAAUUUAAGUUGCAUUAAUUAAGUUUGCUUUCAAUCCAAUAUAUAGUAACUCCUCGAGUAUAGGUAAAUUUGGACCUUCUAUGGUACCUUUCACUUUCGAGUUGGUUAUAUGUAAUACAACCAUCCCUAAAUACAACCAAGCUUCCCUUUAAGGUUCAAACGUGGAGAAAAACCAUAAGUUCAUUAUUUCUUUAACCAUUCCCAAAUACAACCAAACUCCUUUUAUGAGUUCAAAAGUCGAGAGAGAUCCAAGUUCUCUGUCAUACAACUAGAGUAGCCACUCUCAAAAUCCACAACGUGUUUUUCUCUAGCUCUUAGACCCUAUGGUCAACUAAGGCUUUUUGGUUCUCCUUAACCUAGAUUUUCUUUCCAACAGACAAUUUAAAUCCUAUUUAAGAAUUGUUUUUAAAAUUAAUUUCUCAGUUCUUAAAAAUAGAAACCUAUUUUGUAGACUAAAACCAUGUUUGGCAACUUUUUGACAUAUUAUAGUUUUUUGAGAACUUGUUCUGAAAAUAAGGUUUCUCCUAAUAACAUAUUUUAAUUGCUUUCAAUUGUUUUCAUUUAUUUUGUAAGGUUGUUUUAAAAAAAUAAUGGUACAUAUAUAAAGAAUGAUGAAAAAUAAAGAACUAAAAGUAAAAGUUAUUUUUAAUAAAUAUUUGGAAAUACAAAAAAUAUAUUAAAAACAUUCUAAGUUUGUAAAUAGACUUUUAUUCUAGAAAACAUCAGACCAACUAUUUUUGAAUCAUGCAAAUUGGGCACACAUUUUCUAUGCCUAGUUUUCUGCCCAAGGCCCUGUAAAUGAACACAACCUCAAUUUUAAGGAGUUUCAAAACGAUGGUUGCUUUCUCGAAGGGGAGAGGAGUUUCGAAGGGUGGUAAGAGUUUGUUUGCAAUGGAAUCAAAGACAUUCGAAAUCCCCAUUGAAGGGAUUCGAGGCAACAGAUGGGAUUAUUCCGAAAAGGAACAAAGGCUUCUCCUCAUAGAUAAAAUUUGGUGAAAAGAGCUUCAGUUUUCUGUUGGAAGGGGUGGAAGACUAGUGCAGAGGAGAGUCAAGCUCGAGGCACCUUAAAGUUUAGGAAGAAGAAGGAAGAAAAUAUAGGUUGGAGUGUCGUUCAAAUGAAGCCGAUAGGUAUCUACUAUGCUCGAUGAGGGAUUUGGAAGCUAAGAGGUUUUGUCUAGUGUUUCCAGAAGGUAAAGGCUUAGUAGGAGGGUGGUUUCUGUUGGCUUAGAAGUUAAGGGCCCUUGGAGUUUCUACUCCAGCCUUGAGUAAAGGUGAUCUGGGUACUUCCAACUCUGAAAAGAAUGGUUAUAUGGCCAAAGGAAAAGAUAAAGGGAAAGGAGUGUAUGCAGAAGUCGUGAGAAAGGAGGUAGGGGAAUUAGGGGAUGCAUUGUGAGUGCAUGUUGGGGAUCGUGACCUGCUCAGUAGGGAAGAACAGCUUAGCCAUUGUUUAGUAGGAUGUUUUGGUGAUAGUGUAGAGGUCGUCCCUUCUUUGUCCUUAUUGAAGGAGUGGGCGUGUGAAAAGUGGUAUCUCAAGGGAGGUUUAUAAAUCUCCAAUUUGGGUGGAGCCCUUGUGUUGUUCGAAGUUGAAGAUAAAAGUUGAAGUGGAUUUGGUGCUUUUAAGGGGUAGUAGAUGUCUUAAGAAGAGAGAGUUUUUCCUGCAGAAAUGGGGACUUGAAGUUGGGUGUUUUAGAAAUGGGAGCCACCCUAAGGAAGUGUGGGUGAAAGUUGUCGGACUUCCACUUCACCUUUGGAGUAGAGAGGUGUUCAAGAGUAUUGGAGAAAGAUGUGGUGUUUCAUAGCUGUGGAUAAGGAAACUGCUUUCUCCUCCGAGUUGAUGUGGGCUCGUAUCUUGCUGAGAGCCUUUGGGAAGUUUAGACCAGGAACUUCACAAGUGGCAGUCGGGAAUUUUUGUUGGACGGUGAGUCUAUGGUGGAAAACUCCCCCAUGGUUCUCAAAGGUAGUGGCAAGGUUCGCCUAGUUUGAAAAUGAGAGACGAGAGAUCAGGGAUGAGGUUGGGGGUGAAACACGUGCCGAAGUUAGCGUGCAAUAUGUUCAAAAUUUUCAAAUUGAUAUGCAGUCUUGGGGGACAGGGGCGCAGGUUGUGUGUGGCAGAAGGAAAAGAAAGGAAGUAGUUGUAAUGGUUGCAAAGGGUAAGCUGCCUAGUGUAGCUGAUAUGGACUCUUCUUGCAGUGGGUCUGGGCCCAUAAAAGAAAAUGGGAAGGCUUUCAAAGGGAAUGGUUGUUUGGGCUUUAGUGGUGAAGUGGUUUGGGCCAAAGGCCCAUUGUCCGUUAGCCUUGAAGAGGCGAGCUUAGGUAAGUCUCCUAAGCCCACUUUUAAUAAGGCUGGCACAAGCUUUUUGGAGCGUCCCUCCUCAGCUAGGGCUCCAUCUAUUCCCGCAGGGGGUGUUGGGGGACGGAUGCGAAGCUCUUGGCUGUUGAAGUUGCAGUCACCGCGGAGUUGCUGCCACAUCGUCGGAGCGUCACUGACAAGGCUCUGAUGGAGGAGGCUUCCAGGUAUUAAGCUAUUCCCAAUUUUUCUUUGUUUUUAGGGCUUCGGGAAUCCUCUUCUUCUUCUCUCUGGGGCCACACCGAAGUUGUAGGGGUGUCGAAGGGGUUUGCUUAUGGAACGGAAUGGGAGUUGGGUCGGUUUCCACCGAGUGUGGUGCGGAAUAGAGCUGAGUCGACUUUAUGAGGCUGGAGUGAGCCUUCUUGGGACUCGGUUGACGCUAAGAGAGUGAAUGGGUUAGCACUUGUCCCGAUGAGGUCGGACUUUACGCGCCUUUUUGAGAAAAGGAGUGUCUGUCACCUAGAAGAAGGGGGAUGUGAUGAAGGGUAAGGGGGAUGUGAUGAAGGGUGGAGUUCAAGCCGUCUUGCGGUGUUCAGUCGCUGCUUGGGUAUGCCAACGAAAGGCUUCGAAAAGGAAAUUUUGUACUUCUUAAGGAGAAUGACAGGGAAAAUUGAGUAAAAGGGUAAGAGAGGGGUGACUAGGAAGACAAGUUUAAAAUCUUCAAAAUCCAACAAGGAACUCAAGAAGCUGGAGUGGACUGUUAAAGAGGCUAAUGAUAGGGGUAAAAGGAAGAUUAUCAAGUCAGUCAUUAAAUCCCAAAGAGUGGACCUGGUUUGUUUACAGGAAACUAAAAUUAAAGAAAUGACUACAGGGCUUGUUCGUAGUCUAGGGGUGGGAAGAAAUCUAAAAUGGAGAGCAGUCAAUCCUAGGGGAGCAGCUAGUGGUAUUCUGUUGUUCUGGGACAAUAGACUGGUGGAGCUGGUUGGCUAGGAAGAAGGGGUUUUCUCAAUUUGGCGUUGGUUUAAAAAUUGCAUGGAUGGUGUAGUGUGGGUGUUCACUGGAGUGUAUGGGCCAGUAUGCAAUAGAGAUAGAGAGGAUUUCUGGAAGGAACUAGGGUCAAUUAAAGGGUUAUGGAGUGACCCUUGGUGUGUAGGAGGGGAUUUCAAUUUGGUAAGGUUUCCAAAAGAGCGUAGUAGGAGAGGUGGGCUUAUUGCUUCAAUGAGGAGAUUCUCAAAAGUGAUAGAAGAUUUGGAGUUGAGGGAUUUUCCUUUGACGGGGGGCUCAUUUACUUGGAGAGGAGGCUUGAAUAACCAGGCCCAGUCUAGGCUUGACUGGUUCUUAUUGACGAACAACUGGGAUAAUCUGUUCAAUGGGGCCAUGCAGGGAAUUCUCCCCAGACCUGUCUCAGAUCAUUUCCCGAUCCUCCUAGGAGGAGGGUUGACGAAGGGACCUUCCCCUUUCAGAUUUGAGAAUAUGUGGUUGGAGGAGGAGGGUUUCAAAGACAAGAUGAAGACAUGGUGGGGGAGUUUAAAAUUUACGGGGACAUCCAACUACAUUUUAAAUGCUAAAUUGGGGACUCUUAAAAAUAUUCUGAAGAUUUGGAAUAAAGAAGAGUUUGGGCUCUAUUGGGAUGAAAAGAAGAAAUGUGCAGCUUUAAAUAUAAAAGAGUGUGAAGCAAGAAAUGGAGCAAGAGUCCUACAAGUCUUGGGUGACGAGAGAAGAGAUUUUUUGGAGACAAAAGUCUAGGAAGUUGUGGCUGAAGCGGGAGGGGGGACAAUAAUACUAGAUUUUUUCAUAGGUUGGCGAAUGCUCAUAAUAAAAGAAUCUAGUUGUCCAAGUUGAAAGUUAAUGGCUAUUGACACUCAGAGGAAAAUAAUUUAAAAAAGUGUGGUGGGGGCGUUUCAAAAACCAUACUCAAAAGAAGAGGGGUGGCGCCCUAGUAUCGACAGGUCGUCCUUUAUAGGUUAGAUAGAAGUGAGGCUGAGGGGUUGGAGAAUCCUUUCUCGGAGGAAGUGGUGUUUGCAGCUCUUUCAGAUCUAAGCAAAUACAAAGCCCUAGGGCCGCAUGGUUUUACCAUGGCAUUUUGGUUUUUUUGGUGGGAUGUGGUGAAGGUUGAGAUUAUAGGCUUUUUUAGAGAAUUUCAUGAAAGGGGUAGAUUUGUAAAAUCUCUAAAUGUCACCAUCUUGGGUUUAGUCCGUAAGAAGGGAGGUGCUCAAGAUUUGAAGGAUUUCAGACCGAUUAGCCUUGUGGAGCCUUUACAAGUUGUUGGCCAAGUGUUGCCAAAUAGAAUCAAGAAGGUAAUGGGAAAAGUGAUUUCGGAACCCAAAAUGCCUUUGUGAAGGGUAGAUAAAUACUUGAUGCAGUUUUGAUUGCAAAUGAGGCUACGAAUUCUAGGUUGAAAAGCAGUCAAGGGGGUAUGAUGUGCAAAUUGGAUAUAGAGAAGGCCUAUGAUCAUGUCUGCUAAAAGUUCGUGUUGGCAAUGCUAAAAAAAAUAGGCUUUGGUGAGAGAUGGAUUAAGUGGAUGGAGUGGUGUAUCUCUAUUAUAAGAUUCUCUGUUCUUAUAGAUGGUUCUCCCUCCGGGUUUUUCCAAAGUUCAAGGGGUUUGAGACAAAGAGACCCCUUAUCCCCUUAUCUGUUUGUGAUAGUUAUUGAGGUAUUUAGUUGCUUAUUGAGAAGGGCCAUUAGUGGGGGCUUUAUAUUAGGGUGGAGGAUAAGAGGCAGGGUGGAGAGGGGAUUCUGAUAUCUCACUUGCUUUUUGCGGAUGACACCUUGGUGUUUUGUGAGGAGUCUCAGGAUCAAUUGACGCAUCUAAGCUGGCUUCCCAUGUGGUUUGAGGCUUGCUCAUGGUUGAGAGCUAACUUGGAGAAGAGUGAGCUUAUUCCGAUGGGGAGGGUAAAAGAUAUAGAAUAUUUGGCUUUGGAAUUGGGCUAUAAAGUGGGUGGUCUGCCUUCCUGUUAUUUGGGUCUGCCUUUAGGGGCACCCUUCAAAUCAGAGGUGGUAUGGGAUAGUGUUGAAGAGAGGUUUCGAAAAAGGCUAACUAUAUGGAAGAGACAACAUAUAUCAAAAGGGGGAAGACUCACCCUAAUAUGAAGCACUCUCUAGUUUGCCAGUUUACUUCAUGUCUCUCUUCUUUUUGCCCAAAAAAGUAAGGCUAAGGUUGGAGAAGAUUCAGAGGGACUUCCUGUGGGGAAGAGGAGCUCUUGAACAAAGGUCACAUCUUGUUAGGUGGAACUUGGUUUGUCUGGAAAGAAAGAAAAGUGAUUUGGGUGUGAGAAAUUUAGCUUUGAUGAAUAAAGCUCUCUUGGGUAAGUGGAAUUGGCGCUUUGCCAUUGAAAGUGAGGCUUUGUGGAAGCAAGCGAUCGGUCACAAAUAUGAUGUAAAGGAGGGGGGAUGGUGUACUCGGGCCGUAAGUGGGAGGCAUGGUGUAGGGCUUUGGAAAGCUAUUAGAAAGGAGUGGUUGGGUAUGUAUAGAAGUUUAGUCUAUCGCGUGGGCAGUGGUAGGAAAGUGAGAUCCUGGAAGGAUAAGUAGUAUGGAGAUGAGCCUCUUUAGGAGUCCUUCCCUUCUUUAUUUGCCAUUUCCUUGGCUAAAGAUGUUUGGGUAUCAGAUGUGUGGAAACCAGAUGGUGUAGAGGAUGGUUGGACCCCUCUUUUCUCAAGGGCGCUUAAUGAUUGGGAGAUUGAGAUGGUGGAGCAGUUUAUGCUAAAAAUCCAAGCCUUUAGGGUGUAAAGGGAGGACGAGGAUACAGUGGUAUGGACAGCAUCUAAAAGUGGAGGACUAGUAUUUGGAGAGCGUAUGUGCCUCCUAAGGUAACUUUCUUCGCUUGGGAAAGCAUCCUGAGGCAAAAUCUUAACUUUGGAGCAACUCCAUUGAAAGGGGUACUCUUUGGCAAAUAGAUGUUUUCUUUGCCUUUCUGAAGCAGAAAGGGUGGAUCACCUUUUACUUCAUUGUGUUAAGACACGGGCAUUGUGGAAUCUUCUUUUUUCCCUCUUUGGUGUGACUUGGGUUCUCUCUGGUUUAGUUAAGGAAACUCUCCUUGGUUGGCAUGGAGCAUUUGUGGGAAAAACCCGUAAAAAGGCGUGGCAAAUGAAUCAUUUAUCUAUAUUUUGGUCAAUAUGGAAGGAAAGAAAUUUAUUGGCUUUUGGGAAUGAGGUGUUUUCACUCCAAAGGUUGAAACAUUCUUUUGUAUGUAAUUUUUGAUCUUGGGUUAGGGUGUUUAUAGUUUUGAGCCCUUGUUCUCUUGUUAGCUUUUUUGAGUGGCUAGGCUCUAAGUAAGGGUAGGGGUUGUCGUUUCUUUCCCCUUUCUUGGUUUAGAGUAUGUGGGUUGCUUUUGUAUACUCCCUGUAUACUUAGAGGGCACUAGUUUGGUGUUUCCUCUUUUUGUUUAAUAUAUUUCUUUUUACCUAUCAAAAAAAAAAAAAAAAAACUAUUUUUGAGAACUUUUUUCAAUAACCGUUUUUUAAGAUUUAUUUUCAAAAAAAAUUCCUAAACAAAGCCUUAACCUUCAAGGAUCUAAAACUUUGCACUAAGUUUGGUGUUUUAUUGUUGGAUUUUCUUAGUCUUGCAAGCUUUAUGAUGAUCUUGCAAUAUUUUCUUUAAUUUACUAUUCAUUUUACCUGAGCAUUAAGUUUGGCUAAGUAUUGAAGAAUAACCUUGGCAUACAUUCAACUUCUUUUAUGGACAAAGGAAUGGAGCUAGAUCAGACUUUCUUUAAAUUUAGUCAAUUCUGAUUUACGUGACUCAUAAUCAGAUUGUAAAACAUUCAAAUUUUUUAACAAGGUACCUUGCUCAUUUUCAAGGUAAGAGAUUUUUUUCAAGCAAGGAAGUCUUCUCUCAUACUUCUUUUAUUCUCAUCCAACUUUCACAAUUUUAAUCUUAAGGCUUCCUUGGCAAUCUCAAAAGACAACUUUUCUUCCAAAUAUGUUGUAUCAUGAGAUGAACCUUCAAAAUUUUCAGAUUCAAGAUCAGUUUCAAAUUUAACAUUUUUCUUUUCAUUGCAAAGUGAUAUAGAAGGUAACAAGUAUAUCAACAAUUUCGUCAGGCUCAUCAUGCUCAAAAGACACAAAUAUCAUCAAUGUCAUGUGACAAUAAAUCAUAAUUAUGUUUAUGCAUGUUUCUAGCAACUUAAUGCAAUGAAAUUUGUACAUUCUUCAUCAAAAUCAUACCAAAUUACUUCUAUGACUUUAUCCUUUUGACAUUCAAGAAAGUGACCUUUCUUGACACAAUAGAAACUUUGAAUCAACUAGAUCUUUUUUGUGCUUUUUAAUCUUUUUAUCACAUUUCUUUUCCCUUGUUUAAUCAAAUAGGUUAUCCUUUGUUUCUGGAAGCUUUUUGAACUUUUUGAAACUUUAUCAAGCCUAUAAAUUUCCAAUAUUGGUCCUUUUUUAUUCCUAUUCUGAUUUAGAAGCAUGUUUAUCUACUCCUAGUGCAAUAUUAAUGUUUCUUUUUCUUAGGAACACUUGGAGUCAUCUCCAAUUGAAGGAAGCCAACUAUCUCAUCUGGCUUUAUUGAAUCAACAGUGUUCCAUUCCUCUAUUGUUAUGACCUUAGGUCUAAAACGAUCAAAGGGGAUCUUAACAGUUUUUCGAGUAACCUUGGAAUCAGGUAGAGGCCUACAUAGAUUGAAAGUUAGCAUUCACAAUGUCCAUGAUUUCAAUAAUAUAUUAAGAAAAUAAUUUUGUUGUGAUCAUUUGAAAUUCAUUACUUCACCUAUCCCAACUUUACAUAGUUUUACCUACCCUAGUGGAUAUACAUCCAAUCUCUAUUUAGCACCUUAUCAGGAUAUCAACAAAAUUGAACAGAACUCCAAUCUCUAUUAGACUUCAUUUUCAAGAAGUAUAUCAGUUGCACCUUGGAGUGAGUAUAAUUAUCUCCUUUGAAGUAUGGAGGUCUACCUAUAGAGGUUCCUUCUCAGAGAAUUUCCAUCUUAAGAGAAUAUAGUUUAUCCAUAUUGAGAACAUGAGCAAACAUGUUUUGACACAAUUUAUGAGUUUUUAAGAGAGUAUGCAAUGAACUUGAGAUCUCUUUUAGAUUAUCAAAUAACAUAUGCACAUGAAUGUGAUUGCGUGAUUAGCACAAGGUCAUAGACUAAAAUGUCUCUAAUGAAAUCUCAGCAAACAAGCACACAAAUAUUGCACAAGAUAUAACAUGAAAAAUCUCUAAGUGGAGAAAGGAAAAUAAAUAAAUAAAUAACAGUGGGUGCCUUUGUUGUUGCAAAUCCACUAUGAAUAUAAAUCCAGUUUUGCCUACAAGUCCUCCAAGAUCAAUCACCAAUCCCCUUAAGGAAUCCUCAAAGUGAUUAUUUCUUCAAUCCACACCUCGUUUUGAUAUGCUUCAAUACGGCUCAUCAUGUACUCACCACCAAUCUCUCACCAUAGCCUCCUUCAACUCUCUUCAAUUACCACGAGUUUUCUUCUGCUCUACUAAUUACAUUACAACAGAAUCACCUUCAUUAUCUCAUUGAAGUGAUCUCCAAAAACUAGAAAACAAAAAUUCCAUUUGCAAAGCAACUUCUUCAUAUAGAUUCAGAGAACCAAAAUAAGAAGAUGUUUUCACUUGUAGCAACAUCUUCAUGUAGAUUCAGAGAACUCAAAUUGUAACUUCAAAUUCACUCUUAGAAUCUCAAUUAAGGUAAAGCUCACAUUUCAAAAUCUCCCACCAAGAGUUUCACUUACUCUUCCUUUUUGAAAUGAGAGUAGAACCAACUUAGUGCCAAGGGACAUAAGGCACACUCUUAUUGGCCUAUUGUCAUGCAAAUUUCUAGGUGGAGGAGAAUCCAACUAACUAAACAAAUGUUUUUUCGCUUCUGGCCAUUUGUUUCUAUGGUCUAGAAAAAUAUGUCCUAGAUGAUUCCCAUUGUUUCAACUCUUUCAUGAAAAAUGCUUCUCAAAUCACUCACUCCAGUCUUUCAUUCACAUUACCUGUGAACUCCAAUCUGCAGUAGUGAAAUCCUAUCAAAAGACUUGGAUUGAGUUCCUGGUUCUCGGUUGCCUAGCUCUAGCAAACCAGGACUUCUGUUAGCAACCUGGAACAAGUAGCUUAUCCUUUCAAUCCCAUUUUCAAGCUCAAUUCCCUCCACCAGUGAAAACAAAUGGUCUUAUAUAAUCAACUCCAUUCACUCCAGGGCUAUACAGGAAACACUUGUGAGCUGGCAGGCAGUAGCUCCUCCCGACUCACCAUAUUUCCAACCCCAUUUGCUCCAUCAAAUUCAUAAGAAGCUAACAAAAUAACUAGCAUUAUAUAUCAUACAAUAUCUAUGCUAGUUAAUUUACAUGGAAAAUGCAAUUUCUACCCUAAAUAUGCCAACAUACAGGAAUACAUACAAUUUAUACAAACAUUGCACGCUAACACAAGAAAAUCAUACCUGACUUGCUGAUUUGAGGCAAUUCACCAGAGAAUGCAUAGGUGGCAAUGAGAUCCCAAUUGAGCUGUGACAAUCUAACAGUCGCAGACUUGAAGGAAGCUCUGGAAUUUGUGAAAGCUUCUUGCAGUGACUCAAGUCAAGGGCUCUAAGGUUAGAGAGUUGACUGAUACCCACAAGUAUGUCACUGAGGGUUCCUCCUUCCUCUGGACUGCACCGACUUAGAUUUAAUACUUCCAGUGAGGAUAGAUGGAAAAUACAAUGGAACACUCCUCCAUUUAGAAUGCAAUUUCCUAGACUAAAUUCUUUCAAUGCGUUCAAGCAGUUAUCACUCUUUAUUACUCCUGGUGUUAGAUUGCAUUGAUCUAAAUAUAGUUCCCUUAAGAGAGAUAAACCUGACAGAGAAGGCAAUUGACAACUAAGCGAAUUUAAAUAAAGAACCUCUAGACAUGGCAUUCUCUCCAAGUCCUCCGGCAAUCUGUCAAGUUUUGAGCAGCCUUCAAGACUUAGAACAACAAGAAAUCUCAAAUUACAAAUGCUGUUCGGGAGACCCUCAAGGUUUUUACAAUUAUCCAAAUUCAAGUAGCGAAGGCCUUCUAGAAGUUCAAUCGAUGAUGGUAGCUCUUUUAUAGCUGUUUCAUCUAAACAAAGCUCCUCUAGUUUUGCAAUAUUGCUCUUGAUUUUUGGAAAACUAGCUAGUUUUGAACAGCCAGUGCAAUGAAGAGUUAAAAGGUGUUUCGACUCAUGAAUGUCCCCAGGAAGACUCUCAAGGCUUACACACCCUAUAAAAUUCAAGGAAAAAAAAAGUUAGUUUAAUAACACUCUUAUAUGUGUGUGAACCUUAAGUAAAAUUAUACAACCUGAAAGAAUUAGUUCCUCCAAAUUUGGCACGUUUGAGAAAUUUGGUAGCUCAAUGAGUUGUUGUGAAUCGCUGAGAUUGAUGCGCCUUAAAUUUCUAAGACACUGGAACAAAAUAGAAUUUCUAUUAAUAAAUCAAUUUUAAAAAACUUUAAAAUAUUAUAAAAUAAAAGCACAAAUAAAUAAUAAUCAUACCAUGUUUCCUUUCCAAAGUAGUUUUAUGUUACUAUUGCCCAAUAUGAGGGAAACAAGAUUGUUCGCAUGAAAGUUUGAUGGUAGAGAUUCUAAAGAAUAUCCAUUCCAUCUAAGGUAUGUCAAGUCAUACGGAAAUACAAAAUCUUUAGAGAGUUGUACGUGAUUGUGGGAGAUGGAAAGCAAUCUAAGUCUAUGCAUCCUUUCGAAAGCUUUGGAUGUAAACUGUAUUUGUUCUGAUUUGUCCACAUGAAGAUAUAUCCCUUCGAUUUUUUCAGUCCCCUAGAUAAUAAGAGUAUAAAAUUAGAAAAGCGCAAUAAAUAUAAAUCCUUACUAAGGUGAUAAAGAUAAAUAACGUCUUGAACAAAACAUAUUUUCUAUAUAUAUAUAUCUUACCGUAUUUCUUUUUAAUACUCGAUAAAUAUCUAUAUGUCUCCAUAAUCUGCUCCUCUCUCCUGGCUCAUUAGGACAUUCUUGAUCAACAAUGCCCUUGCCCAUUUGGGCUAACAAAUCAUGCAUAUCUAUUCUGUUGUCCUUUGAAAUGGUUAUGAAACACCUAUCAACGAGAGCAUUUAUUCCACUUUCCGCAUUGAAUUCGGAAGCAUCCAAUAUUCUUGAAACUCUUUUCACAUCAUCUCCUCUAAAGAAACAUGCAAUGUCGAGAAAUAUCAUCCUUUGUGUAUAAUCCAAUCCAUCGAAACUUAUUUUAAGCACUUUUACAAUUUCCAUGUUAGGCACCUUUUCCAGCUUCUGCAAUUCACUUUUCCAAUCUGGUAGUCUCUUUCCAAAUAAUAGAGAACCCAAAACUUUAAGUGCUAAUGGAAGACCAUCAGCAUAUUGUACUACUUGAUGAGAGAGAUCUCCAUAACCUUCCUUCGGAUGAUGUUGUUUAAAGGCAUAACGGCAAAAAAGUUGAAGAGCUUCGUGAAAAUAUAAUUUCUCAACUUCAUACAUAUCAUUUACUUCAUGCCUAGUUAGCAAAUCUUUUUUCCUAGUAGUAAUGAUGAUUCUGCUUCCUGGACCAAACCAAUCAUGCUUUCCAAUUAAGUGUUCUAAUUGUGUCAGCUCAUCUACAUCAUCCAGAAAAACAAGAACCUUUUUUGAGGAAAGCUUGUCCCUUAUUUCUUUGAUACCUUCAUGAACAUCCCUUAAAACUAUUUUCCUCGUUGUCCUUAGAGUAUCAUUAAGAAGUUGUUGUUGUAACUUAAGAAGACCAGAAUUUUCUGUGGAUUCUUUUCUGACAUCUGUGAGCAAGCUAACACUUUCGAAUUGAUUUGAGAUUCGGUUAUAAAGAGCAUUGAUGAUGGUGGUCUUGCCGAUACCACCAAGCCCAUAAACCCCGACCAUGCGAACAUCAUUCAACUCAAUCUUUAACAAUGAUAUUAGUCUUUCCAAACGAGAAUCCAUUCCAACAAUGUUCUCGUUAACAACUAAAGUCUUAGGGAAGCUUCUAAGGACGUUCUCAAUAAUUUCAUCAAUAAGCUCUGAUUCGUACCUGCCAAUUGCAUUAGGAUGAGUUGCAAAAAACAAUAAAUUAUAUGAAAUAAAUUUAAUGAUGCCUAGUUUUCCAACUUUAACUUAAUAGGGCUAAAACGAAUUGAAAUUAAAAUAAAAUAAACCACAUCUAACAAAUUACGUAUCAGUACAAUUUCAUUAUUCUAUACAAUUGCUCAUGUAUAUGAUAGAAAUAAGGGAAGAAAAUACAAAAUAUGAAUUGGAUUAUCAAAAGCGGAAAAAAAAAAAAAAACUAAAAUAUUUUUGUGUUAGCUUAUACUAUUCAAUCUUGUGGAAGGUUCAAAAUAAAGUUGAGUUGUCUAGAACAUUACUACCCUAUUUUGAUAAGGGAUUCCAUCAUAGGAUCAACUGCUAGUCUGCAUCCAAGCUUUUUAAUCUAAUGAUUUUACUACUGAUUAGACGGUCAACAUUACUAUCUUCUAUACUUGCAAGACUUUCUCUCACCAUUUAUUUAGAUAAAUGUCUCUUGCUGUUCCAUAUGUUGUAUUUUGCAUUUAUUUUUGUCUCUAGCUGUAUGAACAAAAAUUUUUGAAAACCGUUUAAUUAAAAAAUAACUUUCAUGAAUUAAUUAAAAAUAUUUUAUUUAUAAUUUUAAUUCUAUUGCAUGAAUGAAUUAAGAAAACAAAUUUACAUCAAUUUUAACCUAAAAUAAUUUAGUAUAUUCUUUAUGAAUCAAUAAAAUAGAAUUUUGUUUUUAAGAAAUUGUAAUAUUAUGGUAUCAAGUUUAAAAUUUUAAUGAACAGAUCUUUAUUUUAUAAAUAAUAAAAAUGAAUAAAAAAUUAUAAAAGUUUAAAACUCACUUAGCUUUAAAAAUUAUAAAAAUGAUAUAAAUAUUUUUUAUAUCAGCAGACAGAGAAAAGGAGAGUACUUCAAAUGACAAAUGAAGAGAAGUUACAAUUACCUGUUCGUCGCAUCAUAUCCGGCUAGAUUGCUUGCUUGCCUCAGGGCAGUCUUCCAUUUCCUUAUCUUUUCCUUUCUCUCCUCCUCUGCAUUCUUCUCAUGAUGGGUAAAUGCUUCUCCGUAAAUCUCAGUUUGGUUCCGCACUUCAGACGGAUCCACAUGAUAGAAAAUUGGGAUAACUACCAUUUGUUCCCUUUCCUCUUUGCAUUUCAUGAUCUUGACAAGCUCUUCCAGACACCAUUUGGAACGAGCAUAGGUUUCUGAGAAGACAACAAUGGCACUCCUUGAUUCCUCAAUAGCUUUUAAGAGCUCUGGUGCAAUCUCUUCACCCCUUCGAAGUUCUUCAUCAUCUCUAAAGGUUCUAAUACCGCUAUGAAUCAAAGCCUUGUAGAGAUGAUCAGUGAAGUUUCUGCGAGUAUCUUCACCUCUAAAACUCAAAAACACAUCGUAACUCCAUUGAGAAUGGGAAGUGGAAGAAGAAGAGGCCAUGGUUGAACAGAAAUUGAAAGAAAAAUAAGGGUCUUUGGGUAUUUAGUGGGUUGAUUCCCUUGGCCUUAUAGAAGUAUGGAUGUUGGUGGUGGGAUGUUGCCUUUUCUUUCUCAAUUGUUUUUAUUCUUAGCUGUAUCCCUCUUGCUGGUUCACAUGACUCAAGACCCUACCUCAAUUAUUUCCCUCCACUCUUUUCUUAUACAUUUUACUCUCACUUUUCUCUUGUUGACAGUCAACAAUGGCCGACAGUCUCGUCUCUGCAGUUUACAGCUGUUCUUUUCUUUUAUUUCCAAUUAAUUUCUAAAAUAUAAAAAAUGAUCAAAUCCAUGUGAUCUUUACUUAGGUCAUAAGAUCGUGUGAACGCACAUUAAAUUAAAGUUAUUCAAUUAAUUUUUGUCUUUUGCAUAAUGAGCAAUAUUAUAGUAGAAAAUAAAGGUUUAUUAUGUUGAUAUGUCAAGUAAAGCUAACAACUUUGGUAUUAUAAGCUUGAUUUUUGUAGAUAGAAAAAUAUGAGAAGUCAUAUGACAAAAGGCAAAGAAAAUUUUGAUCAUGAAAAGUAGAAAAAAGCACAAAACCUUCAUGAAAUUCUAAUUCUAAGGAAGAAAGACCAUGCUCAAAACUCGAAAUUUAAAUUCUCACAAUCUUUUCAUAUUUUGCAGAUAGGUUUAUUAUUAAUAGAAGCACAUAAAUAAAUAUUGUACUUAAAUCCCACUAAUUUAUAGGUCAUUAUGGUAUAUGUAGGUCAUCAUAGUAAUGAGUGGGAAGGUGGGUACCUUUAAAAAGAAUAAGCUAAACCAAUCACCCUAAAUUUCAAAAGCACCUUUAUCAUAAAAGUGUGGUAAUGAGAGUGGAUAUCUUUUAAAAGAAUAGACAACCCUGAAUUUCAAAAAAAUGUCUGUUUCUUGGCGAUUGUAUCCCAACAGUCUUAUCUUUUUUUACUUUAUAUCUUUUUAUUAUUAUUAUCGUGAGGAUGGUUAAAGAUGAUGCUAGAAGUUUUUCUAUGGUUUAAAAAGAAAAAAUGUGAGUGUUAAGUUGGCAUUUUUGUCUUUUUAGAAAAUACUUCAUUUUAAGAUCAUUAAUAGAAGAAAUAAAGAGUUCAUAAAAAAUAAAGAAAUUUUUAUUGACUGAUCUAGGUAACCAUUUCAUGGCUUUUAAUUGUAACUUUGUUGAAAAUCUUACUCCUUCCUCCUUGUCUUCCUCUUGUUAUUCAAAAGUUUCAACUCCUUUUUUUUUUAAAUAAUAAUAUUGAUUUUAUGUUUUAAUGAAAUAAGUUGCAAAUUUGAAGAAAACAUAUUCUAAUGUAUUUAUUGAUUAUGGUCCUCUUUUCAAAAGGGUUAUCGUUAUUUACAUUCUCGAACUAAUCAAGUUUACAUCUCUAAAUAUGUAAUCUUUGAUAAGUUUGAGUUUUCUUUUACUAACAAAACUUCUCCCGUAUCUUUCUUGUAGGAACAAAGUCAAAUGACCAUAUUUUGAGAUUCUUAUCAACAGUUACAACCAUUCAAUCCAAACACCAACUCAACCCACAACUUCACUUCCACCAAACAACCUUUCAAACUAUCGUAAUAAUGUAGAUCUUCUAUUUUAUUUUUUUUAACACAUCUCAUCUAAAAUUGUCUUCUUACAUCCUUUAACACCUUAUUAUGCACUUAUGGUUAUUUUUCUAAGCUAUUUUUCUAAAAUUGUCUUCUAUUCAUUGUGAUUAUGUUGAUUACUAAUUAUUUUAUUUUAUUUUAUGCAAGAGACAUUCUGAAGGGAUUAGAUGCAUUCCAAUAUUGAUUUUAAUGAUUUUUAAAUCUUAAUUUAGGACUUUAUUUUUUAUUGAUUUAUAACAUAUUUAAGUUUGUUUAAAAUUUUCAAACUUUAAUUUUUAUAAAAUAGAUUCAAGUUUUGAAUUAAUUAAUAAUUGAUUUCAUUCUCUUUAAAGUGUAGAAUAUGAUAAAAGGCGUGUAACAAAUUCAAACAAAUCAUUAUACAAGUGAGAAUUUAGGUCAUCCAAUCAUUUUAUUAAAAAUCACUCUAUAAAUUAUAAAAAUAAAGAUAUUAAUCACAUCUAUUAAUAUGUUUUUUUUUAAAUUGACAAAUCAUAAUGAAAUUAUAAUCUUUUUAAUAUUUUAUUAAUUAUAAAUUAAAACGUCAUUAUAAUUAUUCAAUCCCCACGGAAUAUAAAAUGAGUUAUUUUUAAUAAUAAUAACUAAUCAUAUUUGAAUAACAUUUCAUCAAUUAUAUAUAAAAAUAAAGUUUUAUGUUUAUCAUAACCUAUGUUUUAAAUUAAACAAAAUAAUAAAAGUUACAUUUCCAUUUAAAUGUAUUUACAUAUCUACCUCCAUAGCCCAUGGUAUUAAAAUAAUCUAAUAAAACACAGUAUCCCAUAACCGGUCAACAGCACAGCUGCUCCUAGCCUUAGCCCCUUGCAGCUGCAAUCAGCUGUUCCACUCUCUGUUACAGUCCAGCUUUGGCCGCCCAAGACAUACAUCUUUUCACCCAUCACCCAUUUACCCCUGCCACAGCUAUUUUUUACCUUUGAGCUGCCCAAAGUCACACCAAACUAGCUGAUAAACCAUACCUUACAACCUGCAAACCAUCUCCUCAGCCAUCCCUAAUAGCCCACUGCCAGCCCUUUGUAAGAGUCACACCAAAGCCAAAUUUUUUUUAUUAUUAUUUUUAAUCAACUCCAGCACAGCCUCGUCAGACCGCCGAGCCUCCUGAUCUCAUCUCCAAACACGUUCUGCAGCUGAAUCCUUUGCCUUUAUGAAGUUUGGAUGCUGGUGGUGGGAUGUGCUUUUCCUUUCUCAAUUAUUUCUGCUUAGCUGUAUCCCUCUAGCUUUGAACUUUCACUUUUGUCCCUUUUGGCAGUCAACAAUGGCCGACAGUCUUGCCUCUGCGAUUUACAGCUGAUCUUUUCUUUUAGGGAGAGUUGGGAUUACUGGCUGUUAUACGAGAAAUACAUGGUUUUCAAAACCAUAUAACUGAAAUAUGAUUUACCUGAGAAAAAUUGUGAGAGUUGAGUUGUCAUUUUCGCCAUUUUAUAAAAGACUUAAUUUUAAGACCGUUAGUACGUAGAAAUAGGGGUCUCUAAAAAGCCCGCGGCCCGCUUUAGGCCCGGCCCGGCCCGGCCCGACGGGCUAAAGCCCGGCCCAAGCCCGCCGGGCCCAAGCCCGGCCCGAGCCCAUUUAUGGGCGGGCCGGGCCGCGGGCCUAAAUUUAGGCCCGGCCGUUGGAGACCCUUGCGUAGAAAUAACAAGUUCACAAGAACGAAAGAGACCUUUGUUGACUGACCUAGGUAACCCCUUUCAUGGCUUUUUCACUUGUUUGUUUUUGGAUUUUCUUUAAUGAGGCUAGGUGAUUGUUGUUUAUUUUGACUUAUAUUUUAGAUGGAUUUCAUUUUUAAUAAGAGUUUUUCAUGGUAAAAAUUGAUGUGAUACAAAUUUUUAUUGAUAUUAAUAUCAUUUUAUCAUAAAUUAUUUAGAGUAUAGAUAUAAAUAAAAUAUCAAUACCAUAGGAAAUGUUAAAAUAAAGUUAGGUGCAUAUGCAAAAAAUAAAAUUUGAAAAAUAGAAUAGUCCAGUCCAACCAUAUCCACACAUCCAUCUUCCUAUAAAUUAAACUAAUGAUAGAUACAUAAGUCAAAAAUAAGAUUUGAAAAAGAGUAUAAUCCAAUUCAACUACCCACCUUCCAAUAAAUUAAACUCAAAAUGGGCACAUAUUCCAAAAAUAAAUUUUGAAAAAUAAAAUAGUCCAAACCAACUUUAUCAACAUGUCCAUCUUCCAAUAAAUUAAAUUGGAAAUGAGUCGGCAUGUGAUAAAAUAAAUGUCAAUUUCCAUUUUACUUAUAUUAAAUUCACUUAUAUAUUUAUAUCGAAAAUUAUCCUUUGAAUCUUUCUAGAAACAUUAGAUUUUAAGGAAAUCAUGCAAGUAUACUUUUCUUAUUAUCAAUUUAAAAUAUAAAAUCCUUCCAUAGUUAUUUAUUAAAGUUCUACAAAGAAAAUUAAGAAAAUAAGGAUUUGGUAGGUAAUUAUGUUUAAAAAUAAUUUUCUAUUUUUUAUAGUAGAAAACCAGGUUCUAACUUUUUUUUUUUUAAAAAAAAAAAACACAUUAGACAAAUUUCGACCAAGAAGAAUUUCUUCAAAAUUUGCUCUAGAUACAUGUUAUUUUAAAAACAUGAUUUUGACAUAUUUUCAAAUAUUGUUUGUAUAGUUUUUGAGCAAAAAAUGAAAAGAUGGAGAAUACUCCAAAAACUUUGCAAAUGAAAAUACUAUGUUUUAUAUUUAUGUUUUCAAAUACAAUUUUGCAAAUGAAAUAUUUGAGAAUGUUCUUAAAAAUUAUUUUUUAAGAAGUGCUUUUGAAAACUUGGCUAAACAUGACCUAAAUAUCCUAAACAUGAAAGAUACAAGAAUGCAAGAAAAACAUUUUCAAUAAUUUUAUUUUAUUUAUUAUAUUAAAGAGUAACAUUAAUGUUUCAUUAUGAAGUUAAAAUGUUUCAUUCAAUCAAAAUUUAUUCUGCUAGUUUUCAAGGAAAGCAUUAUUUAUCAAGAUGCUUGCCUUAGUUGUUUUGUAUUUUAUAUUUUUCUUUGAUUGGGAUUGGUGAGAAUUGUCCUAAAUAUAGAUUUUAUUUUGAAUAAUUUCUAAAUUAGACUUGUAAAAAAUAAGAAAAAGUAUCUAGUAAUUCAUUGUUACACAUGAAUGUUGCAACUUGGUAAAAUUUAUGAUAUUUAUCACUAGGAAAUUUUGCUUAUAGAUAUAAAUAAAAUGGUAACAUCUAUCACAAGGAAAGGUUGGGAAGGAAGCAAACAUAUUAAUAGGUGAAACAAGAAAAAGAAAAAUAAUAAUAAUAAAUGAUAAAAAAAGGUAAGGGAAUUCAGAGUCAUGAGUUGGUACUCUAUAUUAUUUAAAGUGAUUAUAAUUUAGGGUACAAAUUUCUUUAGAAAUAAAUAACGUAAAUAGAUUCUAAAAAAGAUUAUGUAAAAUUAUCAUUUCUUAAAAAAGAGAAGAAGGUAUUUUCUUUAUUUUUAAACAUUUAUUAAUUUUUAAUACUAAUACAAUAUUAAAUCUAAUGAGAAGACCUCCUUUAAUCUUCUCACUUUAUUCAUUGAAGUCUUUUUAAAUAAUUUGAGAAAGUAAUUUUAAAUCCAAUUACAUGGUGAAGAUCAAGGUAAUAGUUAGAAUAAAACUACAAAUAACAUGGUCAAGAUCAAGGUGGGUGUGUGUGUGACAAUCUUAUAUACUUUUUUGGAAGUAUGAAAAGAGUAAUGAAAUCAUGUACCUAAUAAAAAGUAAAGAAAACUUUAAUUCUACUGGAGGAAGCAAACACUAAACUUCCUUAAGAAAAUGGUAAUGUUGAAUUAAAUAACUUGCAUUGACGAACAUUAUGGUCCUUAUUCUAAAUUAUUUCAUUUCUUUUAUUGUGUCUCCAUUCAUUUAACAUGAUUUUUGAAAGUAUAAAAAGAGUAAUAUAAGUUACGUACCUAACAAAAUUAAAAAAAAGUACUUUAAUUUAAAUAGGGAAUGAGACAUGAAACUUCCUUGAAAAAAUGGCAAUGUUGAAAAGUUAAUAAAGUAGUUUAAAUUUUCAACUUGUUACAUUAGAUAACUUGCAUUAAAGGACAAUAUGUAUCUUAGAAAUAGAAAGUUUUGAAGUGAAACAUCUAAACAUGUAGGAACAUUAAACAAUGCCUUGGUCAAAAAAGGAAAACGCAUAGGAACAUAUAUCAAAUAAUAUCUUGGUCAAAAAGAAUAAUGCUUUAGUAAAAAAUGGAAAAUGCAUAGGAACAUUAAAUAAGACAAUAUCACAUAGGGUUUAGGUAAGACAAUUCUCUAAUCCCUUAUCCUUGUUGGCUCAUACACUUGUUGAACCUCUUUGAUACGAAAAUAAUCCAAAUGACUCAUAAAAUAUAGUGUUUAUAUGGAUGCUAUUAAGAUAUAAAUUAGGCUACAAUGAAAGUUAAUUAUAACUUUAAUGUUGGAGGGAAUAAGCAAUUUUUUGUGAGAAAGGGCAACACCUAGAAAGUCAAUAAGAUUAAUUAUCUUAAUAAUGGAAAAAAAGUUCAUUCUUAUGAAUCCUCAAAGUGAAUCAAAGAGACAAACUUCAAUUUUGAAGUGAACAUAAUUAUUAUUUUUUUGUUUCUUUGUUAAAUAAUUAGUAAUACUUAAUUUAUCGAUCGUGUAAGAAUCAAAGAAGAAUAGCUACUAUUCAUGCAAUGGGUCUCAUCUUAUUGUAACAAAACUUAUGAUUAUUUUUCUUCCAUGUAUUGGAAGUUACUAUAAAUUCAUUUCCCACUUGUUAUGUGACUUAGGUAUCAAAUAGAGCCCACUAGAUAAAAUUUCUCUCAAGGUAUUUCCACAUCAAAUUUCUUUAUUUUAAACAUGUUUAUGGAUGUAAGUUUGCAUUGAAUAAAUUUCAAGUAUUAAUGUAGACUAACAAUAUUUAAAUAAAAAUGAUAAUAUAUUUAAAUUUUUAAUAAAAAUUGAGUUGAAUUUUUCAACCAACAUUUGAUUUCCUUCCACUCACCUAAUGUUGGCAUUAAAAUGCAUUAAUAUAUAUAUAUAUAUAUAUAUAUAUAUAUAUAUAUAUAGAUAUAUAAAUAUAUAAUCAUUGUCUUGGGAACUUUUUCUUCGGUGCUUAUCCUCAAACCUUCUUAAAAAAAAUAAGAUUGAUUCUUGUUGUGCUCACCUAAUGCUUGCAUUAAAAUACUAUAAACUUUUUUUUUGUGAGCUUAUCCUUACACCUUAGAAAACAAGAUUGAUUCUCGUUGAUAAGAAGAUAAGAACAAAAACUUCUAAUAAAUUAUAUUUGGUAUAUUGGUAAUUUAAUGGGAAAAGACCUUAAAUUUUGUAAAUGUAAAAGGAUAAUAUAGUUGGACGACACAUUUAUACAAAUAUAUGAUUGGAUUUUAAUUUUGUAACUUAAUUAAUUAAGAAAAUAAAACCUUUGGGCUAUUUAAAUAUAAUUGGAUUUUAAUUUUUAGUUUGGGUUAAAGUUACAAAAGAAAAAAAAAUGACCCAAAUAAAUUAAUUGGGCAUUUAUAUUUAAACAAUUAGUCUUUAGAAUUAAUAUUUAAUUGGAUUGAAAAAAAAAAAAAAAAAGAUAAUAAAGGGAGUAGAAUGGUCUUUUCCCAUUAGAAACCUAGGUAUAAAUAUUCACCACCCUUCUUUACAAAAGUCUUUUGCAUAGAGAGAAAAUGUGGGGUUUGAAAUCAAUCUUUUAAAGCAAACAUAUAUAGAUUCAAUAUUUAGUUUCAUUUUUAAUGGUCAUAAAAAAAUAAAUAAUCUAGAAUCAUAUCAUGAUAAUUAUUAAAUAUGAUUAAUUUUUAUGAGAAAAUUAAAAAACACAUAAUUCUAAUUAAUUAUAUAGUCAAAUACCAUUAACCAUUCUUAGUUAAAAAUUUAAAGUCUUUUUCCAUUUGCAUUGGACAUUACUAUUAAUAGAUGCAUAUCCAUGAAUAUUGUACUUAGUAAUAUUUCUUUUAGAAUUAAAUCCCAUUAAGAUUAUAUUGCAUUGUGAUGUAUAUGAGUUGCACCUUCAAUUAUUUUUAUUUAACUUUGGUUCUCAGAAAAUAUUAAGGAAAAAAAAGAUAUUAAGGAAAAUAAUUCUUCAUGUUUGAUUGUCUUAUGAAAAAUUUCAAAAAAAAUAAAAUAAAAUAUAAUUAAAAUUAGUUUAGAACUUAUGUAUUUUCAAAUUAUUUAAUCUUUAUGUUGAUGAGUUAAAAUAAAUAAAAUGAGUUUGAAAUAACAAAUAAAAAUAAUUUAUCGACUUUAACCUUAUUUUUUAUUUUCCUUCAAUUUUUCAUUUCUUUUUUUUUUUUUCACUUUGUUUUCUUUCCUUUGUAUUUUCCCUCAGAUUUUUUUGGAAACCAAACAUAACCUUAAUGAUUAUGAGAUCAUAUUAGUUAAAAAGUGAAGUUUCUACCACUACAUAUAAUAAAUGCAUAUACAUGUAUAUUUUGAUCUUAGCCUAGACAAUAUUUAUAUAAAAAUGAAUAGAUCAUUAUAAAUGACAUUAAAAUUGAUUUCCUAUUGAGAAAUUACAAGUGUUCUAUACUUUUUAUAUAUAUAAAAAUUUCUUAAUCAAUAUUAUCAAAUAACUUUUUACAUUUUUCUAUUGAAAUAUAUAUUUUUUUGCAAAAAAAUUCCUAUUAUUAUAAUAAAUUUUUUUUUUUCAUAUUUUUCAAUUAAGAUAUACUCUUCAUAAGGACAUUCCUAUUAUUAUAAAAGAUAAAUUAUUUUUUAUAUGAAUAUUUUAUUUAAUCAAGAUAAACAUGGAAAGAAAUUGUUCUCACAUGUCUUAUAUUGAGAAAAAUUAUAUAUAAAUUGGAAAUAAUUUUAAAAUUAAUAAAAUCUAAAAGUUGUUUCACUAUUUUCUAAAAUUAAUUUCAAUUUUUUUUUUACUUUUUAAUUAGUGUAUGUUUAUGUAUGUAUGCAUGCAUGUAUAUAUGCAUACAUAUUAAAAAAUGUUGAUCAUUUAAGUGGCUCUAAACUAAUUAUUUAUUUGCAUGAAAAAAUUUAUUUAAAAUGAGUUGUUCAUCUUUUAUGAGAUAUAACAAAAGCCAUUUGCACUAGGUCAUAAUGGUAAUGAGUGGGAAGGUGGGUGCCUGCCUUUAAAAAGAAUAGAAGUGAACAACCACCCUAAAAUUCGAAAGUAUAACAUACAAAAGUACCUUGCAUUGAUGUACGCAUACACAUGAAACUUCCUUGAGAAAAUAGUAUUGUUGAAAUGUCAACAAAGUAGUCAUACACAUGAAACUUCCUUGAGAAAAUAGUAUUGUUGAAAUGUCAACAAAGUAGUUUAAAUCCUCAACAGGUUGUUACGUUAGUGUGUGUGUGUGUGUGUGUGUGUGAGAUAAAAGAUUUCAAAAGGAACAAUCCCUUGGUCAAAAAACAGAAAACAUAUAGAAACAUAUAUUGAGAAUAAUAUCUUAUUAAAAAAGAAUAAUGUCUUGGUGGGAAUGGGAAACGAGUAAGAACAUUGAAUAUGACAAUACCACAUAUGGUUAAGUAAGGCUAUUCUCUAAUCUUUUAUCCUUGUUGAACCUCUUUCAUUGAAAAAUAAUCCAAAUGACUCAUAAAAUAUAGUGUUUAUAUGGAUGGUAUUAAGAUAUAAAUUAGGCUACAAUGAAAGUUAAUUAUAACUUUAAUGUUGGAAGAAAUGAACAACUUCUUAUGAUAUAUAUAUAUAUAUAUAUAUAUAUAUAUAUAUAUAUAUAUAUAUAUAUAUAUAUGUGUGUGUGUGUGUGUGUGUGUGUGAGAUAAAAGAUUUCAAAAGGAACAAUCCCUUGGUCAAAAAACAGAAAACAUAUAGAAACAUAUAUUGAGAAUAAUAUCUUAUUAAAAAAGAAUAAUGUCUUGGUGGGAAUGGGAAACGAGUAAGAACAUUGAAUAUGACCAUACCACAUAUGGUUAAGUAAGGCUAUUCUCUAAUCUUUUAUCCUUGUUGAACCUCUUUCNNNNNNNNNNNNNNNNNNNNNNNNNNNNNNNNNNNNNNNNNNNNNNNNNNNNNNNNNNNNNNNNNNNNNNNNNNNNNNNNNNNNNNNNNNNNNNNNNNNNGAAAUAGAAAGUUUUGAAGUGAGACAUCUAAACAUGUAGGAACAUUACACAAUGCCUUGGUCAAAAAAGGAAAACGCAUAGGAACAUAUAUCAAAUAAUAUCUUGGUCAAAAAGAAUAAUGCUUUAGUAAAAAAUGGAAAAUGCAUAGGCACAUUAAAUAAGACAAUAUCACAUAGGGUUUAGGUAAGACAAUUCUCUAAUCCCUUAUCCUUGUUGGCUCAUACACUUGUUGAACCUCUUUCAUUGAAAAAUAAUCCAAAUGACUCAUAAAAUAUAGUGUUUAUAUGGAUGGUAUUAAGAUAUAAAUUAGGCUACAAUGAAAGUUAAUUAUAACUUUAAUGUUGGAAGAAAUGAACAACUUCUUAUGAUAUAUAUAUAUAUAUAUAUAUAUAUAUAUAUAUAUAUAUAUAUAUAUAUAUAUAUGUGUGUGUGUGUGUGUGUGUGUGUGAGAUAAAAGAUUUCAAAAGGAACAAUCCCUUGGUCAAAAAACAGAAAACAUAUAGAAACAUAUAUUGAGAAUAAUAUCUUAUUAAAAAAGAAUAAUGUCUUGGUGGGAAUGGGAAACGAGUAAGAACAUUGAAUAUGACAAUACCACAUAUGGUUAAGUAAGGCUAUUCUCUAAUCUUUUAUCCUUGUUGAACCUCUUUCAUUGAAAAAUAAUCCAAAUGACUCAUAAAAUAUAGUGUUUAUAUGGAUGGUAUUAAGAUAUAAAUUAGGCUACAAUGAAAGUUAAUUAUAACUUUAAUGUUGGAAGAAAUGAACAACUUCUUAUGAGAAAGGGCAACACCUAGAAAGUCAAUAAGAUUAAUUAUCUUAAUAAUAGAAAGAAAGUUCAUUCUUAUGAAAUUGAAUCAAAGAGAUAAAUUUCAAUUUUGAAGUAAACAUAAUUAUUUUUCUAUUUUUGUUAAAGAAUUAACAAAAUUUAUCAUGUAAGAAUCAAAGAAGAAUAGCUACUAUUCAUGCAACUGGUCUGAUCUUGUUGUAACAAAACUUAUGAUUAUUUUUCUUCUAUGUAUUGGAAGUUACCAUAAAUUAAUUUCCAACUGGUCAUGUGACUAUUGCAUCAAAUAGAGCCCACUAGAUAAAAUUUUUGUUGACGUAUUUCCACAUCAAAUUUCUUUAAUUUAAACAUGUUUAUGGAUGUAAGUUUGCAUUGAAUAAAUUUCAACCAUAGAUAUGCACUAACAAUAUUUAAAUAAAGAUGAUAAUGUAUUUAAAUUUUUAAUAAAAACUAAGUUGAAUUUUUCAACGAACAUUUGAUUUCCUUCUGCUCACCUAGUGUUAGCAUUAAAAUACAAAAAAAGCUCACCUAAUACUUGCAUUAAAAUACUAGAAACUUAUUCUUGUGAGCUUAUCCUUGCACCUUCUUAGAAAAAAAACAAGAUUGAUUCUUAUUGGUCAGAAGAUAAGAACAAAAACUUCUAAUAAAUUAUAUUUGAUAUAAACUCGUCAAUCAUCACAUAAAAAACAAUUUCUCCAGAGGGCGAUGACCCCAUCAACCCCCAUAAGCUAACCAAGCAGCUCGACCUUAACAUCCUAAGCAAAGCGCAACAAUACUGAUUCAAGCUUCACAAUCCAACACCAAUAAAGACAAGAACAAUUGACACUCAAAAAAAUUAUUUCUUUUAACUUUUUCCCUUUAAGUUGAAUUUGAUUUUAAAAUAGUGUUAUCUCAUUAAUUAUUUUACAAAAUAUAUAUAUGUUAUAUCUUAAAAUUGGUUAGUAAAUUAUAUUACAAUUAUCAAAGAUAUUGCCAUAUAUAAAAUACAACUUAAUAAAUCUUAAGCAUAACACAAAGCACAACAACAAGAUAUAUUAAUUUAAGUUACUAAGAGCUUAUUUAGUUGUGUGAUUUAAAAAUGGUUUUCUAUUUUAAAAAAUAAAAAAUUAUUUUAAAAAAUUUAUAACACUAUUUUAAUGUUGUUCUUUGGAAACAAUGUUUAAAGACAAAGUAACAUUGAGAACAAUUUUUAAAGAACAAGUAGGAGUUGUUUUUAUUAGUUUUUAAAAAACAAAAAAUAUAUAAACUCAUUUUACUAUGUUUUUUGAAACUUGUUUUUAAAUUAAAGAAUAAAAAAUAAUUUUUCAAAAUAAGUUUCAAAAAAUAUGACCAAACAAACCCUAAAUGGUCGGGGUUUAAUAUUAAAGAGAAAAAAAGUUAAUUUAAGAGUUUGCAUGCAGGUAGACAUCAGGCUGUAAAACUGGUUUACUAAGACACUCAUUUUAUUUAUAUAUUCUUCUAUGUGCAUGCAUUGACCAUGUGGUUAGGAUGUGUUGCACCAAAAUCUAAUUAUUAACUUGCAGUUCGAAAUCACAAACCAGCUGUAUGUAUUAGAAACAGACCAUAUUGGGUCAUGCACAUUCUCCGUCAUUUUCUAUUUCCUAGCAACAUAUAUGACCAAAUGAAAUUGUUAUAUCCUAAUUAUAUUUUUUAAUUAGGCGAUAAAUGAAUGGAUUCCUUUUAAAAAUAAUAAUUGAGAUAUUAGGGAUGAUUAAAAUAUUAUUAGAAGAAAACAACCACUAUCUUCCAGAUUAAUCACAGCUUAAUAAAUGUAAAUAAAUUAAUCUGACACUACAUUUUUCUUUAUUUGUUUUGGUUUCUUUACAAGAAUGUUUCUUUAUGUAUUCUUGUUGAAUCUAUAAAAUAUCAUCUAUAAACAUUCUUUUUGAAUGAUUAAGAAUCCGAUAUUUAAAUGAUUGUGUGGACCUUGCAUUUUUGCUCAAUGCGUUCCCACUCAAUGUUGAACUCUCUUUUUAUUUAUUUAAUGAAAAAUAUGAUUUUUUUUUUUAGAAAAGACUUGGAGUCGCCACUUAUUUUUGUUUUAUUUUUAAAAAUGGUAAACAAAAUAAGAAAGAAAACCCUAAGUGUGACUCCUUAUUUUGGAAAAAGUGGUAUGUGAAAAAUCAGAUCGGGCUCGGGGAUUAGGUUACUUAUCGGGAAGGUACAGUAAGGACCAUGACACCCCUCUAAGUCCCUAAAGUCGGGUCUCUAUUGAUAAAAGGAAGCUGACAUGGCAAUCAAUAAGGAAAUCAAUGGGUACUCAAAUCGAUCAUGCACAUAUGGAAAUUGGAAUUUUAGAAAUUGGAAAUUAAAUUCGAAAAUGGGAAAAUUGGAAUCUCAAAAAUUGGGAAUUGAAUUUGGAAAUCAGAAUUUUGAAGAAUUAUUUAAAGAUGAAAAUUUUAAAAGUAAGUAAAUAAAUAAAUAAAUAAAAUAAUAAUGAUUGGAUAAAUAAAUGCGAAAAUUGGAAUUUUGGAAAUCGGAAAUUAUAUUUGGAAUUUGGAAAAUCAGAGUUUUGGAAAUUGAGAAUUAAAUUUGGAAAUUGGAAUUUUGAAGAAUUAUUUAAAGAUAGAUUUUUUUAAAUAAAUAAAUAAAUAGAAUAAUAAUAAUAAUCGAAAUAAUAAUAAAAUAAAUGAACAUGAACAUUAAAAUUUUUUGAAAUAGAAAAUUAAAUUUGGAUGUCGGAAAUUUGAAAAAUUGUUUAAAAAAACGGAAUUUAGAAAAUAAAUAAAUUAAUUAAAAAAAAAGUAUUGUAGUGAAGGUCAUCAAACUCAAAGUCUUAUUCAUGACCCAAUUUCCCAUAUUUGAUUAAGAAUCCAUGCAACAUUACUAUGGGCCACCUGAGCCAAAAUGUCUACACGUUCCACUCUUACACCAUCCCAUUGCAGCUCUCACCACAACAGCCACAACAGUGGAAGUAAAAAUAAAAAAUAAAAAAUAAAAAAAUCACGCCACAUGAGUUGACCAUGAUGUCACCUCUUCCAACACAAGCAAUACACUUCCAAUUGGAACUCUGAAAGCAAUAGUCACUUCAGCACGACAGCGAGGUAGACUAGGGCAGUAGGUGUUGAAUGAGUGAUGAAUCCGAAAAGAAUGGGUUUGUAACAUAAAUGAUUAAUCUUACAACAUCACACAAGAGAUAUGAAUCCAUAUUUACGCACAUAUCCAAACAAAACCAUAUGAACAAUAGAUGAGACCAUGCCACAACAAACCAUUAUAAGAGUAAGAAAAGGAAAAAAGAGAGAGAAAAAAAAAGACAAACUUCAGCAUAAAAAAAAACAAAUCUAGAAGGUAGUGAAGUGAUGUAUGGAGAGUCACCGUGAUCAUACCGAAACAAACUCACAAACAACGCAAAAUAAUCACAUAAAAAAACAAAAGGGUAAUAGGAUGACCAAUAAUAAUCCAUGAACCUUAUCAGUCUUACCAGGUAAAGCUUUCUAUCCACUGGAGUUUUCUAGACUUUCUUUCCAACUUCCCUCCUCCUCUUUCCUGCUUCAGCCUAUCCCCGAAAAGCUUGCUCUGCCCAUUUUUCUACAACCAACCCAACAGCUAGCUUAGCCCCCAAAAAGAUGAAGACGCUCCCCCCUAUUUAUUCUCUCCCGUUCAGCUCAUUUCCCGCCCAGUUUUUCUCUCCAGAUUUUUUUUCCCCUAGUCCUCACAUGCUCCCUACUCCUUGCUCAACCAAUCUGUCACCAUCUCAACCACCACCAUGGCGAGGUAGUGGUGUCGUCCUCCAUGCGUCUCAUGCAUGCUAAUAUUUGAAAAAGUCGAUCCCCCUUCCUCCUACAACAAGCUGCUAGCUAUCCGGGUGGCUAGCAUGAAGGGUCUACAAAUAUGCCCCUCUUCAGUAGAGUUCACGAACGUAAAGAAAUAUGAACACUAGAGUGAAAAGAAAGUGUGAAUAGUGAGCGAAAUGAAGUGAACUUUACCGAAAAUGGGCAUAUUUGUAGACCCCUCAUGCUAGCCACCCGAAUAGUUGGUAGCUUGUUGUAGGGGGAGGGGAGACCGACUUCUUCAAAUAUUAGCAUGCAUGAGACGCAUGGAGGAGGGCACCACUACCUCGCCAUGGUGGUGGUUGAGAUAGUAACAGAUUGGCUGAGCAAGAAGCAAGUGAAGACUAGGGGGAAAAAAAAGAUCUGGAGAGAAAAAAUAGGUGGAAAAUGAGCUGAACGAGAGGGAAUAAACAGGGGAGAGCAUCUUCAUCUUUUUGGAGGGUGACCUAGCUAUCGGGUUGGUUGUAGAAAAACAGGCAGAGCAAGCUUUUCGGGAAUACGUCGAAGUAGGAAAGAGAAUGAAGAAAGUUGGAAAGAAAGUCCAAAAAACUCCAAUGGAAGGAGAGCUUUACCUGAUAAGACUGAUCAGGUUCAUAGAUUAUUACUGGUCAUCCUACUACCCUUUUGUUUUUUUACGUUAUUAUUUUGCAUUGUUUGUGAAUUUGUUUCGGUAUGAUCAUAGUGACUCUCCAUACAUCAUUUCCCUACCUUCUAGAUUUGUUUUUUUUUUGUGCUAAAGUUCGUCUUUUUUUUUUCUCUCUCUUUUUCUUUUUCUUACUCUUACAAUGGUUUGUUGUGGCAUGGUCUCAUCUAUUGUUCAUAUGGUUCUGUUUGGAUGUGUGUGUAAAUCUGGAUUCAUAUAUCUUGUGUGAUGUUGUAAGAUUAAUUGUUUAUGUUACAAAUCCAUUCUUUUUGAAUUCAUCACUCAUUUCACACCCGUUGCCUUGGUCUACCUUGCUGUCGUGUUGGAGUGGUUGUUGCUUUUAGAGCUCCAAUUGGAAGUGUAUUGCUUGCAUUGGAAGAGGUGACAUCAUGGUCAACUCAUGUGGCGUGUUUUAUUUUAUUUUAUUUUUACUUCCGUUGUUGUGGUUGUUGUGGUGAGAGCUGCAAUGGGAUGGUGUAAGAGUGGAAGGUGUAGACAUUUUGGCUCAGGUGGCCCAUAGUAAUGUUGCAUGGAUUCUUAAUCAAAUAUGGGAAAUUGGGCCAUGAAUAAGACUUUGAGUUUGAUGACCUCCACUCAUUCCACCACCAAACCUUUUUUUUUUAAUUAAUUUAUUUAUUUUUUAAAUUUCAUUUUUUUAAACAAUAUUUCAAAAUUCCGACAUCCAAAUAUAAUUUCCGAUUUAAAAAAAUUUCAAUGUUCACGUUCAUUUAUUUAAUUAUUAUUUCUGUUAUUAUUAUUAUUCUAUUUAUUUAUUUAUUUAUUUUUAAAAAAUUCAAUCCUUAAACAAUUAUUCAAAAUUCCGAUUUCCAAAUUUAAUUCUCAAUUUCCAAAACUCCGAUUUUCCAAAUUCCGAAUUUAAUUUCCGAUUUCCAAAAUUCCAAUUUUCGCAUUUAUUUAUCCAAUCAUUAUUAUUUUAGUUAUUAUUAUUAUUAUUAUUAUUUUAUUUAUUUACUUACUUACUUUUAAAAAUUCCAUCUUUAAAUAAUUCUUCAAAAUUCUGAUUUCCAAAUUCAAUUCCCAAUUUUCGAGAUUCCAAUUUUCCCAUUUCCGAAUUUAAUUUACAAUUUCUAAAAUUCCAAUUUUCGCAUUUAUUUAUUCAAUCAUUAUUAUUUUUCGUUAUUAUUAUUAGUUUAUUAUUUACUUAUUUAUUUUUAAAAUUCAAUCUUUAAAUAAUUCUUCCGAAAUUCCAAUUCUUAAAUUUAAUUCCCAAGACUCCAAUUUCCAAAUAAUUUUCGAGACUCUAAUUUUCAAAUAAAUUUCAAAAAUCUAGUUUUCACUCGAACAAUUUUAAUUCCAUUCCGGUUCUCAAAUAAUCUGUUGUUUUUCUUGAUUUUACAUAAGCAUGAAUGUAAUUUUUCACAAUUCCACAAUAAUGGAAUAUGUGAGACUAAUUCAUGCAAGAUAGAUUGGGUUUUGGUGGGGGGCCCAACAUUGGUGUUUUUUUCCUCUAAAAAUAAAUUUGAUUGAAUUGAAUUGUGAUAUCUGUUGAUUUCUCACUCUGUUUAGUGGCAUGUGUGACAUAGUCUGUUUUGUUAAUUGUGCACUAAACCCAUUUCUUGAUAGUGCAUUAUGACUCGUGGCCCAGGUGCGCAUCCGCUCCUAUUCUGGUCAUUCUCUAUGCAUGUUCUGAUUCCCAUAUGUGCAUGAUCAAUUUAAGUACCCGUUGAUUUCCUUAUUGAUUGCCACGUCAGCUUUCUUUUAUUAGUAGAGACCCGACUUUAGGGACUUAGAGGGGUGCUACGGUCCUUACUAUACCUUCUCGAUAAGUAACUUGACCCCCAAACCCAAUUCGGUUUUUCACAUACCACUUUUUCCAAAAUAAGGAGUCAUAGUUAGAGUUUUCUUUCUUAUUUUGUUUACCCUUUUUAAAAAUAAAACAAAAAUAAGUGGUGACUCCAAGUCUUUUCUAAAAAAAAAAAAAAUCAUAUUUUUCAUUAAAUAAAUAAAAAGCAAGUUCGCCAUUGAGUGGGAACGCAUUGAGCUAAAAUGCUGGGUCCAUAAAAUGGCGACUCCACUGAGGAUGAUUUAGAAGGUCAAACUUGAACUUAAGAUGAAGCAAAUGCGACAUUUGAUGGGUCGAUCAGUGGGUACCUAUCUUUUAAUUGCACAUUGAGAGUUCUUGAUAUCAUUGGAUGCAUGCUUGGAUAUUGUAUUCAUUUUGAGACAUUGAUAUGUUGGUUAUGAUGAUUGAUUUGUCUUGAUUGAGGAUUCCGAGAUAGCUAUUUUUUUUGUGCUUCAUUGCUAUAUUUGUUUGGGAUAUUGACAUACUGAUUGUAUCAAUUUCUUAUCUUGCCUUGCUUAGCAUAGUGACCCUGAUUCUUGCCAUGAUUGUUCUGCUCACUUCAUAUGCAUAGACUCACUAUUGUACACCAUUUGACUUGAUGUGUUGUUUUCUUUGGCUUGUGUAUUAUCCUGAUCGUCUUUGAGCAUGAUGCUUGUAUUAGUAUUCAUUUGAUCGUCAUAGCUUGUAUGUGUACAUGAGCAAUAUAUCAUGUACUCUGCCUGGUUGUAUGUCGCAUGACUGCACUCCUUUGCAUGUUGCUUGUUUGUGUGGGUAGCACAUCUAUCCCCUUAUCUCCAACGCUCUGGGUUUCGAUUAUUUCCUUUAUUUCGGUUUUCACUUUUGCAAGUGUGAGGCCUUGUGUGUGCUUGUACUUUGACCGAGGAAGAGGUUAGGAGUAGGGUCUAGCGACGGGCUAUAUCGAUGUUUGGGAGCAUUCUGGAGGUGACCGACACAUUGACGUCAAUUGGAGUCCGAUCAUUGAAGACCUGUAUAGCCUGGAGCUAGGUUUCAUGGAUAUUUGUGCGGCCAGUGUGUUUCCCUUUUUGAUUUAGCUUCAUAGAGUUUUCGGAUGCACCCACACCGCUCACUGCGCACUCUAGUUGACCAUUGAGUGUUGAGAGUUUUGAGAGGUUUCGCCAUAGAAAACCUCCUGAGAUAUCGAGGUAGUGCAUGUGUGGAGGUGAUGACCACCUUGCAUAGAAGCGCCCAUUCUUUUCGGAGGCGUGCAGAGGGUUGCGUACCGUCGGAGGGUACGAUCGCUUCUGUUAGGGAUCCUUUAAAGUCCACCCCUCUUCUUUUCAGAGCCACCUUGACCUUGUAGGUCGAGCCUUAGAUAUUUCAAUCAGGAAUUUCUUCCCUAACACGUGGGUGCAUCUGUGGGCCUUCAAAGUUACUUCAGUAGUGAUAGGUUUAGUUACCUUCGUAGUGGUCUCUUAUACAUCUGCUCAGGAUUGGAUAUCACUUUGAUUGCUUACGAGUUACCUUUCGACAUAUUUGAUAGACUUUCUUUGUGGAGAUUUUCCUAACCUUGUAUCUUAUCUAGUAUUUCCAAUAUUGUAGGAGCAUUGAUACAUAGGGUUUGGGUUCGACUUCUUGGAUCCAGGUUAGGGGUAGAUUGAUCAGAGUAUCAGACCCGUUAGACCAGAAAUCAGAUCAUAGAAAUAUGGACUCACAGAUGGUUACCGUUGGCAGCAGGCCUAGGAGGUUUCGCCUCAGGAUGGCGCACAGUAUGACCCUACAGUGCCGUCAUCCCCUCCACCUAAUCAGUCAGCACCACUAGCCAUACCUUUCACUCUGCAUAGUCAGACCGAGGUUGUCCCGACUCCUAUCAUCGUGCCUACCCCAACCUCAGAGGACCCACAUGCUUGUAUGGAUAGGCUCGAUAAGAAGUUGAGACAAUUGAGGAGUUCAGACAGACCUGUUACUUGGGACGAUUUUGAUGGACUACCAGUGGCCAGUUUGCCGGCCAAGUUCAGGAUGCCAGAGAUUGAGCGAUACACGGGCAUUGGCUGUCCUUGCAUCCAUUUGAGGCUUUAUAGUACUAUCAUGAGGGCCCAUGGACUAGAUGAGGUUCAGAUGAUUAUGUUUUUCCCCAUGUGCUUGAACGGUGUGGCGUAGUGAUGGUUUGCUUUAUUGGAUACAUCCCAAAGUCGGACUUGGGAUGAUUUGGCCUAGGAGUUUUUGAGACAAUUCACAUUUAAUACUGUCAUUGACGUCUCGAGGAGAGAGUUAGAGGCAUUGAGACAGAGGCCAGAGGAGUCGAUCACCUCAUUUAUCUCCCGUUGGAGGGAGAAGAUUUCAUAGGUUAUUAAUAGACCAUCGGAGAAGGAUCAUAUUAGCAUGAUUAUGAGAAGCUUGCAACCUCGAUUUGCUAGACACUUGAUGGGAUUUCCUCAUAGAGAUUUUGGAUCUUUGGUACAGGCCUUGUAUGGUAUAGAGGAGGGCAUAGCCAGAGGAUUAUGGUCUGAGUCUUCUCUUUCUAAUUCGAAGGGGAAGAAACCUUUAAGAUGAUAGAGGCUAGUUGAUGUGAGCGCCCCUAGUUCUACCAGCCAGAGGCCUCCUAUGCGUCAUUAGUCAGUGCCACAGCUUCCUGAGACUCAUCCUUCAUAUCCACCUCAACAGUACAGGCCACGAGCGCCUCGUCCGACUUUUGAUCAUGCUUACAUGCCUCAGACACUAGUUUUGCCUUACUAUGCCACUCAGGGCAUCGAGAGACCACCUGUUUCAUAUACAGCCACAGGAUAGCCAUGCUAUGCGGCGUAGUUUACCGCAAGACCUACAUCUUCUUAUCCCAGGCUUAGAGCUCAACAGACUUCUGUUCCUUUUGUUUUGAGGACGCAGAUAUAGUUCUCGCAGUUAAGCAUGCCGUUGAGCCAGGCUAUUCGGAAACCUAUAGAGGUUGGGUUGUUGAUUGCUCUCACUCUUAGGCCACCACCUCAGCCUCUUCCUUCUCGGUUCAGGAUGGAUUUGCACUAUGCAUACCAUCAAGGACCUAGACAUGAGACUGACCGUUGUACCGCUCUGAGACAUGCCAUCCAAGAUCUGAUCGACCAGGGUUUGGUUCACUUAGAUUAGCCGAGUGUAACCACAAACCCACUAUCGACCCACACCACACAUGCGGUUCCCCCACCAACCAAUAACAUUCAUUUUCUGGAUUUUGCUGGGUUUGACGACCAUAUCCAUAUGUUGAGCCGGGAUGACACAGAGCGAGAGCCCAUAGUGUCAGAUGGGAUUUAUGAGAUGAGUGGGGUGACUUUGGGACCUUAGAUACCCGCUCCAUUCAGAUUCGUCCCUAAGGCGGUAUCGGUACAAACGACCACUAUCGAGCGAUUGACUUUCUCACAUUAUAGUGUUCAGACGCAUUUUGUUUUGAUUCCAGAUGUUGAUGGGGUUCAGACUUCUUAUGUUGAUGUUUAUCAGACUCCAUAUGUCGAUGAUGUUCAUACUUUAGAUGUGCAGUAUGUUAUCCACGGAGGUAGGGUAGUACGGCAGCAGCCCCCCGCUGCCGCUAGACCCUUGAAGGGAACGUCAUCCCAAGAGGAGGUCGAGAGGGAGGAUGAUCAGAUUCUGAUGCAGUUACAAAGCACUCAUGCUUGUAUUUCCAUCUAGAGCUUGUUAGCAUCUUCUAGUAAUCACCGAGAUGCUUUGAUUUGAGCCUUGAGCCAGAUCAGAGUUGAAACUACCACCACUCCGGAGGGAUUGAUUCAUAUGGUGAUGGCUGGCAGAGCCGCAUGCAUAGUAUUCUCUGAUGACGGCUUGCAACCAGAGAGUGCGAACCAUACAUGUCCAUUUUAUAUAUCAGUUGGUUGUUUAGGCUAUCGAGUCUCAUUUGUCAUUUUGGAUAACGACUCGGCCCUGAACGUUUGCCCUCUGGCCACUGCCAUCGCCCUUGGUUAUGCGUCCUCUGACUUUGGUCCCUUCACUCAGAUAGUUCGAGCAUACGAUAACACUCAAAGGGAGGUCAUGGGCACUCUAGAGAUUGAGUUGCUGAUAAGUCCGAUCACAUUUGUUACUUUGUUCCAGGUUUUGAAGAUUCCUACAUCAUUUAACCUGCUAUUGGGUCGACCUUGGAUUCACAAAGUCGGGGUCAUUCCUUCUUCCCUUUAUCAAAAGGUGAAGUUCAUUUGCGAUGGUCAGGUCAUCACAGUGCGGUCUAUAGGAGAUAUGUUUAUUUCUACUCAGCCGGUGCUUCAGAUUAGUCACAAUGAUGAUGACUUACUUCUGAGUGGAUUCACAUUCGACGAGGUGCAAACCCUAAAGAUGGAGAAUUUUUUCCGAGACUUCGUAGCUAUGUCGUUUGACUAGCAUGGUAGCACGGUGGUGCUCGAUAUGAUGAGGAGUAUGUCUUAUCUUCCCGGUAUGGGAUUGGGGCGACGUCAGCACGGGCCUAGUGAGUUCAUGGCUAUCCCCGAUCACGAUGUACCGUUCGAACUCGGGUUCAUCCCCACUGAGGCUAAUUAUCGAUAUAUGGCGCAACUGCGCAAGGAGAUGGGUGAGAGCCCAACUGACUCACACGCCUUUUGAUUAUCCUGUUCGCUCAUACACCAUGAGCUUAACAGAAUACUUUGUGAAGGCGUCAGUGCCGCAGAUGCCUUCAAAUGGGAUAAUUGGGGGACUCGAAACUACUCAAGAGGCCAAGCUUCAGCGCCUCGUCUAUCAGCUACAGUUGAGUGAUGGAGUUCCUGGCACUUCGAUAUCUGUGUUGGCUGCCCUAUCAUCUCCAGAUCGUAUGAGCCUUAUGACGCUUUAUUUCCCGGAUGAGAUCAACGAGCAUGAGACAUUUGCUCGAGAUUGGAAACAUAGUGGACAGAGCCAUUCCACAUAAAGAGUACGUCGAUGAGAUGCUCGCGAUGAGCUUAAGCCAGAUCAAGGAGAUAGUUCAGCCUGGGCUCCCUUCACCAUUUGAUCUUUUCGGGGUGUCCGUCAUCCAGAUUGCUGAGGAGAUCCCGACUGCUUCUACUCCGGAGUUUACUGAGGGUGCCAUAGCUGUUAAUGACUUGUUUGAUGGCCCUGUUGGCCUAGUUGAGGGAGCGUCCGACUUUGUGGACCCACUUAUUUCAUUUGAUGUUUUAUCGGGAUUUGUUUCCCUUCAUGAUGAUGUUCUUGGCUCUUCAUUUAUGGAUUUGAGUAUUUUUGAGUAUUUGCCUGCCUCUUGUGAUAUUGCUUUAUCUACACCAUCUUCACCCACAUCACAGAUAUUUGACAUUGAUGAUGAGAUUGUACAACAUGAUUCAAAUGAUGACUCAUCAUCCGCUUCUGAUUCGAACCCCAUUGAUUAGAGAGUUUCACCUACUAUAGGGGAUGCUGAGAUUGUUGAUUUCAGCACAACAGAUCAACUUAGGGAGUUGAGGAUCAGAUCGGAUUUAUCUACUGAUAAGAGGGAUAACCUCAUCCAAUUGCUCAAAUCAUACUUGGACAUUUUCGCAUGGUCUUAUGAGGACAUGCCGAGUCUUGAUCCAUCUAUCGUCCAACAUCAUUUGCCACUUCUACCCUAUGCCAGACCGGUUAAGUAGAAAUUGAGACAGUUGCACCCUCGUUGGAGUUUGCAAGUGAAGGAGGAGAUCCAAAAGCAGCUCAGUGUGAGAUUUUUUUCAAUGGUCGAGUACCCGGAAUGACUCACCAAUGUCGUCAUUGUUCUAAAAAAGGACGACAAGGUGAGAGUCUGUGUUGAUUUUCGAGAUCUCAACAAGGCCAGUUCUAAGGAUGAUUUUCCUCUCCCACACAUCGACAUGCUAGUUGACAAUACAACAGGUCAUUCGAUGUUGUUCUUCAUGGAAGGAUUUUCCGGGUAUAGUUAGAUCUUGAUGGCUCUAGAGAACAUGAAGAAGACGUCAUUCAUUAUCGAGUAGGGUACUUAUUGCUAUAGAGUCAUGCCAUUCGAGUUGAAGAAUGCAGGAGCCACUUAUCAGAGAACAACAACCACACUCUUCCAUAACAUGAUGCAUUGAGAUGUCGAGGUUUAUGUAGACGACAUGAUAGUGAAAUCCCGAGAUAGAUCAGAUCACCUAACAACUCUGGAGAGGUUCUUUGAGAGGAUCAAGCGGUUUAGAUUGAGAUUGAAUCCUAGGAAGUGCAUUUUUGAAGUGACUUCUGGGAAGCUCCUAGGAUAUAUGGUCAGUGAGAGAGGCAUAGAGGUAGAUCUGGAUAAGAUUAGAGCCAUCUUUGACAUGCCUGCACCGAGAACAAAGAGAGAGGUCAAAGGCUUCUUGGGUAGACUUCAGUACAUCAGCAGAUUCAUCGCCAGAUUGAUAAACAUCUGUGAGCAGCCCAAUUUUCUACUCUUGAGGAAGAGUCAACCUACUGUUUGAGAUGAUUAGUGUCAGCAUGCAUUUGAGAGGAUCAGAGAGUACUUGUUGUCACCUCUAGUAUUGGCGCCUCCUACACCAGGCCAUCUUUUACUCCUAUACCUAUCAGUCUCAGACGUAGCAUUGGGAUGCAUGUUGGCUCAAGUCGAUGAUUCAAGCAAGGACCGAGCCAUUUAUUAUCUAAGUAAAAGAAUGUUAGAUUACGAGACGAGAUAUGUCAUGAUUGAGCGCUAUUAUUUGGCAUUGGUUUAGGCCACUCGUCGACUGAGACAUUAUGUGACCGAGUAUUCAGUGCACUUGAUAUCCCAUCUAGAUCCUCUUAGAUACUUGUUUGACAUACCUGCCUUGGUUGGUCGCCUCAUGAGAUGGUUGGUACUUCUGACUGAGUUUGACAUCCAUUAUGUCACUUAGAAGUCCAUCAGAGGGAGCAUUAUCGCAGAUCACCUAGCCUCAUUACCAGUUUCUGAUGGUAGGACUAUUGAUGAUGAUUUUCCAGAUGAGGAUGUUGCUACUGUGCUUAGUCUGUCAGGUUGGCGCAUGUACUUUGAUGGUGCAGCCAACCAUUCCAAAUAUGGGAUAGGAGUUUUGUUAAUAUUCUCUCAUGGUGACCACAUUCCUAGAUCUAUUCGUUUGGCAUUCUCGAAUUGACACCCAGCCACGAACAACAUUGUUGAGUAUGAGGCUUGUAUCUUGGGAUUAGAGAUGAUCCUUAAGUUUGGGAUUAGAUAGAUGGAGGUGUUUGGUGACUCCAAUAUGGUAUUAAGAUAGAUUCAAGGUGAGUGUAAGACUAGAGAUGUGAAGCUUAGGUCUUACCACGCAUAUUUGGAGCUACUGGUUGGGAGAUUUGAUGAUUUAAGAUACACACAUCUACCUAGAGCGCAGAACCAGUUUGUUGAUGCCUUAGCUACUUUGGUUUCCAUGAUUGAUAUUCUUGUCGAUGCCAUUGUUUGCCCUUUACUGAUCAAGUCGAGAUCUGCUCAUGCCUACUAUUACCUAAUUGAUGAUGUAGAGCCAGAUGAUGGUUUGCCCUGGUACCAUGACAUAUAUCACUUUCUGAGACUUGGCGUAUAUCCUAAGGCCGCCAUGACCAAGGCUAAGAAGGCAUUUGAGAUAGUUGGCUGCCCGAUUUGUGAUUUGUGGCAAGACACUAUACAGACGAUCAGUUGAUGGGAUGUUGCUAUUAUGCUUAGACCACGCCUUUACUGAUCUAGUGAUGAGAGAGGUUCAUGCAGGAAUCUGCAGACCACAUAUGGAAGGGCAUAUGCUAGCUCGUAAGAUCAUGAGGACUGGCUAUUUCUGGUUGACCAUGGAAACAGACUGUUGCCAGUUUGUUCAGAGAUGUCCUGAGUGCCAGAUACACGGUGACCUCAUUCACGUGCUUCUUCAGAAUUACAUGCGUUGACUUCGCCGUGGCCAUUUUUAGUAUGGGGUAUAGACAUUAUUGGGAAGAUUUUACCGAAGUCUUUCAGUGGGCAUGAGUUCAUCUUGGUCGCCAUCUAUUACUUCACCAAGUGGGUGGAGGUUGCUUCGUAUGCAAGAUUGACGUCAUUUGAAGUUGCUAGUUUCAUCAGAUCACACAUUAUUUGUCGCUAUGGAGUCUCUCAUGAGUUGAUUUCCGAUAAAGAGGUACAUUUCACAGCAGAGGUUGACACCUUAGUGCAGCGAUAUGGCAUCCGACAUCUUAGGUCAUUUGCGUACAGGCCGUAGACGAAUGGAGCAGUAGAGGUCGCCAAUAAGAAUAUUAAGAGGAUCUUACGAAGAAUGGUUGGGACUUCUCGGGAUUGGUCAGAGAAAUUCCCUUUCGCAUUGUGGGCUUAUCGAAUUUCUUUUCGCACCUCCAUAGGAGCCACACCCUACUCUUUGCUGUAUGGUAUGGAGAUAGUGCUACCAGUUGAGAUUGAGAUGGGUUCAUUGAGGAUAGCAUUAGAGCGGCAGAUUCCAGAGGCAGAUUGGGCUCAGGCCCGAUUAGAUCAACUCAAUCUCCUAGAUGAUAGGAGAUUGAGGGCAGCAGACCAUGUUCGCUCAUAUCAUUAGAGGAAGAUGACCCGUGCUUUCAAAAAGCGGGUCAAGGCUUAACCACUAUGGAUAGGUGACUUGGUUCUGAAUGUCAUCAAGGGAUUGAUAAGAGAUCCUAGAGGGAAGUUCAAACCCAAUUGGAGCGGACCUUACUUCAUCAAGGAGUUAACCCUAGAGAACGCUACAUGGUUGAUGGAUCUAGAUGGAAACCGAUUCUCGGAGCCGAUCAACGUAGAUUAGCUAACGAGGUACUAUGUUUGAGACCAUGGUCAUAGGAUGGGUGGUCAUCAUUUCAGUUAGCCAUAUACCUUGUUAUUCCCCUUUGAUACAUAGACUGUUGCUAGCCCAUUGAGCCUCGUGUGUGCAUUAUAGCAUUUCUAUCUUAUUACCUUGCUCACAUUGUUACACCAGGAUUGGGGCCCUUUAGUGUGUGCAUGCGUUGUUUGGGAGCCUGAUAAGUCUUGGACCUACAAGUGCGUCUUUCUCUCAUUAUUUUUUCCUACCAUCACUCUAAUGCAUAUCAUCACAUCUCGUUGGCCAGGUUCUUCAUUCAUUCUCCUUUAUUAUAUCUACUGCUUGUUUUGCUUCAUAUUCUCUUCACCCUGAGUGGUAAUCCUCCUCAGUUCAUUGCAUGAAGGAUAGUCACAUCAUUUCCACCAUCUAUCCCACGGACACUGAUUCUGAGAUCCUUAGUUUGAGAAGGUUAUCUCGUCAGAGAUAGUUUUUGAGAGUGUGUCUAUCCAUUGUAGAUGUCAUAUUUGGGGAUCAUUUGUUUAUGAUUCAGGGUAUAUGCAUUUGUAUAUAUGUAAAAAAAAAAAAAAAAUGAAAAUGUAAAACAAAAGAAAAAAAUGAAAAUGAAAAGAAAAGAAAAAUAAGCAUGUGUGUAUGUGCAUAGUAUUCUCCAUCAUUGGGCAUGUAUAUUGAUGUUUGAGGGUUACUUCAUUAAGUAUGUUUGUUGAUGAGAGCUCGUAUGUGAGCUUUCCGAGACCGUUCAUUAUUUGUAUUCAGGUUUCAUGUAUUUUGAGAGUGAGAUGAGUGACUUUCUCUUAGGAGCUUUGUAUCAUUGUCCUUUCCAUCAUUACAUUCAUUGUUGAUGUGACUUCACCUCAUGUUGGAUUUGAGCGGAUCAUCAUUCCUCUUUGUGUUCUUCGCUUCACCAUCAUCCUCGUUUUUGCUUUUGAUUCAUCAUCAUCAUCUCACCCCUUGUCAUUUUCUUACAACGACUCUUUUAUUCCCAGUUUGACACUUCCUCCACAUCAUCCUUACACAUCUCAUUAUCAGAUCAAUUUUUUUUCAUUGCCUCGUUAUUGACAUCAUAUUCACAUUAGGCACCCUCAGGUCCGUGACUCACGAGAUUUUCUAUACAUGUGGCAUUUCAUACAUGAGGGCAUGGGUUUCUGUUCAUUUGGUAUUUUGGCCUAGUUUCCCUUCAUUUUUAUCACCCUAUCAUCCCAGUCUACGUUACGUCCCGUGUCUUAAGACCACCCUAAGGCCAUGAGAUCAGAUGUCAUCUUUGACAACCUAUAAUUGGACUGGUGUUUGAGAUCUGAUUGACAUUUAGAUAUUGUCAUGCUUCCUCUUCUGGGAGAUGUCUUUCUGAUGAUUAGAUUUGUUUCAAUUAUGUUUGGAUUACCAGGAUUACAUGUUCGAUGAUAGAUGAUUCCAUGUCACCUAAUUUUAUGAUCUAUCACAUAUUUGGUGUCAUACUAGGGCAUAUUCCGUUUCGGGCGAGAUUUACAAAUCUUCACGGAGUUGCAUGCUUAUCCCCACUUGCGAGAUAUACGCCGAAAUGAUUGACUGGUUCGCUAUUUUAUGAUGAUCCAUUAGUGGAGCCUCUGUGGAGCCGUUCAGCCAGCCCCAUAUUUCUCGGUAUUUGGUUAUUAUCAUGCUUCUUAUUCCGAGAGGCGUUCCCUAGAUGUUUGGAUUUGAUUUGGAUCACGGAGAUCACAUGCUCGAUGAUAUAUGAUUCCAUGUCACUUGAUUUUCUGAUUUAUCACAUAUUCGAUGUCAUACUGGGGCAUAUUCCGUUUCGGGAGAGAUUUAUAGAUCUUCAUGGAGUUGCAUGCUUAUCCCCACUUGCGAGAUGUACGUCGAGAUGAUUGACUGGUUCGCUAUUUUAUGAUGAUCCCUCAGUGGAGCCUCUGUGGAGCCCUUCGGUCAGGUCCACAUUUCUCGGUAUUUGGUUACUAUCAUGCUUCUUAUUCCGAGAGAUGUUCCUUAGAUGUUUGGAUUUGAUUUGGAUCACGAAGAUCACAUGCUCGAUGAUAGAUGAUUCCAUGUCACCUGAUUUUUUGAUCUAUCACAUAUUCGGUGUCAUACUGGGGCAUAUUCCAUUUCGGGCGAGAUGUACGCCGAGAUGAUUGACUGGUUCGCUAUUUUAUGAUGAUCCCUCAGUGGAGCCUCUAUGGAGUUGUUAAGCCAGACCCAUAUUUCCCGGCAUUUGGUUACUGUCAUGCUUCUUAUUCCGAGAUACGCUCCCUAGAUGUUUGGAUUUGAUUUGGAUCAUGAAGAUCACAUGCUUGAUGAUAGAUGAUUCCAUGUCACCUAAUUUUCUGAUCUAUCACAUAUUCGGUGUCAUACUAGGGCAUAUUCCAUUUUGGGUGAGAUUUGCAGAUCUUCAUGAAGUUGCAUACUUAUCCCCACUUGCGAGAUGUACAUUGAGAUGAUUGACUGGUUCGCUGUUUUAUGAUGAUCCCUCAGUGGAGCCUUUGUGGAGCCGUUCAGCCAAACCCACAUUUCUCAGUAUUUGGUUACUAUCAUGCUUCUUAUUCCGAGAGACGUUCCCUAGAUGUUUGGAUUUGAAUUGGAUCACGGAGAUCACAUGCUCGAUGAUAGAUGAUUCCAUGUCACCUGAUUUUUUGAUCUAUCACAUAUUUGGUGUCAUACUGAGGCAUAUUCCCUUUCGGGAGAGAUUUAUAGAUUUUCAUGGAGUUGCAUGCUUAUCCCCACUUGCGAGAUGUACGCCGAGAUGAUUGACUGGUUCGCUAUUUUAUGAUGAUCCCUCAAUGGAGCCUCUGUGGAUCCGUUCAGCCAGGCCCACAUUUCUCGGCAUUUGGUUACUAUCAUGCUUCUUAUUCCGAGAGACUUUCCCUAGAUGUUUGGAUUUGAUUUGGAUCACGGAGAUCACAUGCUCGAUGAUAGAUGAUUCCAUGUCACCUAAUUUUCUAAUCUAUCACAUAUUUGGUGUCAUACUGGGGCAUAUUCCAUUUCGGGCGAGAUUUACAGAUCUUCACGGAGUUGCAUGCUUAUCCCCAUUUGUGAGAUGUACGCCGAGAUGAAUGACUGGUUCGCUAUUUUAUGAUGAUCCCUUAGUGGAACCUCUGUGGAGCCGUUUAGCCAGGCCCACAUUUCUCGGUAUUUGGUUACUGUCAUGCUUUUUAUUCCGAGAGACGUUCCCUAGAUGUUUAGAUUUGAUUUGGAUCAUGGAGAUCACAUGCUCGAUGAUAGAUGAUUCCAUGUCACCUGAUUUUCUUAUCUAUCACAUAUUCGAUGUCAUACUGGAGCAUAUUUCCAUUUCAGAUGAGGUUUACCAAUCUUCAUGGAGUUACAUGAUCAUCUCCACUUACGAAGUAUGAGCUGAGACGAUGACGUGUUCGUUACCUUAUCAUGAUCUCUCAGUAGAGCCUCUUUGGAGCCAUUCAGCUCGACCCACAUUUUUGGCAUUUGGUUGUCGCCAAGCUUAUUAUUCCGGAGACGUUUCAUAGAUGUUUGGGGUUUGAUUUGGGUCAUGGAGAUCGCACAUUUGAUGAUGGAUGAUUUCAUGUCACCCAAUUUUCGACUUAUCGUACAUCUAACGACAUACUGGGGCAUAUUUCCGUUUUGAUCGAGAUUUACAAAUCUCCAUGGAGUUGCAUGCUUAUCUCCACUUACGAGGUACACACCGAGAUGAUGACCUAUUUGUUAUCUUAUCAUGAUCCCUUAGUGGAGCCUCUCUGGAGCCAUCCAAUCAGAUUCAUAUUUUUUCGGCGUUUGGGUUGUUGUCAUGUUUCUCCUUCUGGGUUAUGGAUUUGGAUGACGAGGUUCGUGCUCCUGAUGAUAGAUGACUUGAGGCCAUUUGAUUUUUCCAACCUAUCACACAUUUGAUUCCAUACUGGGGCAUUUUUCCCCUUUCGAUCAAGAUUUGUAGAUCCCCACGAGUUUGCAUGAUCAUCCCCAUUUAUGAGAUACACAUCAGGUUGAUGAUUCGAUUUCAUUUUGUCUUGAUUCUUUCGUGGAGCAUUUUUCUUGAGUCAUUUCGUCAGGCUCACACUUUCUGAUUUUGUUGUGAUUUUUGGAUAGAGUCAUCUCAGGUGCAUAGGAUCCCAUAUCAUCAUUUCAGUGGGACACAUGUCAGAUCUUUUAUAUAUUCCCAUGGAGUUAUUCUCGGGUUAUCAUGAUAGACCGAGUACAUCUGACGCCAUAUUGGGGCAUAUUUCCUUCCUCCAGCUGUAGAGUUUCGAUGAUUUUUGCUAAGAUGAGCCACCAGAGGAACACGACUUCCGGGUUUUGACUGCCCUACUAUCCAUGACUUUUCAGUGGAUUGAGAUCGUAGUAGUUACCCUAGCAGACUAUUCUUUUGUGACCCCCUAGUGGAUCAUUUUUUCGGUAUGAUGAUGGAUUCUUCCAAUAAAACAUUUUGAGUUAGAGAAGUUCUACUUAUUGCGACACUUCAUCAGAUCUCGCGAUUUAGUCAGAUGGGUUGUGAGACUAAGUUCACAGUCGAUUUAAUCAUUUCGACUCGCUAGCAGAGCAUCCUUCAAGACUCAUGAAGUCUUUUUUGUCAUUUCCAUGGACUGAAAUCUGUAGUAGCAUGCUACAUUGGGGCAUAUUCCCCCCUCAUCAUCUCUAUUCAUCUUCAGUCUCGGCGUUCAGAGCCACCGUUUCUUCACAAUUUGGCGUUCAGAGCUAUAUCUUCAGUUUGGUGUUCCAGGUCACGCAUUCUUUUUAGCGUUCAGAGCCAUCAUCAUGUUCACAGUUUGGCGUUUAGAGUCACUAUCUCUUCUUAGUUUUGGUGUUCAGAGUCGCAUCUUCAUUUUGGCAUUUAGAGCCGUUAUUUCUGUUCAGCAUUCAUAGUUACUAUUUUUAGUUUGGUGUUCAGAGCCACCGUUUCUUCGUAUUUUGGCGUUUAGAGCCAUAUCUUCAGUUUGGCGUUCAAAGUCACACUUUCAUUUUGACGUUCAAAGCCAUCGUCAUCUUCUCAAUUUGGGUGUUCAGAGCCACCAUCUCUUCUUAGUUUGGGUGUUCAGAGCCACCAUCUUUUCUCAGUUUGGGUGUUCAGAGCCACCAUCUUUUCUCAGUUUGGGUGUUCAGAGCCACCAUCUUUUCUCAGUUUGGGUGUUCAGAGCCACCAUCUUUUCUCAAUUUCGGCGUUCAAAGCCACCAUCUUCUCAGUUUUGACAUUCAGAGCCACCAUCUUCUUAGUUUAGGCGUUCAAAGCCAUCAUCUUCUCAGUUUGAGCGUUCAGAGCUACCAUUUUCUCAGUUUUGACGUUCAAAGCCACCAUAUCUUCUCAGUUUCGGAAUUUUAAAGCCACCAUCUUCUCAGUUUCGGCGUUCAAAGCCAUCAUCUUCUCAAUUUGGGCGUUCAGAGCCACCAUUUCUUCUAAGUUUCGGCGUUUAGAGCCACCAUAUUCUCAGUUUCGGCGUUCAGAGCCACCAUCUUCUCAGUUUGGGCAUUCAAAGCCACCAUCUCUUCUCAGUUUGAGCGUUCAGAGCCACCAUCUUCUCAGUUAAAGCAUUCAGAGCCACCAUCUCUUCUCAGUAUGGGCAUUUAGAGCCACCAUUUCUUCUUAGUUUGGGCGUUCAGAGCCACUAUCUCUUCUCAGUUUCGGCAUUUAGAGCCACCAUCUCUUCUCAAUUUGGGUGUUUAGAGCCACUAUCUAUUCUCAAUUUGGGCGUUCAUAGCCACCAUCUCUUCUCAGUCUUGGUGUUUAAAGCCACCAUCUUCUUACGACUCAGCCUUCAAAGUCAUCAUUGCUUAUCGGUUACGACGUUCAGAGUCAUCUUCCUCGGUUUUGACGUUCAGAGCCACCAUUUCCUUAUAGCUUGACGAUUAGAGUCAUCAUCGCUUCUCAAUUACGACGUUCAGAGUCGUAUUUCUCAGUUAUGGCGCUCAGAGCCUUCAUCUUCUUCAGUUUGACGUUCAGAGUCGCACCUCUAGCUUGGCAUUUAGAGUUACUAUCUCUUUACAAUUUUGCUUUCAGAGCCAUCAUCCUAUUGCGAUCGGGCAUUCGUUGCCACUUUUUCGACAUUCAGAGCCACCAUCUUUUCUCAAUUAUGGCAUUCAAAACCAUCAUCUCUUUACAACUUGGCGUUUAGAGUCAUCGUCCUUCUCAAUCAUGGCAUUUAGAGCCACAUUUCAGGCAUUCGAAGUCAUGAUUUUCUAAAGCUUAUCAUCCUCCCUUGUGCAUGAUAUAGCUCUUUGAGCUUAUAGCUUAUGUUUUGAUUGUAUCAUUGGUGCCCCUCACUUCGCGCUCUUGUAUGGUGCAUGUAUAGUUUCCCUUUUAUAUAUGUUCCUCUCUAUGCUCCUAGAUGGUUUGACUACUACUCAACUUUGACUUCGAUCUUUGAAUCACUUUUGGUGACAUCUUAGAGGGAGUCUAGAUCCUUAGCGCGGCUUCAAAGGCACUUUGAGAGAUCCAUUUUUCUCUUAGGAUUUUAAAGCUCUUUUUACUCCUCUGAUGGUUUGGGUGAGUUUGUGUUUUACUUGUGUACCUUUAGGGAUCUUUCUUUGUCUUCGGUAGAGUUCACUUCAUUUCACUCUCUAUUCACACUUUUUUUUCACUUUAGUGUUUACAUUCAUUACACUCGUGAGCUCUACCGAAGAGGGGCAUAUUUGUAGACCCCUUUGUGGACACCAUCCGAGAGAGUGGUUUUUCUUUCAUUUUUUUGAAAUGGGGGGACCCCUUUCUGCCAAGAACAAGCUGCAUGGACAUGUGGCCAAGAGCAUGGCUCACCAUGGUGGUGGUUGAUGGUGAUGACAUCCUCCCGGGACAAGGAGCAGUAAAGUGGUUGGUGGCUUGCGGGAGAAGACAGAAAUGGGGGCAGGCAAGCAAGCUGCGAGGGGGUAGGUGAUUUUGGGGUUGCUGGUUUUGGGGAGAUACACUGGAAAAUGCUUUCUUUGGCUGGGGAGUCUUUGUUCUAGGGAGGAGGAAUUCUUUGGCCAGGCAAGAACUGUGAAAGAGCUCUCAGGUAAGUUUACUGGGUAUCUCUUGUUCACAUUUACUAUCACCGUUCUUUCAUUUUCCCCCUUCGCUAUUUGGGGUUUUGUUUGUUUGUUUGGUUAUGGAUAACAGGAGUUAUGCAUGAGUUUUGUUAAUUUCCAGUUUGUUCAUAUACCCAUUGAUCGCUUCAUUCACUAUCCUUCUUAAUAUUGGUUUAAACCCAAUGAAGUUCUGUUUCAUUUUGCUCUAUGUGAAGAUAUUGCUUGUUAUUUUCUCGUUUGGACCUGUUGGUACCCUUCCCACCCAUCCAAGCCCGUUGAAAGAGCAUUAGAUAUGGUUUUUCUUAAUUCACACACACACAUAUAUAUAUAUAUAUAUAUAUAUUUGUUUACUUUUCCUGGCUCUCCUUUGUUCUAGUCUAUAUUUUCUUUUUCCCGUUUUUUUUAUGCACUCGAUCCAGAAUGUCGGUUGAUUGAGUGUCGGUCAGAGGAAUUGGUUUUGGGCUUGUUCUAGAGAAAUGCGCUGGUAAAUAUACAUGCACAAUGUGGAAAAGGUGAAGUUGUUAAUACCUUAUCCAUUUGUUUUUCCGGGCACACGAAUGUUGGUCAAGUAGCCGAAAGAUUAAGAUGAGGCUUUCUCCCAUCACCAUUCCAGCUGAUUCAGUUGUGACUGUUGGUAUUGUGCCCUAUUCCGGGGUCCGUUCAAAAGUGUCUUCGGCUAAGGUUGUGCAAGCUAAAUCAGUUGAUGCUUAAUAUGCUUAGGAAUACUACUUGUGCGUUUUUCAAAUUUUAUGCAAAGGUGACAAGCCAAACAUCAGUGGAAAUGAUGCAUGACUCCUCCAAUAGAUCAGUUCAUACAAUUUUCAGGUGUGGGAAUAUAUGCUAGCAACGUUCUUGAAGUCACUAAUUGGUUCCCAUUUCCAACCCUAGAAGAGAAUGGUGAGACUGAAACAUCAUGUGGUCCCGACAUUUCAUCAUAUAUAAUUCCUUCAUACCCAUAUUCCCACUACCUUCCAUCCUCUAAGCCUCAUUCAUACCCAUAUCACUACUUCAUCUACCCGUAUUCUCAUAUUUCCAUCUCGUCACCAUAUUUUCUCUCUUUACACCACGUGCAUGUCCAUUACCACUCAUGCAUAUCACCACCCUCCUAUGCCCACCUUGCCCAUUCUUUCUUACCACCUUUCUCUUUUUACACCACAUGCCUCCCAAACCCACUACUCGUAUUUCACGCUUCAUCCCAUCUCAUCCCAUAUCCCUCCCAUGGAUAUCAUCACUUUCACAUACCCAUCACUACAUUUCUCUCUCUACACCACACCAUGUUCCCACUUUUUUUUUUUAAUAUGUCACUAGAUCCAUUUCUUCCCACUUUGCAUGGUCAUGCAUGGCCACACUAUGUCACUUCCACACUCAUACCCGUUCCAUACCCACAUCUUCCUAUCUGUAUUCCUACCCUUUUUUAAAAAAAAAAAAAAAAAUCCACUCACUCGUUUCUCUCACUACCACUACCCUUCAUUACUCAUCCCUACCCAUGGCAACCCAUACUCUCCUCACUCAUCUAUUACACCCACUGUCAAUAGCUCUCUUCAUCACCAUACCUAUUUUUUCCACUCUUUCUAAAUCCAUUGGACUCUCUCAUCUCACCACCCUCCAUCAUCCGUUCCAUCAAUAACCUCCCCGAAGACCAAGAAGAUUUUGCAACUUCUGCGCUUGAGAUAGAUAUUUAACAGUGUCUUCCUGAAAGUGAACAAGGAAACAACGAAUAUGUUGCACAAGGUUGAGCCUUACGAGACAUGCGGGUAUCCCAAUUCAAAGAGUGUUAAGGAAUUGGUUCACAAGCCAGGGUGCCUACCCGCUACAGUGAAACGCUUGGCUUUCAUAGUCUGCAUCGCGAGACAAUCAUGAAGCAUCAGUAUUGUUUGCAUUAGAGCGGGGUAUACCUUCCAUAGUUGGUACUCUUGGAAGUAUGUCUAUGGGAUGAAGCUGAUAUAUUAUCUGUUUUAUUUGAUAAUGGAUGAAAUCAUGGUGACUUUGUGGUCUAUAUCAUCCAGAAGUUCUCUCAAGAGAUAUAGCCGUCAUGUGAAGAUUCUUUUUCCUCACACGGUUACGCUGCUAAGAAGGAUUUCUCAUGCUUUGAAGGUCAUCAUGAAUCGAAAGACUCAAGAAGAAGGGUUAGCAUUGGUUCGUACUCAUCAGAUGCCUAGAAACAAGUGGGCAGAGUUGACAAAACUCUCGUCGAGAAGAACAGACAAUGCAAUAAAAGACCACUAGGACAGUUAUGUAAAGAAGAAGUUGGACUCUCAUAUAGCAUCAGAUUCACUUGCACAGUCCCAAGGCCAGCCUCUUGUUGGUCACUGAAACUGAUCGAUCCAUUCAUCUUCUUCAAAUAUGUAAUAGAGUAGUGGAGGUGAUGGCGGAGCCAAAGGUGGGAUAGAAGCAGAGGAAAUUUCAGAAUAUAGUCAAGGUUCAAUUGCGGAUUUUCUGGAAGCGUGAGGCACCAGUUUAAUUCAAAUGGGCAACCCACUCCUUCUUUUGAGCUGGGACAAGCAUCAUCAGGUUUAUCAUCGCAUUUUAAAGGUGGCAGAGGAAACCAGGGCACAGUUUCUGUCCCGUUCAUGAACUUCUGUAGGGUUGAGUGAUUCCUCUUCCACGGGAAAUAUAGGUGUGGACUCUGAUAUACCUGAGCAUUUACUGAUAUCUGAAGGCGACUGUUGUGGGUUCAGAUUCCAAGAGGAACUCCAGCUUCACAGUCAUAUUACUCCCUAAGGAUGACAGCGGCAAGCAUCACUAGCACCAAUAGGGUAGUCACAAUCGCACCCAAGGCCCAUGUGUAUUAUGGCCAACCUCCCAGACCCAUUUUCAAGGCCCACGUGCUUCUUUCCUUCACCUUAAAAAAAAAAACAAAAAAUGAUGAUUUUCUGAAAAUCCAAUUUCCAAAUAAUUCAACUCUCUAUUCUUUCAUCUCUAGAAUUUUUGGGUCCUAAAUUCCAUUUCCCAAUUUCCAUAUUUAUUUAUUUAAUAAGUAUUAUUUUUGUUAUUAUUAUUAUUAUUAUUCUAUUUAUUUAUUCAUUUAUUAUAAAAUUCCACCUUUAAAUAAUUUUCCAAAAUUCCGACUUCUGGAUUUAAAGUUCCAAUUUAAAAAAUCUCAAUAUUCACAUUCAUUUAUUUAAUUAUCAUUUUUGUUUUUAUUAUUAUUCUUUUUAUUUAUUUAUUCAUUUAUCAAUUCUUCAAAAUUUCGACUUUCAAAUAUAAUUUCUGAUUUUUCAUAAUUUCACUAUUCACAUUCAUUUAUUUAAUUAUUAUUUUUGUUAAUAUUAUCAUCAUUCCAUUUAUUUAUUUAUUUUAAAAUUUCAUCUAUUAACAAUUCUUCAAAAUUCCAGUUUCCGAAUUUAAUUUCCAAUUUCAAAUUUUCCACUAUUCACGUUCAUUUAUUUAAUUACUAUUUUCGUUACUAUUAUUAUUACUCCGUUUAUUUAUUUAUUUAUUCAUUUUAAAAUUUCAUCUUUUAACAAUUCUUCAAAAUUCCGGUUUCGAAUUUAAUUUCCAAUUUAAAAAAUUCCACUAUUCACAUUAAUUUAUUUAAUUAUUAUUUUCGUUAAUAUUAUUAUCAUUCCAUUUAUUUAUUUUAUUUAUUCAUUUUAAAAUUCCAUCUUUUAACAAAUUCUUCAAAUUCCAAUUUUCAAAUUUAAUUUUCAAUUUCCAAAAUUCAUUUUUUCACAUUUAUUUAUUUAAUCAUUAUUAUUUUCGUUAUUGUUAUUAUUUUAUUUAUUUUAAUUAUUUAUUUUUGAAAAUUCCAUUUUUAAAUAAUUCUUUAGAAUUCCAAUUUUUGAACUUAACUUCCAAAAUUUCAAUUCUUAAAUUUAAUUCCCAAUACUCCAAUUUCCAAAUAAUUUUCAAGACUCCAAUUUUCAAAUAAAUUUCAAAAAUCCAGUUUUCACUCGAACAAUUUUAAUUUCAUUCCGAUUCUCAAAUAAUCUAUUGUUUAUCUUGAUUUUACAUAAGUAUGAAUGCAAUUUUUCAUAAUUCCACAAUAAUGGAAUUUGCGAAACUAAUUCGUGCAAGAUAGAUUGGAUUUUGGUGGGAGGCCCAACAUUGGUGUUUUUUUCCUCUAAAAAUAAAUUUAAUUGAAUUGAAUUGUGAUAUCUAUUGAUUUCUCACUCUGUUUAGUGGCAUAUGUGACAUAGUCUGUUUUUGUUAAUUCUGCACUAAUCUCAUUUCUUGAUAGCACAUUGUGGCUCAUGGCCCAAGUACGCAUCCGCUCCCAUUCUAGUCAUUCUCCAUGCAUAUUCUGAUUCUCAUAUGUGCAUGAUCGAUUUGAGUACCCAUUGAUUUCCUUAUUGAUUGCCACAUCAACUUCCUUUUAUCAGUAGAGACCUGACUUUAGGGACUUAUAUGGGUGCUACGGUCCUUACUAUACAUUCCCGAUAAGUAAUCUGACCUCCGAGUCUGAUCCGGUUUUUCAAAAAUCACUUUUUUCAAAAUAAGGAGUUACACUUAGGGUUUUCUUUCUUAUUUUGUAUACCCUUUUGAUUACUACUCAAAAAGUGCUAUUUGAUAGCUUGUAAUUAACUCUUUUAAACACUUUUGAGUAGUAGUUAUUGCCUUUUAACCCAAUUAACAUGUUAAGGACCCUUGCAAUCAAUUCUAAUCAAAUUGUGUUAAGUUUUGGUGUUUUUGUUAGUAAUUUGAUCACCAAAACAAUCCAAGAUUGAGGAGAGUUAUUUGGAAUCCAUGGCAAAGCUUUUGGAAGCUCAAAUUUAUGAAGAACCAAGCUUUGGAGCUCCAUAGCCCUUUGCCAAAGUCGUUCAAAGUAUGCAAGGAGAGAAGCAAGGAGAAGAGGAAAACAGAGUGAAGAAAACAGAGGACAAGAAGCUGCAGUCUUCAUGCGCACUUUUGGAGCACUUCCCGAAGUCCAUUUUCUACAUUCUAUAUACCAUUUCAAAGCUCAGGAAGUCAAGAAUCCAAUGCUUCAAACGGUGCGUGAUUCGGAGUUGAAACGAAGAAGUUACAGCCAUUGCAAGCAGAUCACUCCAAAGUGUUGCGAAAUCAGCCUUUUGUUGCGAGAAUUUCGCAGCCUUUUUGUACAGUGCUAUGGAAUUCCUCCUGAAGCUACCCGAUACAUGCCGCAAGCUGGAACGCUGAGAACCUCAAGGUGGAAGCCAAUUUCGCAGCCCUGCGAGUUUAACUUGUUGUUGCGAAAAUAUUUCGCAGCCCUCUUGGGUGUCUGCGAAAUCUCGCAGACACCAUUUUCACCUGCGAAAUGGUUCCUGAAGCUUCCCGAUAUUUUCCACCGACUCUUUUGGAUAUUUUUCUUCAGAUAUUUUUGUAUAAAUUUCCAUUUUCUCCUUGUAUUCAGCCACUCAUGUAAUUCCUUAGCUAGGAAGUGUCCAAGGAAGGGUAAAUUACCUUCCUAUAUAAACUCUCUUGCAUCCACUGUAAAAAAAACGCUCGGAGAAGUAUGUAAUAUAGAAACAAUAUAUAGAAUCAACGAACAGAGCACUUGCUCUGUUUUUUCAUAUAUAUUCUUGUCUUCUCCUUCAUUUUCAUUUUCUAGCCAACCAAACUCUGAGGAUUUUUCCACAGAGGAUGAGAGGCUAAGCUUUUUGUCUCUUGGAGUAAGGAAAGCCGGGUAAGUUUCCACAUGCAUAAUUUGGAAGUUUUGUUGUUUUAGUUUUAAUGAAGAGAAAGUGUAACCCGUUAAUGGUUUUUAUCUUUUUAGUUAACUUAAAACACCUUAGAGUCACCUGAGCCAACACUUGGUAAGGCAAGUGAUUUCUAUCCAUGGAAAUGCACUAGUUUACCCCUUGCGAGCCUUUGGGAGGUGACUUGAAGGUAGGAUUUUCUAGAAUAGCCAACACUUGGUAAGCUUUUGGACUCCAAGGAGACAUCCAUUAGUUAUCUCUUGCGAGCUUUUGACGGGUAAUCCAAGGUUAAAGAUCUCCUUGAAUGGCAAGUGCUAGGUGAGAGGUAUGAGCCAUUGCAAGAUGCAUCAGUGAGAGGGAUUUAGUGUUUGAACCCAUUAAUGGGAAGCAUCUGUACAACACCGGUUGGAGAAGGAACUAUAUGUUAAUUCUCUAAUGCGAGGAAAAGAAACAAGUGACCGGAACUCCCUUUUUGUAUGAGGAAUCUGAGCCUAGUGAUCUGAAAUUCCAAGAAACACUUUUCUUUGUAAGUAAAAUCAGUUACUAUUUUUGGUUAGCUUAAAACCAAUCCUUUUUCAUUCAAAAAUCUUUAUGUUUUCUUUUAAAGCUAACCUUGAAAUGAAAAGGCACCAAUUCAGCUUUAAAUUAAUAUCAUUUGCAAAGUGAAAACCCAUCCCAGUGAACGAUCCUAGAGCCACUAUACUAUAGUAGUUUUGUCUUUGCUACCCUAGUAUAUGGUGUAAUAGGUUAUAAAUUUUGUUGAUUACUCCCUCAAUCAAGGAGCACCAGCUGUACACGAAUCAGCUGAGACAUCAAUUGGGCACGAAUCAAAUGGCGCCGCUGCCGGGGAUCGAACCCCGAAUCAAAUGGUGCCAUUGCCACUGCCGCUGCUAGGGACGAAUCAUUAAAAACAAAACAAAAAUAAGUGGCGAUUCCAAGUCAUUUCUAAAAAAAAAAAUCAUAUUUUUCAUUAAAUAAAUAAAAAACGAAUUUGCCAUCGAGUGAGAACGCAUUGAGCAAAAAUGCGAGGUCCACAUAUUGUUAUUUUUAUUUAUAAAGAAUCGAAAUUUACUUUAUCAUUUAUUAAUUGGCAUGAAAUGUUUUGACUUGCCUUGAUUAAUAAGGACUUCCAUGGCUUACCUGAUAGAGUUGGGCCCUUAACGUUAUCCACUCUGCAAUGUAUCAUGCCCUUCCAAAGCUUAAUCAAGUCAACGGCUAAGGUGUAAUUUCAUGCAUUAAAUUAUUUUAAAAAAUGUUUAAUACUGCAGUCAAGCUCGUACUACAUAUACUCUAAAAUCAACAAUGUAAUUUUCUGCACUGAGCAAUUUCAUAAAAAUGGUUUUUGAGUAAAAGAGAUUUGGAUUUUGGCCUAUGGCCUAUGGACUUUCAAAACAGGGGGUUACUCCUUGCAUUAGCUUUGUCAGGAGCACAAACCUGACAAAGAAAGCAAUUGGCAACAUGUUGAAUUUAAGCCACAAGCAUAGAGAAUCUUCAAACUUUGCAGCCUCCCCAGGUUUUGUGGCAACUUGUGGAGUUUUGAACACUCACUGACAUUGAGAACUUCAAGAAAGCAUAAAUUACAAGUGCUUCCUGGAAGAGUCACAAGGUUUUGGCAUCUGUCCAGAUUCAAAAGUUCAAGCCUAUUCAAAUGUUCGAUUGAUGAUGGUAGCUCUUUUAUAGCCGUUCCGUUCAAGUGAAGCUCCCUUAAGUUUUCCAUAUUCUCCAAGAUUUCUGGAAAGUACUGUAAUUGUGAACAGUCAGAGCCAAAGAGAGAUUUUAGGGAUUUGAACUCCCGAAUGCUUGUUGGCAGACUCUCAAGGUUUUUGCACUCUCGCAAACAUAAGGUAUCAAAUUCAGAGGCAUGCUCAAUGGGUAGUAGGUUGAUUGUCUGACCCUUUAAACAAAGCUUUCGGUGUUCCACGUUCCUCUGACAUUCCACGCAGCUAGCAUCCACAUCCUCAGUCUGUACUAUUGGAUCUUGGGAGUAUAUAGGUUGAAGCCCACACUUGAGCACCUUAAAAUGAUUGCGAGAGCCCAUAAAUAGAGCCCCAAGAAACAUGGAUGGAUUGGUGUGACAGCUCUCCAGAAUAGCAGCCUUGGGAUAGAAUAUCACCCACAUUUGUUCUGAUGCACCUCCAUCAUGGUAGCAUUUACAAGUAGUGCGAAAACUGAGAGGUUGCACACACAGGGGAGAAAAUCCAUAUCCAUCAUGCAAUGACAAUUGACAUUCUAACUCAGUGGAGAUUGAAGAUUCAGCUUCAAAUAAAUCGUCAGAUUCAUUCAGGGCUUCGUCACCAGAUUCAUUCUCCGAAAAUGUAUGUGCAAAAUCAUUUUCUGGUAUGUCCUCACAUUCAUCGAGUGGAGCAUAAACACAGCAUAUAGCAAUUCCCAAGAAGUCAUUAUUUUCAUAACAACUCUGAGGAAGGUCCAUUGUGAUCUGAUAUCCCUCUCUCUGUUUCCUUAUCCACUUGGGAAUUCCACUGCUUCCCGGAACAACAAUACAGAUUCCAUGGCCAAUGAAGUCAGAAUCAGGGAGAAAUACUUCAUUUGAACUGCUCUUGUAUUUCAAAUCCUGUACAAAGGGACAAUGUAAAUCCAGUGGGUCUGUGCCAUUAUGUGAGUUUUUAUGAGAGAGUUUGUUAUCGGUUUUUGAUAAAUUGAUUCCCAGUUUUAACUUUCUUUGAUCUAUGCUCCUGAAUCUACUUAAUAUCCCUUUUAGAUGACGGAUAAUCAAUCAACAUGAAAGUGAGUGACAAGAUUAAGUGUGAAAACUGGAAGUGAGGGGAAACUGAAACUGAAAGUGAGUAGAAUAAGCAGAUCUGUUCUUCACUUGCAGUAGCUUCUUCUCCAUUCAGAUUCAGAGAUCUUAGAAUUGUAGCUUCAACUUAACUCUCAGAAUCUUAAAGACAAAGUUCGCUCAAGUUUCAAAAACUCACAGAAAAGUUUCUCCUCAUGUUUCUUUUAAUCCCAUGAGGCGACAGACAUGUAGCACACACUUACUGGCUUUUUGCCAUGCAAGUUUCAAGGUGGAGUGUCCAAUGAACUAAAACAUUCCCUCAAAUCCUAGUGGAAAUUCACACUAUAAAUUUCAGAAUUUGCUAAAGAAAAGUUUAAUUAAUUUUACCCAUGACUAAAAAGGCAUGUGAGGGCAUUUUAACAGCCUAUUAAUUAUUAUAUUAAACUACUAUUCUCAUUACUCAAACUCAUGAUCCUUCACAUCAUCACCACAUUUUGAAGAGACUUUCGUCAACUCUUCUAUGAAUGAAUUGAUGUUUAAGGAGGCAUAAUAAACUUUUAAUUGAAUUUAACAUUAUUUCUAUCCUUAUACUCAUCUUAAAUUAUUAUUUUUUUAUAUUCUUAUCAAAAUAAAUAAAAACUUAACAAAAAAAAUAAAGAUUUCAAAACAAACUUUAUUAGCAACACUUAUUUACAUCAUUCUUUAAAAAAAUAUUCAAAAACAAAUUUUUUUACAAUUAAAAAAAUGUGAUUUAAAAUUUAUAAAGAACAAAAUUUUUAGAAAAAUAUGGUAGUUGUUUGAAAUAAAAUAAAAGGGAAAUCAAAAUUCUUAGUAAAUGAAUAGUCAAAAAAACUGUAACAGAUAUGCAAAUGAGAAAAAAAAUAAUCAAUGUCAAGAAUGAGAAACAAUUUUUUCUUUUUUCUUUUCUUAUUUUAUGCAUUCAUUACCAUUUUUAAAUUAAUAAAUAAAGUUUUUCUCACAAAAUUUUAAAAUGGCAUGUAUGCUUCAAAAUUUAUAUAUUGUUAUUAGAUUUUUAUAAAUUUCAUUUAUAUCCUCAAAAUUAGAAUCAUUAAACUCACAUUUUAAAAUAAGAUAUCAAAUAGUUAUUUUUUCAUCCUUUAGCAAUAUCAAACGUUUUUUGUACUUUAAUAAAAAAAAAAAAAGCUAUUUUUUCUAAUUAAUGACUAUUUUGCAUAAUAUUUGUAUAAAUUAUUUAAUAUAUAAAUAUUACUUAUUUAAUAGUUUUUUUUUAAUUUCUUAUAGAAAGAGUAGUGCAUACAUAAUUCAAACAAAAGGUAAUUUUAUAUUGCAAAAAAGUUUGUGGAAAAAGGAAAUUUGAACAAGGAUUGAAAUUUAUAGAACCAUAUUGGACACCUAGUUCUAGGUUUGUCCCUUUCCAACAAUCAUGACUUGGUAGUAGCCUAAUCUCAAAUCUAACUUUGUCAGGCCCUUCCUUUACUAAGUCGAUCAAACAAGUUGUUAACAAACAGAAUAAGAUAUUUUUUCUUUUCACCUUGUUGAGUCUUCGAUAAUCUAUACACAUUCAGAGGGAUCCAUUAUGUUUCUUUUAGAAUAAUAUUGAUGUGGCAUAUGAAGCUUUAGUUGGUUGGAUGUAUCCCAUGUUAUGCAACUUCUUAAGUUGUUUCCUUUGUUCUUCUAAAUUAGGUAGUAUCAUCCUAUGGGACCUCCAUGGCAAGGGGCUUAGCUCCUGGCUCUAAGUCAAUCUUGUGCUCCCCUUCCCUUAUUUGUGUGAGUUUCUUAUGUAAUUUUAAUGACAUCUAAGGAUGGCAAAGUUUGAUACAAUUUUUCAACCAAACUUGAAGAAGCGUUAUUAGUGGGUUUGGAAAGUUCUAAUCUAUUUUACUUUUUAAAACAAAGUAAAAUAGAGAACAAUUUUUAAAGAACAAUUAGGAGUUGUUUUUACCAAUUUUUAAAAAACAAAAAAUAUAUAAACUCAUUUGACUAUAUUCUUUUAAACUUGUUUUUAAAUUAAAGAAUAAAAAAUAAUUUUUUAAAAUAAGUUUCAAAAAAUAUGACCAAGUCGGGGUUUAUAAUAUUAAAGAGGAAAAAAGUUAAUUUAAGAUUUUGCAUGCAGGUAAACAUCAGGCUGUAAAACUGGUUUACUAAGACACUCAUUUUAUUUAUAUAUUCUUCUAUGUGCAUGCAUUGACCAUGUGGUUAAGAUGUGUUGCACCGAAAUCUAAUGAUUAGCUGUAAAACGUUAAUUAAUCCGAGCAUACAUUUUUCUUUAUUUGUUUUGGUUUCUUUACAAGAAUGCUUCUUUAUGUAUUCUUGUUGAACCUAUAAAAUAUCAUCCAUAGACAUUCUUUUUGAAUAAUUAAGAACCGAGAUUUCUAAUUGGUUGGUUAUUAUUUUUAUCUGUAAGGAAUCGAAAUUUAGCUCAUCAUUUAUCGUAUGAAUAUCAUAUAGAUUUGAAAAGAAUUUCACACUUAGAAAUGUACCUCUCAGAACAUUUGAAGUUAAGAUGUUUUUGUCUUCUUCAAUUUGAUUGCUCAUUACGACUUUGAGAUUCAAAUUCCUUUUGAUGUAAAAAACAAACUUAAAUAAAUAAAAAGAAUUAAAAGAUAAGCAGAGCAAAAAAUUAAAUAGUGUGAGUUGGAAUGAAUAAAGUUUUAAUCAAAAUUGGAAAUUAAGGUGAAACAUCCUAAAUUAUAUACAAAAGCUCAUAUAAUAUUACACCAUAAUUUCUCUAAAUUAAUCUUAACCUUUUAGUGCAGUGUGUACAGUCAUUGCUUGUUUGUGGAUUAGAAUUAGUAUCUUCUGCUGCUGAUCUGGUAUCACAACUUCUCUGCUCAUCAUUGUACUCUAUCAUUGUCUGAUGGUCGCGCCUGGUGGCUUCUGUGUUGUCACAGCUUCUCCGAGCAUCACUACUGGUAUCUUCUGGGAUGUUUCUGUUUAUAACAUCAGGUGUAUAUAUAAGAUGGAACCCACACUCUUUCACUUCGACUGGUGUACCGUCCAAGCUAUGAAAUGAAGCCUUCAAACGUCUCCAUUCGUUCGACCAAUACUGGUUGCCAAUAACAACCUUGGGAUAAUAAGUCACACACAUUUGACUUGAUUCACCGCAAAUUCGGCAGCAAUAAGACCGGACAUCAUCCACGUGACAGCAUUCAGAUUGAUCACCACAGAUAUUGAGUUCGCAAUUCAACCAACCACAAGCCAUAGGAAUAAAAACAGAGUAUAAAGCAAAUCCUAAGAAGCCAUCUUUUCUGUACAAAUCCGUAGAAAGCUCUAUUGUUAUUUGAGAUCCUUUUUUUGGCUGGCUUAUCCACUCUGGAAUUCCAUCAUUUCCCGAAAUAACAACUCUGAUUGCCUUGUUCCAAUAGGAGCCGCAUUCAAAUUCCUGCACAGAAGUACAGUGUUAAUACUCUGUUCAUAAGGAAAAAGGGCUGAAUGUUAUGAAAAUCAUACCUCAAUCAUUGAUUUGAAGCAUUUGAACAGAGAAAAACCAAGUUGACUUGAUGGACUUGAUAAAGUUUCCAAGCAUGUGCAACUGUGGACAUCUAGAACUCGUAAACUUGGUGGAAACUCUGGAACUUGUAGAAGCCCCUGGCAGUGACUCAAUUCAAGGACUCUCAGUUUAGAAAGUUGAAUGAUGCCUGCAAGUAUGCUACUAAAACAGUCCUUGCUUAGAUUUAGACCUGAAGCGUACAAACCCUCUAAACAUUGCAAACUCCUCAGGUUCUCGGGAAAUCUCUCAAGUUUUGUACAGAAACUGACAUUUAGAAUUUUGAGAGUUUUCAAAUUACAAAAGGCCUCUGGAAGACUCACAAGGUAUUGCGAGAUUCAAAUAUUGAAGCCCUCUUAGAUAUUGAAUUGAUGCUGGUAGUUCUUCGAUAGCAGUUCCAUCUAAAUGAAGCUCUCUUAUAUUUUCCACAUCCUCGAGGAUUUCCGGAAAGCUCCUUAAUCGUGAACAGCCUGAGCAGAAGAGAGUUGUAAGGGAUUUCAACUCACAUAUGCUACUGGGAAGAAGCUCAAGGUUUUUGCAUUCUCGCAAACAUAACCUAUUAAGUUUAUGGGGACACUCAACAGUGGGUAGUUCAUUGAUGGCAUUUCACUUUAAACAAAGCUUCCAUAGGGAUUGCACAUCCUCUUGACAUUCCCGGCAAACGGUGGAUAUCAUUGCUUUACCAUGGUUCUGUUCAUGAUCAUGGGCAUAUAUAAGAUGGAUCCCACACUCUUCUACUUUCACUGCUUUACCUCUCAAGUAGCCACAAAAUGAAGCCGUCAACUGCCUCCAUUUAUUUGAGUGGUACUUCUCCUCAAUCUCAUGCUUAGGAUAAUAAAUCAUCCACAUACAAGGUACAACAUAGACGUGAAAUGAGGGAUAAAACUGGAGUUUAUCCACAAACUGAAUUUCAUGACCACGCAAAGUUAAACCAUACUCGAAGUAAGUUGCACCAUUCUCCAGUGUCUCCUCAGAUUCAUUAUCCAGUGGAUAAUAGACACAGUACAAAACAAAACCCAACAAGUCGUCAUUUUUAUACCAAUUUUGAGGAAGCUUUGCUACUACUUCAGCUCCCUUUUUGUGAUGGCUUAUCCAAUCUGGAAUUCCACAACUUUCUGAAAUAAUAAGAUUUACUCGGGCAAAAGGUUUUUCUAAAGGAUAAAUCUUGCAUUCCAAAUCCUGCAGAAAAUUUAAUUAACACUUAAAUCCCCAUGUCUCCACAAAAAAAGUUUUGGUCUAUGAAUAUCAUACCUGAAUCAAUGAUUUGAAGCAGUUGAAUAGAGAAGACCAGAGUAGACCUGAAGAAGUUUCCAGCCGUUUGCACAAAUGUAUAUCUAAGACACGCAAACUGGAUGGAAGUGCUGGAAUUUGUCGAAGCUCUUGACAGUUACCCAAGACAAGGAGUCUCAGCCUAGAAAGUUGAUUGAUCCCAGCAGGUAUGCUCCUAAAAAGAUUCCCGAAUAGAAAUAAUUCUUGCAGAGAUGAUAGCUGGCAAAUUUCAGUGGGGAUUCCUCCUUCAUCUAUACCACACACACGUAGAUCUACAACUUCCAAGGAGUACAAGCAGCAAAUAUCACUCAGGACUACUCCUUGCAUUAGCUUUGAGUAAAUAAGAUCUAACUCCUUUAAGGAGCAUAAACCUGACAAAGAAAGCAAUUGGCAACAUCUUGAAUUUAAGCCCCUAGCACGGAGACACUUCAAGCUUUGCAGCCUCCCCAGGUUUUGUGGCAAUUUGUGGAGUUUUGAACAGUAAUUCACAUUGAGAUCUUCAAGAAAGCGUAAAUUACAAAUGCUUUCUGGAAGAGUCACAAGGUUUUUGCACCUCUCAAGAUUCAAAACUUGAAGCCUAUUCAAAUGUUCGAUUGAAGAUGGUAGCUCUUUUAUGGCCGUUCCGUUCAAGUGAAGCUGCCUUAAGUUUUCCAUAUUCUCCAAGAUUUCUGGGAAGUACUGUAAUUGUGAACAGUCAGAGCAAAAGAGAGAUUUUAGGGAUUUGAACUCCCAAAUGCUUGUUGGUAGACUCUCAAGGUUUUUGCACUCUCGCAAACAUAAGGUAUCAAAUUCAGAGGCACACUCAAUGGGUGGUAGGCUGAUUGUCUGACCCUUUAAACAAAGCUUUCGGUGUUCCACAUUCCUCUGACAUUCAGCGCAGCUAGCAUCCACAUCAUCAGUCUGUACUAUUGGAUCUUGGGCGUAUAUAGGUUCAAGCCCACACUUGAGCACCUUAAAAUGAUUGCGACAGCCCAUAAAUAUAGCCCCAAGAAACAUGGAUGGAUUGGUGUGACAGCUCUCCAGAAUAGCAGCCUUGGGAUAGAAUAUCACCCACAUUUGUUCUGAUCCACCUCCAUCAUGGUAGCAUUUACAAGUAGUGCGAAAACUGAGACGUUGCGCACACAGGGUAGAAAAUCCAUAUCUAUCAUGUAAUGACAAUUUACAUUCUAACCCAGUGGAGAUUGAAGAUUCAGCUUCAAGUAAAUCGUCAUAUUCAUUUAGGGCUUCGUCACCAGAUUCAUUCUCCGAUGUAUGUGCAAAAUCAUUUUCUGGUAUGUCCUCACAUUCAUCGUGUGGAGCAUAAACACAGCAUAUAGCAAUUCCCAAGAAGUCAUUAUUUUCGUAACAAUUCUGAGGAAGGUCCAUUGUGAUAUGAUUUCCCUCUCUCUGAUUCCUUAUCCACUUGGGAAUUCCACAGCUUCCCGGAACAACAAUACAGACUCCAUUGCCAAUGAAGUCAGAAUCACGGAGAAAUACUUCAUUUGAACUGCUCUUGUAUUUCAAAUCCUGUACAAAAGGACAAUGUAAAUCCUGUGGGUCUGUGCCAUUAUGUGAGUUUUUAUGAGAGAGUUUGUUAUCAGUUUUUGAUAAAUUGAUUCCCAGUUUUAACUUUCUUUGAUCUAUGCUCCUGAAUCUACUUAAUAUCCCUUUUAGAUGACGGAUUAUCAAUCAACAUGAAAGUGAGUGACAAGAUUAAGUGUGAAAACUGGAAGUGAGGGGAAACUGAAACUGAAAGUGAGUAGAAUAACCAGAUCUCUUCUUCACUUGCAGUAGCUUCUUCUCCAUUCAGAUACAGAGAUCUUAGAAUUGUAGCUUCAACUUAACUCUCAGAAUCUUAAAGACAAAGUUCGCUCAAGUUUCAAAAACUCACACAAAAAUUUCUCCUCAUGUUUCUCUUAAUCCUAUGAGGCGAGAGACAUGUAGCACACACUUAUUGGCUUUUUUACAUGCAAGUUUCAAGGUGGAGCGUCUAAUGAACUAAAACAUUCCCUCAAAUCCCAGUGGAAAUUCACACUAGAAAUUGCAGAAUUUGCUAAGGAAAAGUUUAAUUCAUUUAAUCCAUGAAUAAAAAAGUAUGUGAGAGCAUUUUAACAUCCUAAUACUUAUUAUAUUAAACUAUAAUUCUCAUUAUUUAAACUCAUGAUCCUUCACUUCAUCACCAAAUUUUGAAGACACUUUUGGCAUCUCUUCCAUGAAUUAAUUGAUGUUUAAGAAGGUAUAAUAAACUUUUAAUUGAAUUUAACAUUAUUUCUAUCCUAAUACUCAUCUUAAACUCUGUUUUUUUUUUUUUUAUACUCUUAUCAAAACAAAUAAAAACUUAACAAAAAAAUAAAGAUUUCAAUUACUCCGUGUUCAAAAGGGAAAAUGGCUAAAUGUCAUGAAAAUCAUACCUCAAUAGUUGAUUUAAAGCAUUUGAACAGAGAAACACCAAGUAGACAUGAUGGACUUGAUAAAACUUCCAAGCAUGUGCAACUGUGGACAUCUAGAACUCGUAAACUUGGUGGAAGCUCUGGAACUUGUAGAAGCCCCUGGCAGUGACUCAAUUCAAGGACUCUCAGUUUAGAAAGUUGAAUGAUGCCUGCAAGUAUGCUACUAAAACAGUCCUUGCUUAGAUUUAGACCUGAAGCGUACAAACCCUCUAAACAUUGCAAACUCCUCAGGUUCUCGGGAAAUCUCUCAAGUUUUGUACAGAAACUGACAUUUAGAAUUUUGAGCGUUUUCAACUUACAAAUGGCCUCUGGAAGACUCACAAGGUUGCUGCAAUCUGCAAGAUUCAAAUGUUGAAGCCCUCUUAGAUAUUGAAUUGAUGCUGGUAGUUCUUCUAUAGCAGUUCCAUCUAAAUGAAGCUCUCUUAUAUUUUCCACAUCCUCGAGGAUUUCCGGAAAGCUCCUUAAUCGUGAACAGCCUGAGCAGAAGAGAGUUGUAAGGGAUUUCAACUCACAUAUGCUACUGGGAAGAAGCUCAAGGUUUUUGCAUUCUCGCAAACAUAACCUAUUAAGUUUAUGGGGACACUCAAUAGUGGGUAGUUCAUUGAUGGCAUUUCCCUUUAAACAAAGCUUCCAUAGGGAUUGCACAUCCUCUUGACAUUCCCGGCAAACGGUGGAUAUCAUUGCUUUACCAUGGUUCUGUUCAUGAUCAUGGGCAUAUAUAAGAUGGAUCCCACACUCUUCUACUUUCACUGCUUUACCUCUCAAGUAGCCACAAAAUGAAGCCGUCAACUGCCUCCAUUUAUUUGAGUGGUACUUCUCCCCAAUCUCAUACUUAGGAUAAUAAAUCAUCCACAUAUAAGGUACAACAUUGCCGUAAAAUGAGGGAUAAAACUGGAGUUUAUCCACAAACUGAAUUUCAUGACCACGCAAAGUCAAACCAUACUCGAAGUAAGUUGCAUCAUUCUCCAGUGUCUCCUCAGAUUCAUUAUCAAGUGGAUAAUAGACAGAGUACAAAACAAAACCCAACAAGUCGUCAUUUUUAUACCAAUUUUGAGGAAGCUUUGCUACUACUUCAGCUCCCUUUUUGUGAUGGCUUAUCCAAUUUGGAAUUCCACAACUUUCUGAAAUAAUAAGAUUUACUCGGGCAAAAGGUUUUUCUAAAGGAUAAAUCUUGCAUUCCAAAUCCUGCAGAAAAUUUAAUUAACACGUAAAUCCCCAUGUCUCCACAAAAAAAGUUUUGGUCUAUGAAUAUCAUACCUGAAUCAAUGAUUUGAAGCAGUUGAAUAGAGAAGACCAGAGUAGACCUGAAGAAGUUUCCAGCCGUUUGCACGAUUGUACAUCUAAGACACGCAAACUGGAUGGAAGCACUGGAAUUUGUCGAAGCUCUUGACAGUUACUCAAGACAAGGAGUCUCAGCCUAGAAAGUUGAUUGAUCCCAGCAGGUAUGCUCCUAAAAAGAUUCCCGAUUAGAAGUAAUUCUUGCAGAGAUGAUAGCUGGCAAAUUUCAGUGGGGAUUCCUCCUUCAUCUAUACCGCAGAAAGAUAGAUCUAACACUUCCACGGAGUACAAGCAGCAAAUAUCACUCAGGACUACUCCUUGCAUUAGCUUUGAGUAAAUAAGAUCCAACUCCUUUAAGGAGCAUAAACCUGACAAAGAAAGCAAUUGGCAACAUCUUGAAUUUAAGCCCCUAGCACGGAGACGCUUCAAGCUUUGCAGCCUCCCCAGGUUUUGUGGCAAUUUGUGGAGUUUUGAACAGAAAUUGACAUUGAGAUCCUCAAGAAAGCGUAAAUUACAAAUGCUUUCUGGAAGAGUCACAAGGUUUUUGCACCUCCCCAGAUUCAAAACUUGAAGCCUAUUCAAACGUUCGAUUGAAGAUGGUAGCUCUUUUAUAGCCGUUCCAUUCAAGUGAAGCUGCCUUAAGUUUUCCAUAGUCUCCAAGAUUUCUGGGAAGUACUGUAAUUGUGAACAGUCAGAGCAAAAGAGAGAUUUUAGGGAUUUGAACUCCCAAAUGAUUGUUGGUAGACUCUCAAGGUUUUUGCACUCUCGCAAACAUAAGGUAUCAAAUUCAGAGGCACGCUCAAUGGGUGGUAGGCUGAUUGUCUGACACUUUAAACAAAGCUUUCGGUGUUCCACAUUCCUCUGACAUUCAGCGCAGCUAGCUUCCACAUCCUCAGUCUGUACUAUUGGAUCUUGGGCGUAUAUAGGUUCAAGCCCACACUUGAGCACCUUAAAAUGAUUGCGACAGCCCAUAAAUAUAGCCCCAAGAAAAAUGGAUGGAUUGGUGUGACAGCUCUCCAGAAUAGCAGCCUUGGGAUAGAAUAUCACCCACAUUUGUUCUGAUCCACCUCCAUCAUGGUAGCAUUUACAAGUAGUGCGAAAACUCAGAUGUUGCACACACAGUGUAGAAAAUCCAUAUCUAUCAUGCAAUGACAAUUGACAUUCUAACUCAGUGGAGAUUGAAGAUUCAGCUUCAAGAAAAUCGUCAUAUUCAUUUAGGGCUUCAUCAUCAGAUUCAUUCUCCGAUUUAUGUGCAAAAUCAUUUUCUGGUAUGUCCUCACAUUCAUCAAGUGGAGCAUAAACACAGCAUAUAGCAAUUCCCAAGAAGUCAUUAUUUUCGUAACAAUUCCGAGGAAGGUCCAUUGUGAUCCUAUUUUCCUUUCUCUGAUUCCUUAUCCAGUUGGGAAUUCCACAGCUUCCCGGAACAACAAUACAGAUUCCAUGGCCAAUGAAGUAAGAAUCAGAGAGAAAUACUACGUUUGAACUGCUCUUGUAUUUCAAAUCCUGUACAAAAGGACAAUGUAAAUCCUGUGGGUCUGUGGCAUUAUGUGAGUUUUUAUGAGAUAGUUUGUUGUCAGUUUUUGAUAAAUUGAUUCCCAGUUUUAACUUUCUUUGAUCUAUGCUCCUGAAUCUACUUAAUAUCCCUUUUAGAUGACGGAUUAUCAAUCAACGUGAAAGUGAGUGACAAGAUUAAGUGUGAAAACUGGAAGUGAGGGGAAACUGAAACUGAAAGUGAGUAGAAUAACCAGAUCUCGUCUUCACUUGCAGUAGCUUCUUCUCCAUACAGAUUCAGAGAUCUUAAAAUUGUAGAUUCAACUUAACUCUCAGAAUCUUAAAGACAAAGUUCGCUCAAGUUUCAAAAACUCACAGAAAAAUUUCUCCUCAUGUUUCUCUUAAUCCUAUAAGGCGAGAGACAUGUAGCACAAACUUAUUGGCUUUUUUCCAUGCAAGUUUCAAGGUGGAGCGUCUAAUGAUAUAAAACAUUCCCUCAAAUCCCAGUGGAAAUUCACACUUGAAAUUGCAGAAUUUGCUAAGGGAAACUUUAAUUCAUUUCAUCCAUGAAUAAAAAAGUAUGUGAAGGCAUUUUAACUUCCUAAUAAUUGUUAUGUUAAACUAUAAUUCUCAUUAUUUAAACUCAUGAUCCUUCACUUCAUCACCACAUUUUGAAGAGACUUUUGUCAUCUCUUCCAUGAAUUAAUUGAUGUUUAAGGAGGUAUAAUAAACUUUUAAUUGAAUUUAACAUUAUUUAUAUCGUUAUACUCAUCUUAAACUAUUAUUUUUUUUAUACUCUUAUCAAAAUAAAUUAAAACUUAACAAAAAAAAAAUUAAAGAUUUCAAAACAAACUUUAUAAAUUUAUCAACACUUAUUUACAUCAUUCUUUAAAGAAAUAAAUUUAUAAUUAAAAAAAAAAGAAGUGAUUUAAGAAUUAUAAAGAAGAAAAUUUUAAGAAAAAAUGUACUAGUUAUUUGAAAUAAAAUAUAAGGGAAAUCAAAAUUCUUAGUAAAUGAAUCCUCAAAAAAUUGUAACAGCUAUGCAAAUGAGAAAAAAAAUUAAAAGUAAAAAAAAAUUAUCAAUGUCAAGAAUGAGAAACAAUUUUUUUCUUUUUCUUUUCGUAAGUUUUUUUAUUCUUAUUUAAUGUAUUCAUUACAAUUUUUAAAUUAAUAAAUAAAGUUUUUAUCACAAAAUUUUAAAAUGCCAUGUAUGCUUCAAAAUUUAUAUAUUGUUAUUAGAUUUUUAUAAAUUUCAUUUAUAUCUUCAAAAUUACAAUUAUUAAACUCACAUUUUAAAAUAAGAUAUCAUAUAGUUAUUUUUUCAUCCUUUAGCAAUAUAAAACGUUUUCGUACUUUAAUAAAAAAAACUUUUUUUUUUCUAAAUAAUGACUAUUUUGUAUAAUAUUAGUAUAAACUAUUUAACAUAUAAGUACUACUCAUUCAAUAGUUUAUUUUUUUAAUUUAUUAGAGAAAGAGUGGUGCAUAUAUAAUUCAAAUAAAAGGUAAUUUCAUAUUGCAAAAAAGUUUGUGGAAAAAGGAAAUUUGAACAAGCAUUGAAAUUUAUAGGAACAAUAUUGGAAACCUAGUUUUAGGUUUGUCCCAUACCAACAAUCAUGACUUGGUAGUAGCCUAAUCUCAUAUCUAACUUUGUCAAGCCCUUCCUUUACUAAGUUGAUCAAACAAGUUGUUAAAAAGCAUAAUACAAUAUUUUUCACUUUCACCUUGUUGAGUCUUCGAUAAUCUAUACACAUUCAAAGGGAUCCAUUAUGUUUCUUUUAGAAUAAUAUUGGUGUGGCAUACGAAGCUUUAGUUUGUUGGAUGUAUCCCAUGUUAAGCAACUCCUUAAGUUGUUUCCUUAGUUCUUCUAAAUUACGUAGUGCCAUCCUAUUGGACCUCCAUGGCAAAGGGCUUAGCUCCUGGCUCUAAAUCAAUCUUGUGCUCCCCUUCCCUUAUUUGUGUGAAUUUCUUAUGUAAAUUUAAUGGCAUCUAAGGAUGACAAAGUUUGAUACAAUUUGUACGUCAACCAGACUUGAACCCGAGCAUUUUUAGUGAGUUUGUGUUUCCAUACCGUAAGUUGGAUUCAUGAAAGUCUCAGACUUGAAUCAAUUGAAUUAAAAAUAAAUAUUCAUGUUGUUAUUAAUUUAGUUUCUUUUACUUAGUUUUACUAAAUAAAAUUUUAUUCACAUAUUGUUUUUCACUUUAGGAUUUAAAUAAAAGUGAUUCAUUUAUCCUAGUAUUGACAAAUUCCAUAGCCAGACCUAGAGGAUGAUACUCGGAGUACUAUAAAAGUUGUAGUGACUUUUUCUCUGAUUUUUCUUAAUCAAAGUUACUACAUAAAAAGACUUAGUAUUUGAACAAUAGAGAAGAAUGGUCAAAAUUCAAGUAAAAUGGAAUGAUUAAUAUUAAUGAAUUUUUACCAUAAUAAAGAAUGAUACUUGAUUCUAGACUACUUAGGUAUGGAUUAAAAGAUUAACAUUAGAUAGAAUAACUCACGUAUAUUAAAGCAUUUUGCUAAGUUCUUUUUAUCCUUGAUCUUUUAUGAGAUUGAGCCAAUAAGGUUACACUUAAAAAUUUAAUGUGUUUGAAACACUCCUCUAAAAUCAAUCAUUCAAAUAUUAGAAAACAAGUAAAAUAUUUUUCAUAUGCUGAUUAAUAUACCCAAGGUAGUUCUUGAAUUAUCCUAACACAAAUAUCUUGCGAGUCUUAAUUUUGUCAAAUCAAUAUAUAUCUUUAGAUUUCUAAAGAAACUACUAUACUCGCGCACAUUCAUCCAUGAGUUAGGUAGAUUUUAUCUCUUGUAAGAGUUCAAAGAUACUGCAAACAAAAUUCACUGUACAAUUAAUAUCUCUCAAUGGUAUGUUAUUCAACUAAAACUAGUAGUGUCUUAUGUUAAUGGGCUUAGUUUUAUAAUGUAAAACUAGAUCUUUAAUACAUUAAUAGCUCUCAUGUUAUCACAAGGCAUAAUUAUGAUUUAUCACUCUCACCAUAAUCCUUUUAACAUACGUUUUAUCGAAAGUAAUUGCUUGGUUUGUUAGCUUCUUAUUAAGCUAGGCAACUGAGCAAUUAAAAUAUAGAAACAUCCCCUAUAAGUGUUCUUCCGUUCUUUAGACCUUCCAUCCCUAUUCAACAUUUGUAUGAAAAAUGUUGUCUACAAAUAUAUUGGUGUAAUACCACAAUCCAAGUUUAUAAGUACCAACCACAAAUAUAAUGAUUCUAUUAACAACUCCAAGGUGUGAUUUCUUAGGAAGAUUCUUAUCACGCAUAAACUCCAGUUCUAUAGGUUUAUCCAGCCUAAAUGUCAUUACAUAAAGAAGGCUUCCAACCAUUGAUCUACAGGUGGAUAGAUUUACAAACUUACCACUCCCAUCUCUUGUAAAAAUUUUCCUACAACUUUUCUAUUGUCGUGACCUAGCUAAGUUCAGCCAUUUUAAUUUAGCUUAUAGAGAGGGCCCCAUCGCUAACAUUUCCAAUCACAUUGUUGAUAGGAUGAUCACUAAUUUCUCUAAUUUUGCUCCAUGUGGAUGUUUGCUUGAUUUUCAUUGAGUUCAUUCACAUUCUCAAUCAUUCAACUCUUUUUUCUCACCUAAAUCUAGAAUGUUUGAUGAAAUAUCCUUAAGAAAAACACAUUAUUUUCUUUACUUCCUUAGUCAUCUAUCAAUACAUUGAUCGAUUCAAUUACAACUCUUUAAUUAUUAAAGAAGAUCUUAAAGGCUUUAAGCCAAGUUGAGUAUCUAACAAAAAUUCUUUCAACAUGCUUUGAUUCAAACAUCCCUAAUUUUUUAGAAUUGUUUGGAUAAGACAUUGUUCCUAAAAACUAUAUUUUACAUUAAGCUUCCUACUUGUCUAAACAUCAUAGCAAGUCCUUUUGGUUCUAACGUAUAGGUGGACUCAAUUAGAAGUACAAGAUGUUGUGUUUAUGGGUUAACCUGACAAGUUGUUAGAGCCUUUGGAUUAAUCCAUUCUAAACCUAGGAUCGUUGGGGUGUUUGCAAAAACUAUCUUAAGGAUCUUUAGAUCUACCCAACAAAAGCAUAUACAUGAAAAAAAUACACCUGCAAACUUUAUGUUUCCAAAAUGAUUUCAGUCUAUGAAGAAGCUAGUGCAAAUCUCAAAAACCAAGAGAUCUUUUGCUCAAUGGCUCUCUUUCCUGGAUCUAGGCACUUGUAGAUGGUGAAAUCCUCAUAGAAGGGUGGAUGCUAAGGUUCCUCUCUCUAGAUUCUAAAGAAAUGGAAGAAGAAUAAAAAAGUCCUAACCCUUAAAUGGGUUUAUAUAGGAUUCCCUAUGGGCUUAAGUGACUUGAGUCUAUCUUAGGCUUAGGGGUCGCUAAAAAAAGCCCACUUGGAUCUUAGUUAAAUAAUUAGCCCUAUUAAGGUCCAAUUAAUUAAUUAUCCUUUUCCAAAAACAUCAUUCAUAAGAUCUAAAACAACUUUGCAUUUUUACCAAAACACCCUUAUGCACAUGUAUGAAUAAAUAACCUAUACAUCCCUUAAGUAAUGUGUCACAUAGAAGUAUGAACUCAAGUAGGGACCAUUAGGAGUGGUAGGAAAAUAGUGGCUCCUGUAUAAUUUAAUUCUAAAGUUGACUUAACAUCCUUCUACAAAAAAUCAAUUGCACUCUAAUAUCCUAUGAUAUUACAUUAAUAUAAAAUACAUGGGUUUGUGACCUACUAACGACUAAAAGCUAGCUCCUCAUGAAUUGGCGUCCAUAAUAUAACAAGGUGAACACUUUCAAUCUUUUAAGAUUAACUUUACAAUCCUUAUGUUAUAGAUCAUCCCAUUAAGUGAUAAAUUGACAUACUAUAACCCACAACGAACAUAUGGUAACUUCUACUAAACGAAUUACUGCAACCAUAGAUUUUGUCAUGACUACCUCAAUAGCUAAUGUCAUAAUUCAUUGUAAAUUUUGUCUAAUGUGCAAUAAUAUAUACUAAUGCACUCACCUUAGAAACCUCAUCCGAAUGACUAAGAUAAGUCAACUCGCUAAUUAGAAGGUAGUGCACUAUAAUCUCAAAUGGAUUGCCUAAAUUCAUCAACCAACUAUGAACAAAUCAUAAAUCUUGCAAGGAACCCAUGACUUGAAUCUUUCACAUAACUGCUAAUGUACUUAAGUUAUGUAUAAUACCACUACUGCAUGCAUGAAUACUCAAAUCAAUAUCAAUGUGAACAUGGAUAAAUUAGUGGAAACUCAAGCCUAACGGUGUUACAUCAUCUCUUGCUUGCAAGGGCUUUACCUUAACACCAAUAAUCAGGUAGGUUCUUGAAAUCCAAUAUAAUAUGUGCUAUUUCUUGGAGCACUUUAUUUUUCCUUUCAAUAACUUCAUUUUCUAUGGAGUUUUAGAUGUUGAAAGCUCUUCUUUAAUUUCCUUCUCACAAAAACUCUAGAAGUUAGAAUUACAAACUCAUUUCCUCUAUUAUUUCUUAUUUUUCUUACUUAAAAUUCAUUUUUAUUCAUCAUUUGAAAGCAUAACACUUUGAAUUUUAGGAUGUACUUCUUUCUUUCUAAGCAUUGCACUCUCAUAGGACCUAUGAUGAAAAUAUCGUUAAUCAUGGAUAUAUCGAUACUUCGAUUUUACGGAUAUAUCGGAGAUAUAUCGACGGAUAUUUUGGAAAAAAAUAUCGAUAAGUCUAAAACUGAUCAGAAUUUGUAAAAAUAUAAGAAAAACUUCAUAAAAAUGUAAUGAGAAGUAUAAUGAUAUUUUUAAACUGUUUUAUUAAAUAAUUUGAUAUAUGUAUAAUAUGAUUUAUCAUAUUUGAUAAUAAUAUCGUAUGCAUCGACAAAAAUAUGAAUUUUAUAAGUGUACAUUUAUUAUUAAAUUACAUUUAAUAUUAUGAUAUUUGAUUAUAAUAUGUAUAAUUUUAAAAUAUAUAUUAAUAUUAAAAUUAUGAUACAUUUAAUUCAAUUGUAUUAAACAAUAUAAAAUAAAUUAUAAUAUAUGUACAAUUUUUUAAUAUUUAAUUAAUUAUUAAUGAUAUUAAAAGCACUAUGAAGAAAAUUUUAUAAUUUUAAUAUUUUUGGUAAUCAAUUAAAAGAAAAUUUUGCAUUUAAUUAUAAAAUAAUUAUAAUUAAUUUGCUCUUUAAAAUAUUUUUUUUAAUAUUUUCCUUAUAUAAUAAGUUUAACUAUAUAUAUGUUUAGUACAUAUCAUAUAAUAAGGGUAAGUUAGCUUGGAUGGCAAGUGGGUUGAACCUCAAACCUUUUGGUUUGGGGUUCGAAUCCCCUCAACUUCAAAAUGAAGGGUUAUCGCUGAUUUUUUUGGAUUUCUCUCGAAAUUUCGUCAGAUCGAUAUUUCUCCAUGAAAUAUCGUAUCGAUACCCUCCGAUACAUGAUACAUUGGCGAUAUAUUGCCAACAUAUCGCAAUAUUUUCUUCCUUGCAUAGGACCCAUUAAAUCCAUAUGUAACAUCUCUAAGAGCCUAGAAAAAGAGAACAUCAUUUUUCUAUCACUCAUGUGAAUUCAUUGUCCUAGGUAGGACAAAUAGGAUUUUUAGGCUUUCCUAAAUGGGAAUUGCUUUAAUUAGUUCUUUAUUUGUAAUCCUAGACAAAUCAUUAGAGUUUAAAUGCGCUAUCAUACAAUGCUACAUGUCUUUGGAUGUAGAUUUCACAUUUUACAACUAUGUGCACUAUAGAUGAUGAGGAAAAAGUAGAGAGGUGUACAAAAGCAUAACAAAAAUUAUCAAAAAUUCUAUUUCUUACCAACACACAUCCUUGAAUAGACACUGAUUUUGAGUAAAAUGAACAAAGCACAUACAAUCACAAAUUUAACUUGCGUUAAUUAAGUUUGCUUUCAAUCACUCAAUAUAUAGUAACUCCUCGAGUAUAGGUAAAUUUGGACCUUCUAUGGUACAUUUCGCUUUCAAGUUGGUUAUACAUAAUGCAACCAUCCCCAAAUACAACCAAGCUUCCCUUUAUAGGUUCAAACAUGGAGAAAGACUUUAAGUUCAUUGUUGCUUUUACCAUUCCCAAAUACAACCAAACUCCUAUGAGUUCAAAAUUCAAGAAAGAUCUAAGUUCUCUCUCAUACAACUAGAGUAGCCACUCUCAAAAUCCAAAACGUGUUUUUCUCUAGCUCUUAGGCCCUAUGAUCAACUAAGGCUUUUAGGUUCUCCGUAACCCAGAUUUUCUUUCCAAUGGGCGAUUUAAAACCUAUUCAAGAAUUGUUUUUAAAAUUAAUUUUUCAGUUCUUAAAAAUAGAAACCUAUUUUCUAGACUAAAACCAUGUUUGGCAACUUUUUGACAUAUUAUAGUUUGUUGAGAAUUUGUUCUGAAAAUAAGGUUUCUCCUAAUAACAUAUUUUAAUUGCUUUCAAUUGUUUUCAUUUAUUUUAUAGGGUUGUUUUAAGAAAAUAAUAAUAAAAAUAUAAAGAAUGAUGAAACAUAAACUAAAAACAAAAGUUAUUUUUAAGAAAUAUUUGAAAAUACAAAAAAUAUAUUAAAAAUGUUCUAAGUUUUUAAAUAGGCUUUUAUUUUAGAAGACAUUAGACCAACUAUUUUUGAAAACUUUUUUCAAUAACGGUUUUUUGAAGAAUUAUUUUCAAAAAAAUUCCUAAACAAACCCCUAACCUCUGAGGAUCUAAAACUUUGCACUAAGUUUGGCUUACAUUCAACUUCUUUUAUGGACAAAGCAAUGGAGCUAGAACAGAUUUCUUUCAAUUUAGUCAAUUCUUAUUUACGUGGCUCAUAAUCAGAUUGUAAGACAUUCAAUUUUUUUAACAAGGCACCAUGCUCAUUUUCAAGGUAAGAGAUUUUUUUCAAGCAAGGAAAUCUUCUCUCAUACUUCUUUUAUUCUCAUCCAACUUUCACAAUUUUCAUCUUAAGGCACUGAUCAUACAAGGCUUCCUAGGCAAUCUCAAAUUACAACUUUUCUUCCAAAUAUGUUGUAUCAUGAGAUGAACCUUCAAAAUUUUCAGAUUCAAGAUCAGUUUCAAAUUUAACAUUUUUCUUUUCAUUGCGAAGUGAUAUAGAAGGUUACAAGUAUAUCAACAAUUUCGUCAAGCAUAUCGUGCUCUAAAAGACACAAAUAUCAUCAACAUCAUGUGAUAAUAAUCAUAAUUAUGUUUAUGCAUGUUUCUAGCAAAUUAAUGCAAUGAAAUUUGUACACUCUUCAUCAAAAUCAUACCAAAUUACUUCUAUGACCUUAUCCUUCUGACAUUCAAGUAAGUGACCUUUCUCCACACAGUAGAAACCUUGAAUCAACUAGAUCUUUUUUGUGUUUUUUUUUUCUUUUUAUCACAUUUCUUUUCCCCUGUUUAUGGUCUCAAAUAGGUUAUCCUCUGUUUCUUGAAGCUUUUUGAACUUUUUGAAACUUUAUCAAGCCUAUAAAUUUCAAAUAUUGGUCAUUUUUUAUUCCUAUUCUGAUUUAAAUGCAUGUUCAUCUACUUUUAGUGCAAUAUUAAUGUUUCUUCCUCUUAGGAACAAUUGGGGUCAUCUCUAAUUGAAGGGAGCCAACUAUCUCAUCUAGCUUAAUUGAAUCAGCAGUGUUCCAUUCCUCUAUUGUUAUGACCUUAGGUCUAAAACGAACAGAGAAGAUCUUAACAGUUUUCAGGUAACCUUGGAAUCAAGUAAAGGCCUACAUAGAUUGAAAGUUAGCAUUCACAAUGUCCAUGAUUUCAAUAAUAUAUUCAAAAAAUAUUUUUGUUGUGAUCAUUUGAAAUUCAUUCCUUCACCUAUCCUACCUUUACAUAGUUUUACCUACCCUAGUGGAUAUAUAUCCUAUCUCUAUUUAGCACCAUAUGAGGAUAUCAACCAAAUUGAACAGAACUCCAAUCUCUGUUAGACUUCAUUUUAAGGAAGUAUAUCAGUUUUACCUUGGAAUGAGCAUAAUUAUCUCCUUUGAAGUAUGGAGGUCCACCUAUAGAGGUUCCUUCUCGGAGAAUUUCCAUCUUAAGAGAAUAUAGUUUAUCCGUAUUGAGAACAUGAGCAAACAUGUUUUGAUACAAUUUAUGAGUUUUUAAGAGAGUAUGCUAUGAACUUGAGAUCUCUUUUAGAUGAUCAAAUAACAUAUGCACAUGAAUGUCAUUGAGUGAUUAGCACAAGGUCACAAACCUCCCUAAUGAAAUCUCAACCAAAAAGCACACAAAUAUUGCACAAGAUAUAACAUAAAAAAAAUCUCUAAGUGGAGAAAGGAAAAAAAAAAAAAAACCAAUGGGUGCCUUUGUUGUUGCAAAUCCACUAUGAAUAUAAAUCCAGUUUUGCCUACAAUUCCCUCCACCAGUGAAAACAAAUGGUCUUAUAUGAUCAACUCCAUUUACUAUAGGGUUAUAAAGGAAACACUUGUGGGCUGGCAGGCAGUAGCUCCUCCCAACUCAUCAUAUUUCCAACCCCAUUUGCUCCAUCAAAUUCAUAAGAAGCUAACAAAACAACUAGCAUUUUAUAUCAUACAAUAUCUAUGCUAGUUAAUUUGCAUGGAAAAGACAAUUUCUACCCUAAAUAUGCCAACAUACAGGAAGACAUACAAUUUAUACAAACAUUGUACGCUAACACAAGAAAAUCAUACCUCACUUGCUGAUUUGAGGCAAUUCACCAGAGAAUGCAUAGGUGGCAAUGAGGUCCCAAUUGAGCUGUGCAUAUCUAACAGUCGCAGACUUGAAGGAAGCUCUGGAAUUUGUGAAACCUUCUUGCAGUGACUCAAGUCAAGGGCUCUAAGGUUAGAGAGCUGACUAAUACCCACAAGCAUGUCACUGAGGGUUCCUCCUUCCUCUGGAUUGCACCGACUUAGAUGUAAUACUUCCAGAGAGGAUAGAUGGAAAAUACAAUGGAAGACUCCUCCAUUUAGAUUGCAGUUUCUUAGACUUAAUUCUUUCAAUGCGUUCAAGCAGUUAUCACUCUUUAUUACUCCUGGUGUUAGAUUGCAUUGAUCUAAAUAUAGUUUCCUUAAGAGAGAUAAACCUGACAAAGAAGGCAAUUGACAACUGAGCGAAUUUAAAGAAAGAACCUCUAGACAUGGCAUUCUCUCCAGGUCCUCCGGCAAUCUGUCAAGUUUUGAACAGCCUUCAAGACUUAGAACUUCAAGAAAUCUCAAAUUACAAAUGCUGUUCGGGAGACCUUCAAGGUUUUUACAAUUAUCCAAAUACAAGUUGCGAAGACCUUCUAGAAGUUCAAUCGAUGAUGGUAGCUCUUUUAUAGCUGUAUUAUCUAAACUAAGCCUCUCUAGUUUUCCAAUACUGCGCUUGAUUUUUGGAAAACUAGUUAGUUGUGAACAGCCACUGCAAUGAAGUAUGAAAAGGUGUUUCAACUUAUGAAUGUCCCCAGGAAGAUUCUCAAGUCUUACACACCCUAUAAAAUUCGAGGAAAAAAAAAAGUUAGUUUAAUAACAACACUCUUAUAUGUGUGUGAACCUUAAGUAAAAUUAUACAACCUGAAAGAUUAAGUUCCUCCAAAUUUGGCACGUUUGAGAAAUUUGGUAGUUCAAUAAGCUGUUGUGAAUCAUUGAGAUUGAUGUACCUUAAAUUUCUAAGACACUGGAACAAAAUAGAAUUUCUAUUAAUAAAUCAAUUUUAACCAACUUUAAAAUAUUAUAAAACAAAAGCAUAAAUAAAUGAUUAUCAUACCAUGUUUCCUUUCCAAAGUCGUUUUAUGUUACUAUUGCUCAAACCGAGGAAAACAAGAUCAUUUGGAUGAAAGUUUGGUGGUAGAGAUUCUAAAGAAUAUCCAUCCCAACCGAGACAUGUCAAGUCAUCAGACGGAAAUACAAAAUCUUCAGGAAGUUGUUCUAUGCAAUUGUGGGAGAGGAUAAGCAAUCUAAGUCUAUUCAUCCUUUUGAAAGCUUUGCAUGUAAACUGUAUCUGUUCUGAUGUGUCCAUAUGAAAGAAUAUCCCUUCAAUUUUUUCAGUCCCCUAGAUAAUAAGAGUAUAAAAUUAGAAAAGCACGAUACAUGUAAAUCCUUACUAAGGUGAUAUAGAUGAAUAUAUAUAUAUAUAUAUCUUACCGUGUUUCUUUUCAAUACUCGAUAAAUAUCUGUAUGUCUCCAUAAUCUGCUCCUCUCUCCUGGCUCAUUAGGACAUUCUUCAUCAACAAUGCCCUUGCCCAUUUGGGCUAACAAAUCAUGCAUAUCUAUUGUAUUGUCCUCUAAAAUGGUUAUGAAACAUCUAUCAACGAGAACAUUUAUUCCACUUUCCGCUUCGCAUCCGGAACCAUCCAAUAUUCUUGAAACUGCUUCCACAUCACCUCCUUGAAAGAAACAUGCAAUGUCGAGAAAUAUCAUCUUUUGUGUAUAAUCCAAUCCAUCAAAACUUAUUUUAAGCACUUUUACAAUUUCCAUGUUAGGCACCUUUCCCAACUUCCGCAAUUCGCUUUUCCAAUCUGAUAGUCUCUUUCCAAAUAAUAGAGAACCCAAAACUUUAAGUGCUAAUGGAAGACCAUCAGCAUAUCGUACUACUUGAUGAGAGAGAUCUCCAUAACCUUCCUUCAGAUGAUGUUGUUUAAAGGCAUAAAGACAAAAAAGUUGAAGAGCUUCGUGAAAAUUUAAUUUCUCAACUUCAUACAUUUUCAUUUCAUGCCUAGUUAGCAAAUCUUUUUUCCUUGUAGUAAUGAUGAUUCUACUUCCUGGACCAAACCAAUUAUGCUUUCCAAUCAAGUGUUCUAAUUGUGUCAGCUCAUCUACAUCAUCCAGAAAAACAAGAACCCUUUUCGAGGAAAGCUUGUCCCUUAUUUCUUUGAUACCCUCAUGAACAUUCCUUAAAACUAUUUUCCUCGUUGUCCCUAGAAUAUCAUUAAGAAGUUGUUGUUGUAACUUAAGAAGACCACCAGAAUUUUCUGUGGAUUCUUUUCUGACAUCUGUGAGUAAGCUUACACUUUCGAAUUGAUUUGAGAUUCGGUUAUAAAGAGCAUUGAUGAUGGUGGUCUUGCCGAUACCACCAAGCCCAUAAACCCCGACCAUGCGAACAUCAUUCAACCCAAUCUCCAACAAUGAUAUUAGUCUUUCCAAACGAUAAUCCAUUCCGACAAUGUUCUCGGUAACAGCUAAAGUCUUAGGGAAGCUUCUAGGGACGUUCUCAAUAAUUUUAUCAAUAAGCUCUGUUUCAUACCUGCGAAUUGCAAAGCAUAAUGGGACAUGUGUACUGGCGCAUUAGGAUGAGUUGCAAAAAAUAAUAAAUUAUAUGAAAUAAAUUUAAUGAUGCCUAGUUUUCCAACUAUAACUUAGCAGGGCUAAAAGGAAUUUAAAUUAAAAUAAAAUAAACCACAUCUAUCAAACUACUCAUGAGUACAGUUUCAUUAUUCAAUAUAUAUGAUAGAAAUAAGAGAAGAAAAUGCAAAAUAUGAAUUGCAUUAUCAAAAGUGGAAAAAAAAACACUAAAAUAUUUUGUGUGUUAGCUUAUACUAUUCAAUCUUUUGAAAGGUUCAAAAUAAAGUUGAGUUGUCUAGAACAUUACUACCCUAUUUUGAUAAGGGAUUCCAUCAUAGGAUCAACUGCGCAUCCAAGCUUUUUAAUCUAAUAAUUUUACUACUGAUUAGAUGGUCAAGUUUAAAAUUUUAAUGAACAGAUCUUUAUUUUAUAAAUAAUAAAAAUAAAUAAAAAAUUAUAAAAGUUUAAAACUCACUUUAGCUUUAAGCGGUUAGUCAAAUAUCUCAUACUAAACAAGUUAGAUAUUUUUUAUAUCAGCAGAAAGAAAAAAGGACAGUGCUUCAAAUGACAAAUGAAGAGAAAUUACAAUUACCUGUCCUUCGCAUCAUAUCCGGCUAGAUUGCUUGCUUGCCUCAGGGCAAUCUUCCAUUUCCUUAUCUUUUCCUUUCUCUCCUCAUCUGCAUUCUUCUCAUGAUGGGUAAAUGCUUCUCCGUAAAUCUCAGUUUGGUUCCGCAGUUCAGACGGAUCUACAUGAUAGAAAAUUGGGAUAACUACCAUUUGUUCCCUUUCCUCUUUGCAUUUCAUGAUCUUGACAAGCUCUUCCAGACACCAUUUGGAAUGAGCAUAGGUUUUUGAGAAGACAAUAAUGGCACUCCUUGAUUCUUCAAUAGCUUUUAAGAGCUCUGGUGCAAUCUCUUCUCCCCUUGGAAGCUCUUCAUCAUCUCUGAAGGUAUGAAUAUUGUUACGAAUCAAAGCCGAGUAGAGGUGAUCGGUAAAGCUUUUGCGAGUAUCUUCACCUCUGAAACUCAAAAACACAUCGUAGCUCCACUGAGAGCGAGAAGUGAAAGAAGAAGAGGAUCUCUGGAUGCUAGGGGAGGCCAUGGUUGAACAGAAAUUGGAGGAAAAAUAAGGGCCUUCGGGUAUUCAGUGACUUAAUUCCCCUAGCCUUAAUGUGAAGUUUGGAUGUUGGUGGUGGGAUGUGCUUUUUCUUUCUCAAUUAUUUCUCCUUAGCUGUAUCCCUCUAGCUUUGAACUUUCACUUUUGUCCCUUUUGGCAGUCAACAAUGGCCGGCACUCUUCUCUCUGCAAUUUCCAAUUAAUUUCUAAAAUGUAAAAAAUAAAAAAUGAUCAAAUCCAUGUGGUCUUUACUUAGGUCAUAAGAUCGUGUGAACACACAUUAAAUUAAAGUUAUUCAAUUAAGUUUUGUCUUUUCCAUAAUUAGCAAUAUUACGGUAGAAAAUAAAGGUUUAUUAAGUUGAUAUGUCAAGUAAAGCUAACAACUUUGGUAUUAUAAGCUUGAUUUUUGUAGAUGGAAAAAUAUAAUGAGUCAUAUGACAAAAAAUAAAGAAAAUUUUGAUCUUGAAGAAUAGAAAGAAGCACAAAACCUUCAUGAAAGUUUAGGGAAGAAAGACCAUGCUCAAAACUCCAAAUUUAAAUUCUCACGGACUUUUCACAUUUUGCAGCUGGCUUUAUUAUUAAUAGAAGCACAUAAAUAAAUAUUGUAAUUAAAUCCCACUAAUUUAUAGGUCAUAAUGGUAUAUAUCGGUCAUCACAGUAAUUGAGUGGGAAGGUGGGUACCUGUAAAAAGAAUAGACCAAACCAAUCACCCUAAAGUACCUUUAUCAUAAAAGUCAUUGAGGUCCUAAUGGUAAUAAUGGUGGAUAUCUUUGGAAAGAGAAAACAAUCCUAAAUUUCAAAAGAACGUCUGUUUCUUGGCAAUUGUAUCCCCGACAGCCUUAUCUUUUUUUACUUUAUAUCUUUUUAUUAUUAUUAUCGUGAGGAUGGUUAAAGAUGAUAUUAGAUAUGUAAUCUUUCUAUGGUUUAAAAAUGAAAAAUGUGAGUGUUAAGUUGGCAUUUUUACCAUUUAGAAAAUACUUGAUUUUAAGAUCAUUAAUAGGAAGAAAUAAAGAGUUCCAAAAAAUAAAGAAGCUUUUAUUGACUAAUCUAGGCAACCCCUUUCUUGGCUUUUAAUUGUAUCUACUUUGUCGAAAAUCUCAGUCAUUCCUCCUUGUCUUCCUUUUGUUAUUCCUAAGUUCCAACUCUUUUUUUUUUUUUUUAAAUAAUAAUAUUAGUUUUAUGUUUUAAUGAAAUGGGUUGCAAAUUUGAAGAAAACAUAUUCUUGUGUAUUUAUUGACUAUGACCCUUUCUUCACAAAGGUUAACGUUAUUUACAUUCUCAAACUAAUCUUUGAUGAGUUUGAGUUUUUCUUUACUAACAAAACUUCUACCAUAUCUUUCUUGUAGGAACAAAGUCAAAUGACCAUAUUUUGAGACUUAUAUGAAUGGUCUCAACCAUCCAAUCCAAAUACCUACUCAACCCACAACUUCACUCCCACCAAACAACCUUUCGACUAUUAACAUUAUACUAAGAUUUCUUACCUUUGCUAUUCAAAUUAUCGUAAUAAUGUACAUCUUCUAUUUUAUAUUUUUAAUACAUUCCAUUUAAAUUUAACUUCUUACAUCCUUUAACACCUUAUUGUGCAUUUGUGGUUAUUUUUCUAAGCUGUUUUUUAACUUUCAUUGGUGGUUCAUUGUAAUUAUGUUGGUUACUGGGUUUUUUUAUUCUAUUUUAUGCAAGAGACAUUUUGAAAGGAUUAGGUGCCUUCCAAUCUUGAUUUUAGUGAUUUUUAAAUCUUAGUUUAGGACUUUGUUUUUGAUUGAUUUAUAACAUAUUUAGGUUUGUUUAGAAUUUUAAAACUUUAAUUGCAUAAAAUAGAUUCAAGAUUUGAAUUAAUUAAUAAUUGAUUUCAUUCUCCUUUAAAAUGUAGAAUAUGAUAAACGACUUGAUAGCAAAUUCAAACAAAUCUUUAUCCAAAUGAGAAUUUAUGUAAUCUAAUCAUUUUAUUAAAUAUCACCUAGUAAAUUAUAAAAAUAAAGAUAUUAAUCACAUUUGUUAAUAUGUUUUUUUUAAAUUGACAAAUUAUGAUGAAAUUAUAAUCUUUUCAAUAUUUUAUUAAUUAUUAAUUAAAACAUCACUAUAAUUAUUCAAUCCAUGGAAUAUAAAAUGAGUUAUUUUUAGUAAUAAUAAUAAUAAUGAUAAUAAUGAUAAUAGUGAUAAUAAUAAUAAUAAUAACUAAUCAUAUUUGAAUAACAUUUCAUCAAUUAUAUAUCAAAAUAAAGUUGUAUGUUUAUCAUAACCUAUGUUUUAAAACAAAAUAAUAAAAGUUAUAUUUCCCUUUAAAUGUAUUUACAUAUCUACCUCCAUAGUCCAUGGUAUUAAAAUAAUCUAAUAAAACACAGUAUCCCAUAACCGGGCAACAGCACAGCUGCUCCUAGCUUUAGCCCCUAGCAGCUGCAAUCAGCUUUUCCACUCUCUGUUACAGUCCAGCUUUGGCCGCCCAAGACGUACAUCUUUAAAAGUUGAUUUUAUUUUUUUUAAUUGAAUGUUUUUUUUUUUUUGUAACUCUUCUCGAUUAAUAAAUAAUAAUAAUAAUAAUAAUAAUAAUAAUAAUAAUUGGAUUUGGUUUUUAAAGUUGAGUAUUUUCUUUAACUAAUUGAUAUUAUAAAUAUAUAAAUAAUUUCUACAUUCACAUUUUAUAAAAAAUAAAAAUGUUUCAUUUUGAAAAUUUUAUGCAUUAUUUUAAAAUUUUCAAAUAAAGGAUUAUUUGUAAAUAUUUCUAAAUAUGUUUGAUUUCAAUAAUUGAUAAAUUAUAUAAUCAAAAUAUUAUGAAUUGGUAAAUAUCAAUUAUUGGAUUUUAUGAAGAUAAAAUUUAUGAUAUCAAAUAGUAAUGCAUUAUAUUUAUAAAUAGAUGUAUUUUUUCUAUUUUAAAUGUAAUUAACAAUAUAAAAAAUUAAUUAAUAAUGAUAUAUUUAUGAUAAUUUUUGUUUAAAAACAUUUAUAAUUUUAUUUAAAAUUAAAUUUCAUUUUAUAUUUAAUAAUUAUAUAAAAGAUAAAAAAAAUUUAAAAGUAAAUCAAACUAAUUUAUUUAUAAAAAAUUAUUAAUUUUCACUAUUUUACUUAUUUUACAUAUAUAUGUAUUGGGACUGAAAUCUGUUCUCCAUUCUCUCAUUCUUUCCUCCAUUUCUCUUUCGUUCCUAUUCUCUGUUUCCUUUCUCCUUGUCUUCAUUUCUCUUCUAACAUCCAAACUUUUAUUCAUGACGGUUAAACUAUUUCUCUUUUCUAAGAUCAAAACAUAACUCACUGAGGUUAAAAUCCAGAUUGUGAUUGUUAUAAAAAUUCCUAGUUAGGGUUUUAGUUUUAGUUUUAAUUUUUUUGUUCUUUUUUAUUUUUUGCAUUCUUGGUCUUUUGUGUUAUUGUUUAUGUUUUAUUUGGUUUAUGGGAAAUCCUAGAAUUUAUGAAAGUUUUGGCUUUGAAAUAUCCAAAAAAUAUUGAAAUAGAAAUGACCAAAAAAAAAAAAAAAAUUGUUGAAUAAUGUUGAGUUUUUGGUUGAAUUUUUGUUUGACCGAUUUUUUUAUUUUCCAUUUUCUGAUUUGCCCUCGUAGAGUAAAGAAUUUUCCUUCAUAGUGAAGAGAUGAGAACACUCAAGAACAUUGAUUGAAAAUACGAAAAACAUCUUAUUUUUUUUCUUUUUAGAACAUUGGCAAAAACACGGAAAACAACAUUUUUUUGUUUUUUGAAAACCAGACUUUAGAAAACACGAAGAAUACAUGGGAACAAAAAACACUCUCUUAUCAAACACAUUUUGUGUGUUUUUGUUCUCAAAAACAAAAAACUGUUUUUGAAAACAUUCACCAAACAUGCCCUAUUUUUUGAGGUAAUUCUUUUUAUUCUUUUUCUUUGCGGGGGAGGGGGAGGAAAUUUUGGCGAGCUGUUAGAAAAGGGGAUCUUGUGGCAGUUGGAGUUUAGGUUGCCUCAUGUUCUCUCUCCCUCUCUUUUUAUAUUUUAGUUUUUUUGCAAUAACUUGAACUCAUUUCCUUUGAGAAUUUCAUGUUCAUUUUCCCACACUUUGUUUUUGUUCCUAAAUUUAAUCUUGUGUUUAUGUCUAUCAAUUAGUUAUUUAGGUUGAGGAAAGGGGGCCGGGCCUUAGGUCUUCCCUUUUACCCUUGAAAUGAUCCUCUCACUUUGGGUGAUUAUUGAUUUAACUAGCUUAUAAUUUGGCCGUCUUUAUUUUUUAUUGAAAUCAUCAUACCUUGAUGUUUGGAAAUUGAAGAUUCAGGGCCCUUUUGAUGGACUGUCUAGUGGAGUGUGUGGGCAUAGGAAUGAAUUAACGGAGACGUGAAAGCUUUGAUCAGUCCAUGAAAUACAAAUGAAAGGUUAUCACCAAAAAUUAAGCAUGCGUGCAUUGAUAAUAGACAAGUAAAUGAGAGAAAAUGAACUUCAAAUCUUACUUGACAACGAUACUACUAUAAUGGGAUAUUCCUCAACAUAGUGGUUAUUACUUAAUUUGGUAUCAAUAACUAUGCUAAAACCUUGCCCAUUACUGAAAAUGGACAGGGAAUAAGCAAAAAUAUUAUAAUAUGUCUGUAAUUGAUUCCUUUCAUCAUAGUAACCCAUUGGCCAGAUUGGCUUAGUUAACUAAAUGAAAACCCGAUUUCUUAUAUUUCGAAUGAACCAAAAAGGAUACAGUAGUAAACAGCUAUGGAACCAAUAUGUAUGAGGAUAAAAAACAACAACAAUUUUGAUUGAAACUAAUCUUGAAAUAAUCAAUGGCUAAGUACAUCAGGUUGUGUUUAUAAAGUCCUAGUUCAUAAGCACUAAAUUCUAAUGCUAACACUCUCUCCAAGUGCUUUCAGUCUGCUGCUUCAAUACAAGUACUCUAUAUGUGCGCUUGAUAGUAACUUGCGCUUGAUAAUAACUUCUCGUGUCCUAUAUAUUUAUACCCGAUCAAGGGCUGCCAUUUUAUUAGAUUGUUGAGUAAUGACGCUGCUUGUUGAAGGAUUGUGAGACAGAACAAUCUCAUACCCAUCAUCACAUGACUGCAUCCCCUCGGCCAUGAGUUGCCAAACCAAGCCUCCACCAAUUCCUCCACUUCUUGCAAAGUUGUAGAUGUUGGUAUAAACAACAUUCAAAAAUGAAUCCCUUUUAUUUAUAAUUUUAAUUCUAUUGUACGAAGGAAUUAAGAAAAAACUUUUAUUCUAAAAAAAUAUAAAUUUUAACCUAAAAUAAUUUAGUAUAUACUUUAUCAAGUGUAAAAUUUUAAUGAACAGAUUUUUAUUUUAUAAAAAAUAAAAAUAAAUAAAAAAAUUAUAAAAGUUUAAAACUCACUUAGCUUUAAGUGGCUAGUCAAAUAUCUCAUGCUAAACAAAUUAAAUAAUUUUUAUAUGAGCAGAUAGAGAAAAGGACAGUACUUCAAAUGAAAAAUGAAGAGAAGUUACAAUUACUUGUUCUUCGUGUUAAGGAUAAUUAGCCUUUCCAUUACAAUUUACCAUAUGUAUCAUAUUUGACCCUUGAUUACAUGCUAUUCCUUUGUAAUCAGUUUGAUAUUAUUUCCUACUUUCCAUUUCUUUUAUAAUCAGUUUGAUAUUAUUUGAUUUGUAAUAUUCUAUAAAUGAUUAUAAAUAGAAAACUCUCACCACCUUCUCAAGUGUGGUGGUUUGACAAAUAUUCUUACUUUGUAUCAUAUCCGGCUAGAUUGCCUGCUUCCCUCAUGGCAGUCCUCCAUUUCCUUAUCUUUUCCUUUCUCUCCUCAUCUGCAUUUUCCUCAUGAUCGGUAAAUGCUUCUCCACAAAUCCCAGUUUGGUUCCGCACUUCAGACGGAUCCACAUGAUAGAAAAUUGGGAUAACCGUUUGUUUCCUUUCCUCUUUGCAUUGCAUGAUCUUGACAAGCUCUUCCAGACACCAUUUGGAAUGAGCAUAGGUUUUUGAGAAAACAAUAAUUGCAAUCCUUGAUUCUUCAAUAGCUUUUUAAGAGCUCUGGUGCAAUCUCUCCUCCCCUUGGGUGUUCUUCAUCAUCUCUGAAGGUAUUAAUAUUGUUACGAAUCAAAGCCGAGUAGAGGUGAUCAGUAAAGCUUCUGCGAGUAUCUUCACCUCUAAAACUCAAAAACACAUCGUAGCUCCACUGAGAGUGAGAAGUGGAAGAAGAAGAGGGUCUCUGGAUGCUAAGGGAGGCCAUGGUUGAACAGAAAUCGGAGGAAAAAUAAAACAUAUAAAAUUAUCAAGUCCAUGGGGUAUUUAAUUAGGCCAUAAGAGAUCGUGUGAACUCACACAUACAUUAAAUUAAAGUUAUUGAAUUAAUUUUUGUCUUUUCUAUAAUGAGCAAUAAAUAUUCCUGUAGAAAAUAAAGGUUUAUUAAGUUGAUAGGUGAGGGAAAGCUAUAUAACAACUUCGGUAUUAUAAGCUUGAUUUUUUAAAAAUAAAAAAUAUAAUAAGUCAUAUGACACAUAAAAGUUCAUUUUUUUUAAAAUCAAGUCAAACAUUUUUAUCUUAUUAUAAUUUCUUAUUAUUAUAAUAAAUAAAAUAAUUUUUUAAAUAUAUUUUCCUAUUAAGAUAUAUUAUUCCUAACCACAAUCGAAUUUUUAUAAAAGAGCAAUUAGUUUCUUAUAUGAAUGUUUUAUUUAAUCAAGAUAAACAUGGAAAGAAAUUGUUAUCACAUGUCCUAUAUUGAGAAAAAUUAUAUAUAAAUUGGAAAUAAUUUUAAAAAUAAUAAAAUCUAAAAGUUGUUUCACUAUUUUCUAAAAUUAAUUUUAAUUUCUUAUAAUUUUGCUAUUUUUUUGUUGAUUUUUUAAUAAUUAUUUUAAUUAUAUAUCUAUAUAUAUAUAUAUAUAUAUAUAUAUAUAUAUAUAUAUAUCUAUAUAUAUAUAUAUAUAUAUAUAUAUAUAUAUAUAUAUAUAUAUAUAUAUGUGUGUGUAUAUGUAUACAUACAUAUUAAAAAAUGUUACUCAUUUAAGUGGUUUCAAAUGAUUUAUUUAUUUGCAUGAAAAAAACAUGAAUUGAUCAUCUUUUGAGAUGUAGUAAGAGUCGUUUGGUUUAGGUCACAGUGGUAAUGAGUUGGAAGGGUCUAGUACCUUUUGAAAGAACAAAAGGAGCAACAACCCUAAAAUUCAAAAGUGUUGGAAUAUUAAACAAUGUCUUGGUCAAAAAGGGAAAGCGCGUUGGAUCAUAUAUUGAAAAUAAUGUCUUGUUAACAAAAAAUAAUGUCUUGGUAAAAAUAGAAAACAUAUAGGAACAUUGAAUAAGACAAUACCAUAUGGUUAGGAAAGGUUAUUCUCUAAUCUUUUAUCCUUAUUGACUCAUACACUUGUUGAACCUCCUUAACAAUAGAAAGAAAGUUCAUUCUUAUGAAUCCUCAAAAUGAAUCAAAGAGAUAAAUUUCAAUUUUGAAGUAAACAUAAUUAUUUUUCUAUUUUUGUUAAAAAAUUGACAAUACUUAAUUUAUCAUGUAAGAAUCAAAGAAUAAUAGCAACUAUUCAUACAAUCGGUCUCAUUUUGUUGUAACAAAACUUAUGAUUAUUUUUCUUCCAUGUAUAUGAGGUUACUAUAAAUUCAUUUCCCACUUGUCAUGUGAUUCAAAUAGAACCUACUAGAUGAAAUUUCUCUCAACAUAUUUCCGCAUCACAAUUUUUCUUUCAUUUUUUAUUUUAUUUUGAAUUUGCAUUAAAUAAAUUUCAACCAUAGAUACGCACUAACAAUAUUUAAAUAAAGAUGAUAAUGUAUUUAAAAUUUUAAUAAAAACUGAGUUGAAUUUUUCAACUUACGUUUGAUUUCCUUCUGUUCACCUAAUGUUGGCAUUAAAAUACAAAAAAAAAAGUCAUUGUCUUCGGGAUUUUUUCUUGUGAGCUUAUCCUCAAACUUUCUUAAAAAACUAAGUUGAUUAUUGUUGUGCUCACUUAAUGUUUGCAUUAAAAUACUAGAAACUUAUUCUUGUGAGCUUAUCCUUGCACCUUCUUCGAAAAAUAUAAGAUUGAUUCUUAUUGAUAGGAAGAUAAGAACAAAAACUUCUAAUAAAUUAUAUUUUGGUAUAUUGAUAAUUUAAUGGGAAAAAACGUUAAAUUUUAUAAAUGUAAAAAGAUGAUAUAGUUGGAUGACGCAUUUAUACAAACAUAUGAAAAGAACAUUUAUAGUCAAUAAAUGAAAACCAUGUAAAUAUUCAAAAGGCUAAAAUCACAAUUGAUUGGAGCAAAAAAAUUUAGCUCAUCCUAUAUUUAUUUUUUAUCAUCAUAUUCUUAUCGAGCUUCUUAGGCAUCAAAUAUAAAAAUUCUCUAUUUAAAAUCAAAAUAAAAUAAAUAAGAUCUUGUCAACUACAAUUUUAAUUCAACUAUUUUUGUUGCUAACUAGUUCCUUGAUUUUUGGUACUUCGAUUUCUCAAACAACACAAAAUUUCAUUUCAAGGAAGACUCAUUAACAACAUGAAAUUCAAAAUUACAUAUGCAACAACCCAACCCCAAGCUUAAGUAAAUUUGUAAUUUUAUUAAUUAAGAAAAUAAAAACUUUGGGCUAUUUAAAUAUAAUUGGAUUUUAAUUUUGAGUUUGGGUUCAAGUUAAAAAAAAAUUAAUGAGCCAAAUAAAUUAAUUGGGCAUUUAUAUUCAAACAAUUAAUCUUUAGUAUUAAGAUUUAAUUGAAUUGAAAAAAAAAUAGAAAUAAGAUAAUAAAGGGAGUAAAAUAGUCAUUUCUCAUUAGAAACCUAGGUAUGAAUAUUCACUCUUCUUUACAAAAGUCUUUUUGUAUAGAGAGCAAAUGUAGGGUUUGAAAUCAAUCUUUGAAUGUAAGCACGUAUAGAUUUAAUAUUUACUUUCAUUUUUAAUUUUCAUGGGAAUUAUUAAAUAUGAUCAAAUUUUAUGAAAAAAUUAAAUAACAUNNAUUCUAAUUAAUUAUAAAGUCACUACAUUAAAAGUCUNNNNNNNNNNNNNNNNNNNNNNNNNNNNNNNNNNNNNNNNNNNNNNNNNNNNNNNNNNNNNNNNNNNNNNNNNNNNNNNNNNNNNNNNNNNNNNAAUCAAAAAGUAUAAGUUACAAAUUUCAAAGGGUGUUUAUGAGUGGAUCAAUUUUUGGUCUCAAUUAAAAAAGCUAAUUGAAAAUAAUAUAAAUAUAAUAUGUUUUUAUUUUAUUUAUUUAUGGUGAGGAUUAUAAAAUAAAUUGUUAUUUUUUAAUUUUAAAUAAAGUAAACAAAUAAGAUAAAAUAGAAAUUAAAAUCAAAAGAAAAAAAAUUAAAAAUCAAACAAUAUAAAAUAUUGAAAGUGAUUGAAUAAAAAAGAAAAAGUUUACAACUCAAAUAAGAUCAAUCUAGAAAAUACAUUACAUAUUAAAAUAUACGCAUAAAAUGCAUUUCAUACUGUUAGAUGGUAAAAGUCCAAGUAAAAAAUCGUAGGUUGAUGACCUGAAUUGCAUAGGUUGCUUUCAGACCAUUGGGACUUGUUAGGGUUCAAAGUCAAAAAUAGGACUAAUAAUAUUUAGUAAUAUCAUCUCAAGCCUAUUCCAAAAUAUGGCAACAUGGUAAAAUUAAAAAUUAACAUAAUGCUUAAUAAUAAUAAUAAUAAAAAACCUUAUUGGUUUUUUUUUUUAAAAAAAUCACUAGAUAUUGUAUAAUUUUUCUAAAAUGAAUGAGAAAAGUUAUAAUUAUGAAUCUCUUGAAGAAAAACCUUUCAAUUGCAAUCGCACUCCCUUAAAAAAAAAAAAAAAAACUUAAACAUAAAAGGGUUAAAUAUAUAAUAUGAGUAAAUUCGUUAAUCAUCACAUAAAAAACAAUUUUUCCAGACCCCCUCGAUCAACCCCAUGAGCUAACCCAAGCAACUCAAUGUUGACAUCCUAAGCUAAAUGGUAUUAUCUGAUUAAUUAUUUUACAAAAUAUACAUAUGUUAUAUCUUAAAAUUGGUUACUAAAUUAUAUUACAGUUAUCAAAUAUAUUACCAUAUAUAAAAUACAACUUAAUAAAUCUUAAGCAUAAUACAAAGCACAAUAACAAGAUAUGUUAAUUUAAGUUAUUAAGAGCUUAUUUAGUUGUGUGAUUUAAAAAUAGUUUUUUGUUUUUAAAAAACAAAAAUUAUCUUUAAAAUUUUCUAACACUAUUUACCGUUGCUUUUUGGAAACACUUUUUUAAAACAAAGUAAAAUAAAGAACAAUUUUUAAAAAACAAGUUGAAGUUGUUUUUACCAGUUUUUAAAAAACAAAAAAUAUAUAAACUCAUUUCACUAUGUUUUUUGAAACUUGUUUUUAAAUUAAAGAAUAAAAAAUAAUUUUUCAAAAUAAGUUUCAAAAUAUCAUCUAUACACAUUCUUUUUGAAUGAUUAAGAAUCGAGAUUUCUAACCAGUCGGUUAUUAUUAUUUUUUUUUUAUAAAAAAUUGAAAUUUACUUUAUCAUUUAUUGUAUGAAUAUCAUAUGGAUUUAAAAAGAAUUUCACACUUAGACAUGUACCUCUCAGAACAUUUGAAGUGAAGAUGUUCUUGUCUUCUUCAAUUUGAAGGCUCAUUAUGACUUUGAGAUUCACAUUCCUUUAAUUGACAUGAAAUGUUUGACUUGCCUUGACUAAUAAGGACCUUCAUGGCUUACCUGAUAGAGGUUGGGCCUUUACCGUUAUCCACUCAGCAAUGAUGUAUUUUCUGCACUGAGUUAUUUAAUAAAAAUGGUUUUUGAGUAAAACAGAUUUGGAUUUUGACCUAUGGAGGCCUAUGGACUUUCAAAACAGGGGUUCACUAGGGAAAAAAAAAACAGAGAAGAAAAAGAAGAAAAAUGAGAUCAUUGGAAGAAUUUUCAGCCCCUUUCAAUCACUUAGCCAUAUAAUAGAAACUAAGAAGAAGAGAAAGGAUCGUAGCUCACAAAAAGCUUGAGAUAAAUGUUUAGCAUCUUCUGCAGCAUAUCCAUCCAACAAAUUUGCAAAGAAGCUCCAACCAGUCGUGCAUAUGAUCCUCUUCAUCAUCUUGGGCAUCAACAACAUUACUGUUAAUAAUCUGUGUCGUUGUAUCCAUGGGAGAAUCGCUAUGCUCAGUGCACUGUGUCCAGUCAUAGCUUGUUUGUGCAUUAGAAUUAGUAUCUUCUGCUGCUGAUCUGGUAUCACAACUUCUCUGCUCAUCACUAUACUCCAUCAUUGUCUGAUGGUCGCGCUUGGUGGCUUCUGUGUUGUCACAGCUUCUCUGACAAUCAGUACUGGUAUCUUCUGGGAUGUUGCUGUUGAUAACAUCACGUGUAUAUAUAAGAUAGUACCCACACUCUUUCACUUCGACUGGUGCAUCCAAGCUAUGAAAUGAAGCCUUCAAACGUCUCCAUUCGUUUGACCAAUACUGCUUGUCAAUAGCAACCUUGGGAUAAUAAGUCACACACAUUUGACUUGAUUCAUCGCAAAUUGGGCAGCAAUAAAACUGGACAUCAUCCACGUGACAGCAUUCAGAUUGAUCACCACAGAUACUGAGUUCGCAAUUCAACUCAUCACAAGCCAUAGAAAUAAAAAUAGAGUAUAAAGCAAAUCCUAAGAAGUCAUCUUUUCUGUACCAAUCCAUAGGAAGCUCUAUUGUUAUUUGAGAUCCUUUUUUUGGCUGGCUUAUCCACUCUGGAAUUCCAUUAUUUCCCAAAAUAACAACUCUGAUUGCCUUGUUCCAAUAGGAGUCGCAUUCAAAUUCCUGCACAGAAGUACAGUGUUAAUACUCUGUUCAUAAGGAAAAAGGGCUGAAUGUUAUGAAAAUCAUACCUCAAUCAUUGAUUUGAAGCAUUUGAACAGAGAAAAACCAAGUUCACUUGAUGGACUUGAUGAAGUUUCCAAGCAUGUGCAACUGUGGACAUCUAAAUAUCGUAAACUUGGCCGAAGCUCUGGAACUUGUCGACGCCCCUGGCAGUGACUCAAUUGAAGGACUCUCAGUUUAGACAGUUGAAUGAUGCCUGCAAGUAUGCUACUAAAACAGUCCAUGCUUAGAUUUAGACCUGAAGCACGCAAAUCCUCUAAACAUUGCAAACUCCUCAGGUUCUCAGGAAAUUUCUCAAGUUUUGUACAGAAACUGACAUCUAGAGUUUUGAGAGAACUCAAAUUACAAAUGCUUUCUGGAAGACUCACAAGGUUGGUGCAAUCUGAAAGAUUCAAAUAUUGAAGCCCUCUUAAAUAUUGAAUUGAUGCUGGUAGUUCUUCUAUAGCAGUUCCAUCUAAAUGAAGCACUCUUAAAUUUUCCACAUCCUCAACGAUUUCCGGAAAGCUCCUUAAUCGUGAACAGCCUGAGCAGAAGAGAGUUGUAAGGGAUUUCAACUCACAUAUGCUACUGGGAAGAUGCUCAAGGUUUUUGCAUUCCCGCAAACAUAAGCUAUCAAGUUCUAAGGGACACUCAAUAGUGGGUAGUUCAUUGAUGGCAUUUCCCUUUAAACAAAGCUUUCGUCGGGAUUGCACAUCCCCUUGACAUUCCCGGCAAACGGUGGAUAUCAUUGCUUUACCAUGGUUCUGUUCAUGAUCAUGGGCAUAUAUAAGAUGGAUCCCACACUCUUCUACUUUCACUGCUUUACCUCUCAAGUAGCCACAAAAUGAAGCCGUCAACUCCCUGCAUUUAUUUGAGUGGUACUUCUUCUCAAUCAAAAGCUUAGGAUAAUAAAUCAUCCACAUUUGUGGUACAACAUAGCAUUGAAAUGAGGGAAAAAACUGGAGUUCAUCCACAAACUGAAUUUCACGACCACGCAAAGUCAAACCAUACUCGAAGUAAGUUGCAUCAUUAUCCAGUGUCUCCUCAGAUUCAUUAUCAAGUGGAUAAUAGACACAGUACAAAACAAAACCCAACAAGUCGUCAUUUUUAUACCAAUUUUGAGGAAGCUUUGCUACUACUUCAGCUCCCUUUUUGUGAUGGCUUAUCCAAUUUGGAAUUCCACUACCGUCUGAAAUAAGAUUUACUUGGGCAAAAGAUUUUUCUGUAGGAUAAAUCUCGCAUUCCAAAUCCUGCAGAAAAUUUAAUUAACACGUAAAUCCCCAUGUCUCCACAAAAAAAGUUGUGUUCUAUGAAUAUCAUACCUGAAUCAAUGAUUUGAAGCAGUUGAAUAGAGAAGACCAGAGUAGACCUGAAGAAGUUUCCAGCCGUUUGCACCCAUGUACAUCUAAGACACGCAAACUGGAUGGAAGCGCUGGAAUUUGUCGAAGCUCUUCACAGUAACCCAAAUCAAGGAGUCUCAGCCUAGAAAGUUGAUUGAUCCCAGCAGGUAUGCUCCUAAAAGGAUUCCCGAUUAGAAGUAAUUCUUGCAGAGAUGAUAGCUGGCAAAAUUCAGUGGGGAUUCCUCCUUCAUCUAUACAGCAGACAGAUAGAUCUAACACUUGCAAGGAGUACAAGCCGCAAAUAUCACUCAGGACUACUCCUUGCAUUAGCCCUGAGCAAGUUAGAUUUAACACCUUUAAGGAGCAUAAACCUGACAAAGAAAGCAAUUGGCAACAUCUUGAAUUUAAGCCCCUAGCACAGAGACGCUUCAAGCUUUGCAGCCUCCCCAGGUUUUGUGGCAAUUUGUGG